UAUAUAAAAAGAAUUAUAUAUAUAUAUAUAUAUAGAGAGAGAGAGAGAGAGAGAGAGAGAGAGAAUUGAGCUCUUGUAUUUUUAAAAGUACAGAAAUAUCUAUAUUUGUAAUUUUUUAGUCAUCGGAUUGCCUACAAAUCCGUACAACACUAGUAAAAUGACUUAAUAUGACAUAUUUUUUAGCCGUCGGAUCCUCUACAAAUCCGUACAACAUUAGUAAAAUAACUUGAUAGGACACAUCGUUAAUAAUGCUGCACAAAUCUUGAAUCCAUGGAUGAUUAAAAAGUCACGAACACAAAUUAAUGCUCAUGUGCUUUUAAAAGUAUAAAAACUCAACUCACUCUUUCUCUCUAUAUAUAUAUAUAACCAAUAGGAAGAAGCCAAGUGUGUAGGAUGUACAAGAUACAUACAAUCUAUUGAGGAGUUAGAGGAACUCCCACCAACAUUUAUUUAUGUGCAUCUAUUUAAAGACCACCUCCACCCUCUUUCUUUUCUCCACUCCCCACAACAAAGCUCUUCCAACCAACCAAUCUCUUAAUUCGUUCAUUAAGUUACUCAAAACACCACCUAGCUUCUUCCUCUCUCCCUCAAGCAAUCUCUCUCUCUCUCUCUCUCUCUCUCUCUCUCUCUCUCUCUCUCUCUCAAACCCUGUUUAUUAUAAGCAACUUGAAGAAAGAGAGGAAAAAAAGGGGGCAUUUAAUCAUGCCAUCAAAAUAUGCUUCUCUCUUUGUGGUAGCUCUCCUCAUGAUCUUCUUCUCUCUCAACCAGCAACAAGCAAUAGGGAGGCCAGAGCCAGCUGAUCCAAGCAACACCAAUGGCCAAAAAGAGGUCAAUACAUACUCUAUUCAUUUCUCCAUUCCCCUUUACAUCUCAAAUUUGCAGAUAUAACUACUGCCACACAAAAAAUCGAUCGAUCAGCUAAAAAACGGUCUAAGAAUAAUCUUAACACUUUUGCUGCCACGUGCAUGGUGGGCAUGUAUCAAGCGAACCAUACCACAUGCACUGACACCAUAUCGACUGUAAUAUGUUAAAAGUUGAUGUAGUAUGAAAUGGUUCAGAAAUAGUCUUAAGAACUACUUUUUUUUUUUCUUUUUCUUUUUGUUUUUCUUAUGUUUUUUGAUGGGUUGGUCUUUGUUUUAAUCUUUCUAGGUAGCUGAUCAAGAAGAGGUGAGGUAUGAGAAAAUGGAAGAAGUGUGUGGAGGAGAGAAAGAGGAGGAGUGCUUGAUGAGGAGGACACUGGAGGCUCAAAUUGACUACAUCUACACUCAAGGGAAACACAAUUAACUAGCUAGAAGAAGAGCUACAAAGAGAUAUAUAUAUAUAUAUAUAUAUAAAUAUAUAUAUAUAUAUAUAUAUAUAUAUAUAUAUAUAUAUAUAUAUAUAUAUAUAUAUAUAUAUAUAUAUACAANNNNNNNNNNNNNNNNNNNNNNNNNNNNNNNNNNNNNNNNNNNNNNNNNNNNNNNNNNNNNNNNNNNNNNNNNNNNNNNNNNNNNNNNNNNNNNNNNNNNNNNNNNNNNNNNNNNNNNNNNNNNNNNNNNNNNNNNNNNNNNNNNNNNNNNNNNNNNNNNNNNNNNNNNNNNNNNNNNNNNNNNNNNNNNNNNNNNNNNNNNNNNNNNNNNNNNNNNNNNNNNNNNNNNNNNNNNNNNNNNNNNNNNNNNNNNNNNNNNNNNNNNNNNNNNNNNNNNNNNNNNNNNNNNNNNNNNNNNNNNNNNNNNNNNNNNNNNNNNNNNNNNNNNNNNNNNNNNNNNNNNNNNNNNNNNNNNNNNNNNNNNNNNNNNNNNNNNNNNNNNNNNNNNNNNNNNNNNNNNNNNNNNNNNNNNNNNNNNNNNNNNNNNNNNNNNNNNNNNNNNNNNNNNNNNNNNNNNNNNNNNNNNNNNNNNNNNNNNNNNNNNNNNNNNNNNNNNNNNNNNNNNNNNNNNNNNNNNNNNNNNNNNNNNNNNNNNNNNNNNNNNNNNNNNNNNNNNNNNNNNNNNNNNNNNNNNNNNNNNNNNNNNNNNNNNNNNNNNNNNNNNNNNNNNNNNNNNNNNNNNNNNNNNNNNNNNNNNNNNNNNNNNNNNNNNNNNNNNNNNNNNNNNNNNNNNNNNNNNNNNNNNNNNNNNNNNNNNNNNNNNNNNNNNNNNNNNNNNNNNNNNNNNNNNNNNNNNNNNNNNNNNNNNNNNNNNNNNNNNNNNNNNNNNNNNNNNNNNNNNNNNNNNNNNNNNNNNNNNNNNNNNNNNNNNNNNNNNNNNNNNNNNNNNNNNNNNNNNNNNNNNNNNNNNNNNNNNNNNNNNNNNNNNNNNNNNNNNNNNNNNNNNNNNNNNNNNNNNNNNNNNNNNNNNNNNNNNNNNNNNNNNNNNNNNNNNNNNNNNNNNNNNNNNNNNNNNNNNNNNNNNNNNNNNNNNNNNNNNNNNNNNNNNNNNNNNNNNNNNNNNNNNNNNNNNNNNNNNNNNNNNNNNNNNNNNNNNNNNNNNNNNNNNNNNNNNNNNNNNNNNNNNNNNNNNNNNNNNNNNNNNNNNNNNNNNNNNNNNNNNNNNNNNNNNNNNNNNNNNNNNNNNNNNNNNNNNNNNNNNNNNNNNNNNNNNNNNNNNNNNNNNNNNNNNNNNNNNNNNNNNNNNNNNNNNNNNNNNNNNNNNNNNNNNNNNNNNNNNNNNNNNNNNNNNNNNNNNNNNNNNNNNNNNNNNNNNNNNNNNNNNNNNNNNNNNNNNNNNNNNNNNNNNNNNNNNNNNNNNNNNNNNNNNNNNNNNNNNNNNNNNNNNNNNNNNNNNNNNNNNNNNNNNNNNNNNNNNNNNNNNNNNNNNNNNNNNNNNNNNNNNNNNNNNNNNNNNNNNNNNNNNNNNNNNNNNNNNNNNNNNNNNNNNNNNNNNNNNNNNNNNNNNNNNNNNNNNNNNNNNNNNNNNNNNNNNNNNNNNNNNNNNNNNNNNNNNNNNNNNNNNNNNNNNNNNNNNNNNNNNNNNNNNNNNNNNNNNNNNNNNNNNNNNNNNNNNNNNNNNNNNNNNNNNNNNNNNNNNNNNNNNNNNNNNNNNNNNNNNNNNNNNNNNNNNNNNNNNNNNNNNNNNNNNNNNNNNNNNNNNNNNNNNNNNNNNNNNNNNNNNNNNNNNNNNNNNNNNNNNNNNNNNNNNNNNNNNNNNNNNNNNNNNNNNNNNNNNNNNNNNNNNNNNNNNNNNNNNNNNNNNNAUUAUAUAUAUAUAUAUAUAUAUAUAUAUAUAUAUAUAUAUAUAUAUAUAUAUAUAUAUAUAUAUAUAUAUAUAUAUAUAUAUAUAUAUAUAUAUGUGGUGGAGAGGGGUGAGGAUAAGCCUCUCUCUAGAGCUUUAUUGGUUGCCACUAAAAAACAAUAUAUGAGAUAGGUUUACCAAACAAGAGUAAAACCACAUCAUGGAUGAGACUAUAUACCAUGUUUCUUUUUUCAAGUAGUUGACUCUCUCCUUUUUAACAUGAAAUAAAUGAAUAAAUUUAACCUUCUAGAAUGAAUUGAAGCUUUGUGUUUGCCACCCAAAUUAAAGUUGCUUUCUCUCUCUCUCUCUCUCUCUCUCUCUCUCUUUUCCUUGUCAAUGUAUAUCGAUCGUAGUACAUCUCAUUAGAGGGUUUUGGGUUGUGGGUCACAUAUUGGGUUUUGAUAAAAUCAUAAAUUGUAGCUUUGACUUUGUCCAUAUGAUCCAAACCGACCACAAUUUGGCAUAUGGAUUAACGACAAGUUUGGAUUGGAUUAUUCGAGAAUAAAAAGGUUAAAAUUCUACACAAAUCCCCUGAACUUGAGGCCUUUUUGAAAUGGACCUCUCAACUAUUUUUCUUUUGAUUAAUUUACGGCUCUUGUUGGUUCCUUUGAAUUAAACUCUUAUUAUCAAUGAGAUUAAAGUUUUUAUUAAAUAUAUAUAACUGUGAUAUCGAUUGUGCUAAUUUUAACAAUUUUCUAUGCUUUUUUUGCUAAUUAGAUUGCGGAUUUCGUUAAUGAUAAAUUCUCAAUUAUUUUAGAAAAUAACUCAAAUGAAGAACAUUUAAAGUCGAAGGAGUGUAAAUUACAAAAGUGUCCUUGAAUAAUUCAAAUCAAACAAAUUAAAAGAUUUACUGAUAAAAUCAAAAUUUUAAAAGAUUGGAUAGCCAACUACAGUUUAGAUAAGNAAUAAUAUAAUUAUAUUCCUAUAUAAUUAAAAAAAAUUAAUCUAAAACAACUAAACUAUUUAUAUAUAUAUAAAUAAUAAUAAUACAACAACAAAAUUAUAAAGUAAAAAAAUAUAUAAAUACUUAACUAAUCAAUUUUCAUCAUAUUUUAAAUGUACAAACUAUAUAAAGAAAUAAUAAAACUUAACUAAUUAAAUUUUAUCAUAUAUUUUAAAUAUGCAAACUAAAUAAAAGAGUAAUUAGUUGAGAAGGUCUCCAUAUUAUAUAAGUAAAAUCAUACAUAUAUAACUUAUCUAGACCAUGGACCAUUAAUCCUUUUAAUCGACAAUAUUUUGCUUCAAAACUUAUGUUAAUUACCUACUUUACUAAAUUUAUAGUUGCGAGAAUUACACGAAGAACAUUAACUAAAUCUAUAAAAUAAAUGACGUAUUUAAAAUUUUGAAGAAAAAGUGUCCUUGAAUAAUUCAAAUCAAACAAAUUAAAAGAUUUACUGAUAAAAUCAAAAUUUUAAAAGAUUGGAUAGCCAACUACAGUUUAGAUAAGUCGCGUAUAUUUUCACCUAUUAUUAUAUAUACACACGUUUACCAAAUUAAAUAAAAAGACUAAAUGUAAAGGAGAUUUGGGCUUUAUGAUGAAAACCAAAACACACCCUAAAAAAUAGCUCACCACUAAUUGGAAGUUAAUAUUUGUCACCAUGCAAAUAUUUAAUGUAUUCAUGCUUCUUUCUUUGGAAACAUAUAACUUAUAAAUUAGUUAAUUAGUACGAAAAUCAAAGCAUUAGUCUUAACGAUGCGCACGUGCCGCAGUGAUGCUCGUGCACGUACCCAUCAGUGGAAAAAAGAAAAAAGUUCCCCCACAUUUACACAGUCAACUACGGGUUUGACCACAUGCUAAGUGGAGAUAUUUUACUAUAUAUUUGACUAAUGUAAAGAUUAAUUAAAGGUUCCGUAGAUGUACUAUUUGAAUAAUUUUUUUUUUAUAAAAGUACUAGAUAGUAAAGUUUUCAUUGAACACAAUUUAGUACCAUUAAUACUAAAGCUUUUUCAUUAAACUCUCUUUAAUUUACACAUCUAUUCCUAUACAUUAAUCCCCAUAAGAAAUGCCACGUGACAGUGUUUCGUUCACUGUUUGCUUUCACCUUAUGAACGUCUGUCUCUUCGGCUUUCCGUUUCAUUAAUUCCUUCCCUAUAACGUCUACCUCUUCGGCUUCCCGUCUUAUUAAUUUCUGUCUUAUUAAUUUCUUUUCCAUAUCGUAUGUCUUUUCGGCUUUCCAUCUCAUAAUUUCUUUUUUGUAACGUCAGAAGGUAAUCAAAAAAGAAAGAAGAUGAGUUCCGUAAACUUAGAAACCCACACAAAAAAUCCAACCCUUCAUCUUCCCUUUACAUAUAGCGUUUAAUUAAUGCAACCACCUAUCCUAAUCCUAAUAUAAUCUUAAACGAUACAAAUUCAUAUAAAAGCCCCAUUCUCUCCUAUGCAUGUCAUGAAAAUAAAAGUCUAUUUAUUUUUUAUAAUAAAUUAUGACCUCUUUCAUUUGCCAAAAGAUGUGGCAUCAAUUUACUUUUUUCUAUUUUUUUUGUUAACUUCUAAUUUUGGUGUCUUCUUCUAUUCUCAUUUAGUACGAGGUGUGGGAUUUCUUUUUUUUUUUUCAACUCCUAAUUUUAGUAUCUUCUCAUCUUCUCAACGUCCACCGCUUCACCUUUUUCCAGCCCACGAGUCUUUUCUUCUUCUCUACCAUCCGUUUUUUCUAACUCCCACAAUCCUAUCUCCUCUUUUUUGUGUAGAGUUUUUUAGAUACUUCAGGUCAUAGUGGUAGUGGAGGUGGUGAAUGAGAAAGUAGUAGAGAUCAAAGCGGCGGCGGCGACUGUGAAAGAAAGCAUGGGCAAUGGCAGUGAAGAUCAAGGUGGCGGCAAAAACAAUAGUAAGUCUCACCCUCUUAGAGAUCAAUACCAAGUAAUAGUUUCUCUAUCUUUUUUUUCUCUCUUUUAUUUUCUAUUUGUUAUCUAUUUUUAACCUCUUUUACAAUAUUUUUGGAAUUAUUUGAUAGUUUUUGUUUAAGGUAAGUUGGAUUGGAUUAAAAAUAUAAUAUUUCGAUAAUACCUGUCUGCCGCAUCGCGCGGGUAACUACACUAGUUUCCAUUAAUUGGAAUAAAUACAAUAACUUCAUAUUACAACUCUUGCUCUUUUUUCUUUUUUUUUGCCAAAAAAUAUUUCAAAAGUUUUCAUUCACACAAACAUAUAAACUCCCUCUUGGAAAUAUAGGUGCUUCAUAAUUAAGAAGGUGCAUGAGUUAUCAUCUUUCUUUUUUUGUGUUGUUUAUAAAAGUCCUCACCCACAUAGGUAAUAAAAUUGACCAAUUUGUAUUAAUGUAUAUAUAUAUAUAUGAUAUAUGAUAUACCUCAUCAUGUUAAGGUUCCAUGGAAUAAAUUUGGUGACCAUCAUCAUGGCCAUCCAUUAUGACCCUACCAUGAAGAAACCAUGUGUAUACAAACAAGCCAAAAGUGGGUUGCUUUUAAUGGAAUUGUAUCCAAUUUGAGACUUUGACAAAGCAUGGAAAUUAAGGUAGUAUUAGGAAUAUUUCAUAAUGUAGGAGUCUAAAAUCAAGUAGGAUGGAUCAUAUGGACUCUUUCACAGAAAAAAAGAAAAGAAGAAUGGGUCCUUUAAUUUUCUAAUUAUGUUCCAAAUUAAAUUUGGAAAAAAAUGUAUUAAUUUGCUCUAAAUUAAGUAAUUUGAACUAAAAGUCCACUCGUUGUUAAGGAACAAUAAGAUUAUUUCAACCAACAAUUAUAUGACUUCGUAUAUGAUUCAUAUUGCUAUGUUCUGAAUAUACACACAUAGCACAUAUGCAGUAUGCAGUGUGCAUACGAUUUUACCAUUAAAAUAACAAAUAUAUAUAGAGUACUUGUUAUAGUUGGAAAUAUAUGAGUGCACUAUAACUCAUUUAUAUACCAUAUGCGGCCGCAUAGACCGCCUUUUAAAAUUUGGCAAAAGGCACAUUAUUACUUUGUCAAAUCUCUAUAUAUAAUACCAAAUAAUAAUAUGUCAAAGUAGGUUCAACAUGUACACGGAUGGUAAUGAUAAUCACACAAUCUCAAUCUUCUAAAGCUAAUUAAUUAAGCAUGUCCUUUUAGCAUACCCUACCCCACCUAUACAAAAAGAAGUCCCACCCACAACUUGAUCACUAGUAAAAAUAUCUCACAGCCCACUUUAAGACCACUCAAUCACAAAAUAGAUAAUGACCCACAAUUAUAAAUUAUAUUUUAACUGAUGCAGAUUAAAUUUAACGGAGUUGAUCAUCGAUUCGAAUGUUCUGUUAUCGCAAACAAAAUAAAAGCACAAAAAUUUCCGUGCCUCUAAAAGCACACGGUGUCGGAUCGUUGGCACUAACCAUUAAUCCCAAAAGCUCGAGCUGUUAGAAAUACGCAACCAAUUCACUUAAAGCGUACAGAAACAGCGCCCACGGGUCUCGAUUGUGACUCGGCCCACCUGGCCUCACGCCACUUCGAACAUGACUCGGCCCACAUGGCCUCCCGCCACAGGGCAGGAUGCUGGCCCAUUUAAGCCAACAAUCCCCCCUCCAGCACCUGCACACAUUUGCAGCAUGCAGGAAUCGAACCUGUGACCUCUGUCUCUUUAAUAUAAUAUUUAUGUAUCUUGCGUUAGUUGUACGAAAAAGUGAGGGCACCUUUUCGGCGCCGACUUGUUGUUACGCUCUUUUCCUUCGUUGUGAAAUUCUAACAAUCAAUUAAUUGAAUCCAAUUAGUAGCAAAUUGCUGCUAUUGGGGGACCAACUAGUGCUGGUCCUCUUUUUAAGAGAUUAUUAUAGAUCUUUCGGGUUAGUUCUACAAUAGGUUCUACAUUUUUUUAUAUUUCGCAGUUGAGUCCCAAAUGCCUAUUUAAUAUAUUUUGGUCUUUUUUAAGUAAAAGAUUGGCCUGGGACAACAGUAUUUAAAAAAAAAAAGAAUAGAGGUUCAAAAUGAUGUAAUUUAUUAUACUAGUCAUAUCAUUCUACGCGAACCCCUAAAUUCUGAACUCUUAAUUUAGGAAACAUUGAAUUAAAAGUUUUGAGGGACAAUUGUGCAAUAUUCGAACUCCGUUGUGCAAUAUUCGAACUCCGUAGGGAUAUAUAGGCAAAAUGCCCUAGCAGUGCUCCUCUUACUUUUUUUGGUUGGGGGGAUGUAUACAGUGAGUGUCCUUUUAUUAACUAGUUAGUGGCCUAUUAACAGAUGGGUGGGAACGCAACUCUCUCGACCUAGUGGCAUGGCUGGAGUGCGUGCGGCGGUGGAUGCGACGUGAUAUAUACAAAGAAGAGGAAGUUUCUGAGGACGAUUGCUGAUAUAAGACUAUUUCAUUUGCUGUUAACGCCGUUUCUAAUUUCAUGCCAAUCAUGUACUGAUCUGCAGAUGAAACGGUCUUACAUUGAAUGCCAAUUAAUAGAUCUAUGAGUGGGAGCUCAACUCUCUCGACCUAAUGGCAUGGCCAGAGUGUGUGCGGCGGUGAAUACGACGUCAUAUAUACAAAGAAGAGGAAGUUUCUGUGGACAAUUGCUGACAUAAAACUAUUUUAUUUGCCGUUAACUCUGUUUCCAGUUUCAUGCCAAUUAUGUACUGUUCUGCAGAUAAAACGGUCUUAUAUUGGAGACCUAUUAAUAGAUCUAUGAGUGAGAACUCAACUCUCUCGAGAUAAUGGCAUGGCCAGAGUGCGUGCGGCGGUGGAUGUGACAUCGUAUAUACAAAGAAGAGGAAGUUUAUGAGGACGAUUGCUAAUAUAAGACUAUUUCAUUUGCUGUUAACGCCGUUUCCAACCAAUCAUGUAUUGGUAAAACGGUCUUAUAUUGGAGGCCUAUUAACAGAUCUAUGAGUGGGAACUUAACUCUCUCAAGAUAAUGGCAUGGCCAGAGUGCGUGCGGCGGUGGAUGUGACAUCAUAUAUACAAAGAAGAGGAAGUUUCUAAGAAUGAUUGCUGACAUAAGACUUUCAUUUGCCGUUAACAUUGUUUCCAAUUUCAUGCCAAUCUUAUACUGAUCUGCAGAUAAAACAGUCUUACAUUGGAGGCCUAUUAAUUAAUAGAUCUAUGAGUGGGAACUCAACUCUAUCAAGCUAACAGUCGGAACGCGUGCGGCGGUGGAUGCAACAUCAUAUAUAUACAAAGAAGAGGAAGCUUCUGAGGACGAUUACUGACAUAAGACUAUUUCUUUUACCGCUAACGUCGUUCCCAAUCUCGUGCCGAUCAUGUGCUGAUCGGCAGAUAAGACGGUCUUAUGCUGGGGACAACCCUCGCAACGACGGCAGUGAUGAUGGUAGGGCCCGGCCGCCACAUGCUCAAAUUAGUGUUAAACUUGUUAGUUGUUGUGGCCCACAAAUCACACUCCAUCAUCCCCACCCUAUCCUCUCCUAAAGUACCCUGUUUGAACAAUGAAUGGUAAGGAAUUGAGAAUGGGCAAAUAUAAUGCUCAACAAUCUCAACAUACUUACAUAGUCAACAUUUGCGGCAAAAAUGAGAGAUCUCACGCUUUCACACGUGAGACACGAGGUAGUUCAAAAGCCUCCCCCACACAGUGUUUCUGGAGCCAAACUUGAACCAAAAUCCGAACAUUUCAACACGCCUUCAUGAUACUGACAUAAAGAUUCAUUGAAUUCGAUCAUUAUUUUGCUAACCGGACUAUCUUGGAAGUUACACACUCUCCUUGCAGUUUGGAUCUUACGCGCCCCGUAAUCAACUGCUGUCAAAUCAGCGAGCAGAUUAGCACAUAACAAUCACAUGUACUUUGUAAAAACAUAACUUCAUUGAUUUCACUUACCGCUACAUGGUCGAAAAAUGUAGGCAUCUUACUGUAGCAGAAUCUUACGGAAAACUGGAAUAAUAACGAUAGGAGCGAAAAAUGCUAGACUUUUUGUUAAGCUUUUCCUUUCAAAAAGUAGAGAUAUGGUUUUGACAAGGGGAAUGAGAUAGAUAGAACUUCUAAUAAAACUUAAGAGUGAUAUAAACAAAUAAACAAAUAAAAGGGAAAUUAACGUACCAUAAACACAAGCUUCAGUGGACGUUUACGCGCGUCAUGAACUGGUUAAUCGCGCUACGAAUAAGCCGAAUUUCUUUACAAGAAUAAGUCAACCCAAUUUCCAAUCCACUGUAGUUCCCGUCUCUUUAUCAGCAAGUAUUUCUCCUCUUUUUUUUUUUUUGAGACCUGUUUGAGACAUAAAAAUUGUUAAAUACAAGAUCAUUGAAAGAAAUUAAACAGACGAGUUUUCGAGUCAGUAAUGUCCAACUUGUAAGUGAGAAUUAAACAACAAAGUAAAGCCAAAUAACUAAAUUACUAAUGAAAGAAAAUUCCAAUUGCCCAAUAAUAAAAGAACGAAAAAGGAAUACAAAGGCUCUCAGAUCAACACCUCAAUGUGCUCAUCGAUGUAGACAAUCCAUUAGAAAAAACAAUAUAGAAAACAUUUAGAACUCAAAAUAGACAACAAAAAGCAGGAAAUAAAAAAGAAAACCUCUUUCUUUCACUCUUCCCCGAUAAAAUUUUCAAAAAUAGCAAGUUUACAAGCAGUAGUUAAAAAAGCAUUUCAUCAGUAAAGAUUUGUCAUCAUGUUUAUCCGCACAUAAAGAAACGGACAAACACUGCGCAGCCAAUUAUAUAGUAGAACAGACAUAUGAUUAUGUCCGAUGAACUUAUAUGAAACCCUACAGCUCAAGUGCAUAAAGCCAUGCAUGCUGCAUCUUCUAACACAACAGGAAAUUCACUACAAAUUAGGGGUAUUAGAAUGCUCAAGAAUGAUUGGAUUCAGAACGUAUCAAGAAGGAAAUAUAGCGCAAACAUUAUUAGUUAUCAAAGUCAAUUAAUUUUGUGCUAGAUAAUUGUACAGUUCAUAUUAGCGAGUCACUAGAAAUAGCUUAAUUUUAUUUAUUGGGCUCAGUUGUUUAGAGGAAAAACCACCUGAGCGAUCUGCAAGGACUGUUUAAGAAUUCAGAAGAGGAGGAUGAUUCCUCUCUCUUACUCCUCACAUCCUAAAAUAGAAUAUAUUAAUGUUUUAUCUAAACUCUGAUCCAACCUGGAUACAACCUAAACCAUAAUUCUUCUGCAAAUUCACUUGAAAAAUAACCAUUGAUUUAUUCUUCUAAGCUGCCAACCAGAUUGUAACAUCUGGAUCAACAAGGUUGUAUAGAAUAUGAUAUCAGAGUGAAGACUCUGCAAGCCCAGAAUUUUGUGUUACUAUCAGAAAUAGUGAUGAAAGUGGCUUCCUCGACCGUACACAGAGAUUACAGAGAAGAUCAACAAAGAAAUGUGAAAGUAGAAGUAUCAAUUAGAAGUCAACAACUAGCAACAAAAGCAAUGAAUCAACAACUUCUUUACGAAUUUUACAAAAUAUCUUUCCUUGUCAAGGUUUACAAAAGUUUGGCCGAGAAAAUAAAUAAGAAUACCGUUGGAAUAUAAGUGAGAAGGGAAUUUAAAGACUAACCAGAGAACAACCAAUCCAGCAGUGAAUGUAUUAGAGAUAAGGACUGACUUCGUCAAAGAGGACUGACUUCGUCAAAGAACUUCGGUCCGAAUAUUGUUUGUCCGACACAGAUCGAUCAUAUGAUAUAUUAACUUGAAAGGUGUCCAAAGCCAUGCAAGAGAUUAAAUUUCCCAAGAACUGUCACUAAUUCAAUGCAUAGAUGUAGAAUGUAUAAAUGGCUUUUAUUAGAAAUCAAGUUUGACCAGGACAAAGUGAAGUGAAUCAGCACAUUAUUUGAUUGAACUAAUUAAAGGAUUUGCUGAAGCAAGAGGCAAUUAAACUGAAAUAAAUAAGAAACCGGAAUUGCUAAGAAAAUUGUAGCAUGAACAAUCAACCAACUUCUUCUCCUUUAAUAAUUAGGCAAAAUGAUUGCUUUUGUUUAGUCAAAUCAGUGUUCUCUCUAUAUACUCUGUAACUAAGUCUUUUGCCAAUUUAUGAAGAUUUACAUUCAAGGAGAUCUCAUCUUCUUUCGCUUCUCAAAAAUCACAACACCUUUAAUUGCAGAUUUUGUACUUUUGAUUUAAAAUCCGUCUUAGAAAUUUCAUCUACUUAUUACAUCCUGUGCUCAAGGAAAUUAAUACGCUCUUCCCCUUUCUUGUUCUCUACAGGUAGCAAUUGAAAAUCAGCCCCAAAUGUCAUUAUUAUACAUCUAAUUUAUAAUUUUGAAGCCGUAAACUCAUUGAUCUUAGAUCAGAAAUUUCUUGGAAAGUCUGCAGCAAUGCUAUACGGCUUCCAUACUGUCCUGUUCUUUAUCACUCUUUAUAAAGGUAAGAAGUGCCUAGCUUGAUCUAAAAAAAACGAUGACAAACAAGAGGAUUGUUCAAAGACCUUGAAUUGGAGCCACUAAUUACAAGCAAAUUAAUAAUAUUUUCUAGAAUUCUUUCGCUCCUAAACACGACAAGGAGGCCAAUCAGCUAUGUAAGCACCAACUCAUCUUGCAAAGUUCGACUUCUCCACUCUCCAAGAUGUGCAUGGAAAAGAUAUACUCCAACACAUGUGCUCUUUAUUUUCAUCCAUUAAGGUUGUACUAGUUUUCUAUCUUUUUUAUGUAGAGGACCGACAAUUCAAAUUCAAAACAAAAAAUCGAGCAUGCUCCAGCAACAGAAAAUGAAAUAUAAACAAAAAGCUUGCAAAAUUAUCUUACAGAUGAUCUUACACUAUGUCUAGUAGGUCAUAAACGAGAUACUUAGAUCUAGAAUGAAUCAGCUUUAGGCCAAACUAUUUCAGACACAAGGAAUGAGAGAGAGAGAGGGAGAGAGCAAGAGAGAGCGAGAGAGAGAGAUGAAGAUAGUUGGGCUGUAUGUGUCAAGAGAACUUUUCUUGCAGUAAUCUAAAUUAAACAACAAAGAACGGGCAUAUUUCCUCCACAUUGCAAAAUUUGUUUAUCCAGAUACUAUGUGCCACUUGAACUCUGAACAAAUCAACGCUGGAAUCCCUCUAUAAGCCAAACCAUGAUAAUGCAAUUCACAAACGAAUGCGAAUUUGGAGAUAAUCAAGGGAAGAGUUGACAUCCCUAUGUCAGCAUCCUAAGACUGCACAGAAUCCUGGCCCCUCGUUCCUCCUAAGAUAUGUCAUGAUAAGUCCCAAUUAAACUCAUAAAUGAUUAAAAUCCCUAUAGCCAAAUCUCACAUCAAUACUAACAAAGGAACAGAAAUCAUGUCGAUUGAAUUAAUAACAGUUCAGUUCAUGAAAACAAAAGUAAGGUAAAACUUCAUCUUUUUUGAAGAAAAAUAAAAGCAGAUCAUUCAGUUAAUCUGAUUGGCCCCCAUCAUCCCAGCUUGAUCUUGAUCCAAAGACCACACUAAACGAAAUAGGUUUCAUUUGAACCUUUACAAUAACAAAUUUUCAACAGAAUUUCCUACAUAUCCUGGGAAAGGAACAACAAUUAUGCUGCAGUAUGAAGAAUACAAACUUAAAAUUACUUACCUGCAUCUUUAGUGAGGUUUCUCAUUGCUAUGUGUCGAAAACAACGCAUGUUUUUACAGGAAGCUACCCAUUACAAAGAGGCAAAAGCCGACUCUAGUGACAAAAAGCUUAUCAAGAACCUGAUUAGAAAAUGAAGAUGAGUUUCUCUGCUAUUUAAAAUGGAAAACUGGUGUGCCUCCAAAAGAAUAUAUGAGAUUAGAAUGCAAGUUAUACGCUAAAACAAGGUGACUAAAUCUCCAGAUGCAUAAGAAUAAUUAGUGUGCGCAUCUCAAUUAAAAUGAGUUUCCUACAUACCCUCAUAUAGGACCGUCGAUUAUGCUGCAGAGCAUGCAAAUUUAGAAACCCAUCUGCUUCCGAACUGAGGUUGCUUAUCAGAGCGAGUGCUAUCACAAUCUUUCAACUGAACUACUGAUUAUGAAGAGGCAAAGCCAGCUCCGGCAAUUGAUAAGAGCUCAUCAACAUGCUGAUUAGAAAGAAAUAAGAGGUGCCACUGAAACAAAACAUCAAGAUUAAAUACAAGCUAUAUGUGAAAACACAAACUAUCAAAUAUUCAUAGAAUGAGAUAAAAAUGGUACACACACCACAGACAUAAAAAACAAGAAAUAUCUAGCAGUAAAAGCUCAAACUUACUGUUAGAUUCCCCAUGGUGAUUUGUAAUUUUGUACACGCACAUCUUCAGAUGAAAUAUUUCCUAGUCGACAUAAGCCAUGCAUAAACUCAAACUCAAAAAGAUGUGAUUCAAUGUCUUGAUACAAGUGCUGAUGUUAAAAGCUUAACAUAGCAGGUAACAUAUUAAAAGUAACAAAAUAAAACACGGAAAGAAAAAGAUCAAUGAGCUGAAAGAACGUACAUUUGCAAACAACAUAAGGUGAAAAGUAAGAAAACAGCAGAGAAAAUCAACUUUUCUUCAUAUUUCCAACUAAUUUAUAACAAAAGAACUCUUGUUGUACAAUGCUUCUUCUCUACACCUGCUUUUCCUCUAAGCUUUCUCUACUUACACACAAAUAAAACAUGUUGCUUCCCAUCAAUCUGAUGUAAUAAUAACAAUUGCCCUUUUCUAACACACCGAAAAGAGCUAUUCUAUUAAAAAGAAAUCAACUGUAAAUAAGUCUAACACAAUUUACCAAAUCGUGUGGACAAACAUUCAGGCACUACUGGUCUUUGAAGAAAGAAGGUUCGCCAAAAAAGCAUGGAACUUGAUUCCCUUUCUCUCCUGUGGUUUCUUUUCAAGGAAUGUAGUAUAAUUUGGAGCAGUAAGAACGGAAAUUCUCAAACAACUUCCUAGUGAAGUAACAGAAGCCGACACUUAAGCAGGGACGAUAAGCCUCGUCCCGAUAGAGAUGUGCAUGCACAAGGCAAGGCAUAUGGUGAAGAUGGCCAUGGACUUGGCACUGAGAUACCUCACCACCAUCAAGCCCCUUUCCACCACCUCAUGGUGAGCGCCAUGGACGCUCUUCUUCACGCCAUCCGAAACGCCCCGUAGCACGAAAUCAAGGAAGGACCUCACCAUCUCCGACGUCACCCUCCCGGUUACGUCGAGCACUAACCUCCUAUUGCCUGGAACUACCAAUGCGGCCGAAUUCGAUUCAAUAGCUUCUCUCGCGACGAGUUCCACUGGGGUCUUCGAUGAGCUCGAGCUUGAAGAGGUGAUGACCUGGUGCGAGGUCCGGACUAGGGUUUCGACGGCGCCAUUGCUGAGGGAGACCAACAGAUCCUUCACCUUUGCCUCGUGCUUGGGGUUGGUGAUGCUGGAGAGCGCCUCGUCGAACGUGUUGAUCGCCAUGGUGCGGUCGAGGUACGCCGCCACCGCGGUGCUCACGAACACCUGGAUCCAAUUCGCCGCGAGCUCCUUCCCCCUCUCCCCGAACACCACCUGAAGCCACCGCGGAUCCUCCGCGCUUUCCCCGCUCGGCACCGCGGAGUGGUGCGCAACCACCAGGUUCCGCGCGAAGCUCCCGACGACGACGGAGGCGAAGCCGGAACCGGCGGGGGAGAAGAGCUUGUCCAGAAGCCGAUCCGAUAAGGGCUCGGUUGAGGAAUCGGACCCGGAGACGGAGCCGCGGAGGACGCCGCGGGUCACGGCUUCGGAGAGGGCGGAGACGGAGCUCGAGAAAUCCUCGGACAUGGCGAUCUUCGACGCUUGCCGUAGGCUGGUGGGGAUCUCGUCGGAGUCGGAGCGGAGGAAGCGGUUGAGGUCGCCGGAGACGAGCGCGGCUGCAUCGGCGGAGGCGGAGGCGGCGUCGGCGAGGGCGACGACGGCGUGGAGGAGCCGCGCGAGCCUCCUCCGCCUCCUCGCGACGGAGGGGAGGUGGUAAACCCUGUAGGCGCCGUAGCCGGAGGCGGCGACGGCGAGGGCGAGGAGGAGCCACCGCCGCCGCCGCGGCGGCCGCGAGAGGGCGAGCGCCGCCUCGGCGAACAGGGAGGCCAUGGGAAUCCGCGGCGCGGUAUUAGGGUUUUGGAGGAGGGGAGGAUGGGGGCUAGGGUUUGGAGGAAACCCUCGAGGGGGUUUUGCGAAGGAGAAGAGGGAGGUGGUCACGGGAACGGAACGGAGUCGUCUCUAAAAAAGGAGAGGGGCACGUUCCGUUUCGGGACGUGAAAGGAGCGGCGAAGAGUUAUAUACACCGUUACGGUGGUCCCCACACGAAAACUGGGGAGAGAGAGCGCGUUGAGAUAAAUGCAAAUAGUCGUAUGUGAUUGAAGCUUAUGGACCCUGUCCACCAACUCAUCUCUCUGGCACCCAGGGGUGUCCACGAGCUGAACAUGAGUGAGCUGAGACGAGCUGACAUGUUAAAGUAUCGAGUCGAAAAAUUCAACUCGUUUUCGGCUAGUUAAUAAACGAGCCGAACAUGAGCUGACUCACGAGCUGACCAACGAACAAUAAGUUAAAAGGAUUAGAUUGAAUAUAUAUAUAAAAUAAAUUUAUAAAAUCUUAUCCAUUAGACUUUGAUCUAAUAGUUGAAAUUUUACAUAUAAAUAAGUCUUUUUAUAAUUGAGCUCGCCUUUAUAUUUUUAUUUUGCUAAAAAUUAAAUAAUAAAAAUAUAUAGUAUAUAUAUAAUUAUUUAUUUAUAUAUAUAAAUAUAAAUUAAAUAAAUUAUAUAAAUAUAAAAUAUAUGUAUUCGAGCUGUUAUCAAGCCGAACACGAGCGAGCUAACCCCAGCUUGUGUUCGGCUCGUUUAAUAAACAAGCCGAAAAAUUCAGCUCAUGUUCGACUCGUUUACUAAACGAGCGAUUCGAUAUUGAAUUCAUUUCGAGCCGAACACGAAUUAGCUCACGAACAGCGAGCUAGAUUGCCACCCCUACAUAGAAGAUACAAGUAUCAAAAUUAUAUAAAUGCGCGCGAAUGAGUUACUUUUAUAUUAAAAGAAUAUUAUCGGUAACUAAUUUUUUAAAUUUGUUAUUUGAUUUUUUAAAAUUAAAAAAAAAUUCUAUGAAAGAACAGUAUAAUUAUUCAUCAUAUACGAUGCGUAAAUUCUAGAAUAAUAGUUAAUAUUUAGUGAAAUCGUUUUUUCAUGAGAAAACUUCUGAGUUUCCUCACAACUUUAUAUGUGAAUAAAAACAAUACUAUUUUAUUCAAAAAAAACUAAUUUUAAAAUUUGAAAAUAAUAAACUUUAGUUAAGUAACUAUAGUUUGAAAAAAUUAUUAAUUAAAAAAUUCAAAAAAAAAUCUGUACAAAAAAAAAUAAUAUAAUUAAUUUUUUUUUAUCAUAUAUAAUGUACGAAUUUUAAAACUAUGACGGUGGACUGCCCCUCUCUCUCUCUCUCUCUCCACAAAAGAGGCUUCCCACGUAAUUCCUGCACGAAUUUUAAAGCAACAAUGGUGCGGUCCACGGGUGACGUGGUGGACCGGGGCUUUCGCCGCGCUCGCACGGAGACUUGUAUGCGGUGGCGAAGGCCUCGGCGACUCCGUCCGCAUCAAAUGUGGCGGGUGGGGUCCGUGGGGACGCCGUUCUGGGUUGACGACUUCAGUACAAUUGGAAUCGGCGGUUGAACGCAGCCAAUGGCGACUUCAAUGCAACGAGUCCAAGACUCCAAGUAGGUGGGAAAUUUAUUAAUUAUUUAUGUCCCAUUACUGCACCAUUAAUUUGAUUAAUUAUUUUAUUCUCUUCCAAAGUCCAUUAAUAUUUAAUUGUGAAAACUUCAAAUACCUUCCCUCUGGUUUCGCACUCUCUCACUUUAACACCCUAUGGUUUAAAAUGUAUCUAGUUAGUACCCUAUGGUUUCACACUUUCUCACUUUAGUACCGUGUGGUUUAAAGUGUAUCAAGUUAGUACUCUGUGGUUUUAUUUUUGUAUCAAAUUAGUAGCAUGAGUUAUAUUUUUCUCUUUUUAUUAUCUAUUUUGGGAUUUUUUUUCGUUAAAUCAGUGAUAAAGUUAAAACUAAAGAGUACUAAAAAAUGAAUAUUCGAUAAAUCUAGCAAGGGUAUCUGAAGUUUUUUGUAUAUAAUUUAACGAAAUAUUAAACCAUGGGGUACUAAAGUUAGAAAGUGCGAAACCACAGAAUACUAACUUGAUACACUUUAAACCAUAGAGUACUAAAGUGAGAAAGUGCGAAACCACUGGGGGUAUUCGAAAAUUUCCCUAUUUAAUUUAGUGGAUACAUAAUUAACAUGAUGCGGUGACUCUUGAGUUCCCCGUUUGAUUCUCUCUAAUUUGAGAUUAAUUUGAAAUUUUACAAACAUAUUAGGUCUGUGUACAUAGUAGUACUAUGUCCUAAUUAAAGAUCAUAUCACCUACUAGUAUUAAUUAUCCCUUAAAAUUGAUGCUCAAGCUAAGCUUAUAAAUAAUGCAUAAAAAAAUUAUUUUCUAACGGUUUAAUGAUAAAAUAAAACGCUUAGGUCCAAUAUAAAAGCCAAGUAACUUCACAUUUCUAACACAAAAAACUAUUUUAUACGGGUUAAUUCCAAUUGGUUUUUUGUUAACUAGUUUAAAAUUUAGUUUGGUAUUGAGGUUCAUCUGACAUUAUUUUUUUGACAAUGACAAACGAAAUCCGAAAAGAAAUAAAAUAAUAUUUCCUACAUUCCCUACAAACAUAUUUCCUAUAAAUAGAUAUGAUUAGUUUAUUAAAAAAAUUUCAAAUAAAACGAACGGUUAUGAUCCAUCAUUUAAAAAAAUAGCAUUCUUAUCCAUCUAUAAAUCCAAUCCUACAAACGACUGUAUCAAUUAAAAAUGAACGGUUAUGAUCAAUCUGUUAAAAUUUUAAUCUAAAUCAAAAAUUAAUAUUUAGUUAUUAAAUUUAAAUUAAAAAAAAGUUUAAUCGUAAAUUAAAUUUAAUUUGAUGUCAAAUUUGAACUAUUAAUCAGUUGUGAUUAAUUAAAAACGAACGGUUAUAAUUAAUCUGUUAAAAUUUUAAUUUAUAUCGAGCCUACAAAUGAUUGUAAUCAAUUAAAAACAAAUAGUUAUGAUCAAUUAAAAACGAACGGUUAUAAUCAAUCUAUUAAAAAAUAGCAUUCCUAUCUAUAUUUGUACUAUAUAUAAGAAUAACAGAAGGAAGGAAUAAAAAAAUAUUUCCUACGAACGGAUCAAUUUGUAAAAAAUAUAUUUCAAAUAAGAACGAACGGUUAUGGUUGAUCAAUCUGUUAAAAAAAAAUAUUCAAAUUUAUCAAUAAAUUCAAUUCUACGAACAGUUAUGAUCAAUCUAUUAAAAAUAUUUCAAAUAAAAAUAAAUGAUAAUAAUCAAUCUGUUAAAAAAUAACACUUCGAUCCAUUUAUUUUACAUUAAAAUUUAAAUUUGAGUUUAAAUCAUGAUUUAGAUUUAAUUUUUAAUUUUUGAUAUCAAAUAUAAAUUAACAAUUAAAAAUUUUUAAUUAUAUAAUGGAUCAAAAUUAAAUUUUAAAACAUAAAUUUUAUUCUAAACUUGUUAAUAAAUAUGAUUUACAAAUUUUUAUUGAUUUUGAAAUAAAUUAAAAUAAUUGUUAAUAUAUAUAAGAGAGUCAAAAACUAAGGGCCAAAAACUUAUAAGUAUAAGAGAGCCAAUACUCGUAAAAGUAUAGUAGCCGGACACUCUCUCUCUCUCUCUCUAUAUAUAUAUAUAUAGAAUUGAGCUCCUAUACUUUUAAAAGUACCAAGUCAUUGGUGCUUGUAAGUUUUCAGCCCUUAGAUUAAAGAAUGUGCGAUUAGGAUGAUGUGGGCUCUCUAGGGUUAAGUGGGUGGUUGGUUGAAUAGUAUAAUCUAACGGGUGAAAAUGAUCAAAGGUAUAGAUCUAACGGUAAAAAAUUUACAAGUACCAAGUGCUUGGUGCUUUUACAAGCACCAUAGCCGGACUCAUAUAUAUAUAUAUAUAUAUAACCUCUAAAUAUGUACGAAAUUAUGAUCAUGCUUGUAACUACUUGGCCCACUAUUCCCGCCUUACAGGCAACAAACUUACCAUGCAUCCUCCUCUGUAUGAUAUUUUGAUCCCUUCAACAGCAAACAAAAUAAGGAACAUCCAUGAGAGAAAAAGAUAUUUUGAUCCCUUCAACAAGAAACAAAUUAAGGAACACCCAUGAGAGGAAAAGAGAGUAGCAGUAGUAGUCGCAGUGAUUAGAAUUAGAAUGGCAUUGAUGGGGAGUGAGCAGCUGGGGAGCCUGGUGGGUGUGAUAAAGCAGAAGCUGAAGCAGAAGCUGAAGCAGAGGCCGUACGCGAGGAUGGAGAAGAGCGCGAGCCUCAGGACGGAGAUCAAGAGCAUGCAGGCGCGACGCCUCAUCGACCGCACCCUCAAGGCCGCCGACCGCCCCGGGAAGGUCUCCCUCCCCUCUUGAUAAAGACAACAUCUUUAGUACUAGUAGAGGUAUAUAUAGUACUAGUACAUUUCCAUAAGACCAUAACCAUAGCACUGAAGAAGAGGAAGAAGAAGAAGAAGAAGGACGGUUAGCUUAGGCUCGAUCAACACAUAUAAUUAAUCUUCCAUUUCUUUAUUUAGAGAAAUUAAGGAAAUAAUAACUAGUUGUAUGUAUGUUACAUGGUGAGUGCUCAGUGGAGUUUUGUUUAAAUUCUUUUGUUUAAGUCUUCGAAUUUGGCUUGUUCAUUUGCUGAUUGCUUGGUCAUUUCUUUAGAAAGCAUUAAUGGUUGGUAAUAAAUUUUCAAUUCUUUUUUUUUUCUUAUCUUCUUUUCUAUUUGAUAAUAUAGAUAAGCAUUUGUACAGUGUAGUAUUUUGUAUGCAAUAAAUAAACAAAUAAAUAAACAAUGUGUUUGGGAUGCUAAAGUAAUUUUAGACAUACUAAUGAGGAGUAGAGAGAAAUGGGAGAGACAAAGUUAAAAGUGCGCACUGCAAAAAGAUUACAUCCAUUUCAACCUACAUGAGCUAAUAUUUUCGUAGCUCUUAUAUCACUCUGCGGAGCAAAAUAUAAGCAAUUCAUAUGAACAAACACGAGCAAUCCAUUCUGAGAUAUAACUAAACAGAUCAAUAGGCAACUUCAGGGAACAUAAAGAAUUGUGCACGGCGUUUAUCUACAGAGAAUGCGAACGAAUGAAAGAACAUGAGGCGGAGACAGAAACGAACAGAUGUAAAAUACAGCAGCGACACGAAAGCCCGAUCGCUUCAUAACUGGUUGGUUUUGCUUAUAUGAACAGUAAACCGACAUUUAUGUGAAACUGAGAGAGCUCCAACUUGGGUCGGGCCGACAUCUGUUUCGAAUUGCUUGUCCAUUUGCGUGGACAUCAUUUUGUAUGAUCAUCGUCGUCUUCCUCGAGAUCACUAAAGGAUACAUCCUCCUCAUUUCCUAUUGGAAGCGAGGUGUUCACAGGAACGCCCGUCUCCUCCUCGUCCUCCUCUUUCAACCAGUCGUCGGCGUCAUCUUCAUCGUCAAACUUUUCAAUAGAUACUUCCGACGGCUGGAUCUUAUCUCUGGAGGGAUGUGGCUUUAAUAGCUCUUCUUCAAUCACGGACUUAUCUAUUACUUGUUUCUCCAUUGUAAGGAUUGGGUGCUUUUCGGUCUCCAGAUCCAUUUCAGGGAAAGUAGCUUUGGUUUCUUGUGUAUUGGGUGUUAAGGAUUCGUAGGUAUCUCUCGAAGCUGAAAAGUGCUUAUCCUCUGGAGUUGCAAGUUGGUCUGGUUUCUUGUAGGAGAGAUCGAUAGUGGGCGCUUGCUUUUCCAACUUUGUCUGAUUCUGUAGCCUCUGUAGCAUGGCCCUGGCUUCUACAAUCUGCACAAGUCGAGAGUUUCUCAAAGAAGGGAAAGCACCAAAAAAGUAACUGCCACAACAUUUUAGCUAAAUCCAUCUUUUGUCAUUGAAAUUCUUGAAUUUGAGAAAGAUUGGAAGAAGAAAAACUGCAAAAAUUGCACCAAGAAGUAGUCUCGGCACGAAAGAUUAGGAUAAAGGGACUAUUGAAACAAGAACUCAUGUUUGGCUUCUCCAGAAUUUUAUAAAACUCAAAACAAUCCCUCCCUAUCGUAUUUCAUUCUUUUUCUUCAGGUUAACUGAAUAUCUAACUAGAAUAUUGUCGAAGAAUGCUAAACUAAAAUUCACAGCCCCUGAGCUUCGGAUACUAUUUAUUCACUGCAAGUAUUUAGUUCCACAUAUCUAACUGAAAUAUUAAACUGAGAUACAGGGCCUGAGAAAGAGCUUUCCAAGUGUUUGAUUCCGUAUAAGAUACUUUCAGCAAAAACUGUUUCCAGGCCAUUUUAACAUGGAACCAAACACUAGCUAUGCGACAACAUGAUCAAGCACUACAGGCUUUCCAAGGACAUCUUAGGAGUUUAAAUAUUUAGGCAUCACAGUAUCUUAAUUCUUGGUCACUCCAGCAGGUAGUCACAUGUUUCAGUGUACUCGCUUCUAUUAUAAGCCAAACCACUAACUUCCAAAAUAUUACAGCUUGCUAGCACCUCACAUGGAUACAUUAUUUUAGAUAAAUCUAUCAGAUCUGGGGAAUUAGCAAAAUGAAUGUUAGAUUACAACCUGCCAGCUAGCUUAGAUCUCACAUAAAGAUGCCCCUCCACCAAUAGAAAACUAGAGUAACAUGUUUCAUAGGCCGACAAUAACAUCAGAUUUUCAUACAUCAAGCAAAUUGAAAAUCAUGCAUCAGGUAUAAGCUUUUGAUACGGAGAAAAUAUAGACAAACAAGAACAGAUGGUAACGAAAUAAAAUUUCACUUUCAGUCGGACAAACAUCUAUACAUUAAGGAGAGGAUUUGCAUAGUCUACCACCAUAUGAAAUGAAUAAUACUUUGCAAAGUUGGUCAAAACUAAGGAGUCAAGAUCCUGCUUGAUGGGCUUGUAUUGCAUAAUCUUCAGUAUUAGAGCUUUACAAGAAAGACAUUUUGUUUGUAAAUUAAUGAUCAUGAAGUUAGUAGAAAUGGCCAAAUUUAGAUGUCAAAUUCAUAGCGAGAAAAACUAUAUGAAAGUGCAAACUGGUAAAGAAUAUCAUGCCAGGAAAAUCAAGCAUGAAGUGCCGGCAAGUUACCUGAGGAGUUGACAGAAGUUCAGCAUCCUGCUUAUUGAGUCUGGGAUGUAGGAGCACGAAAUAAAUUUUCCAAAAGCAACCUUCACUCAUGUGGCUCGGGCAAAGUUCAAUUCUUAAGGCUGCUAAUCUAGGUAAAAGGCGCUCGACAGCCAAUGCAUGCUCUUGUUGGGCAUCAGACAUGUCAAAAUCUGACAAUGGCAUGAUACAAUUAAUAAAACAAUCAGAAGCAAAUAGGAUAAAAAUGCCCGCACUGCACUGAUUGCAAUGCCUUCCAAUAAAGUAACAGGAUAAAAACAAGCUUAGUAGCAAACAUGUUUGAUGACUUUAUUUAACCAUCAGUAAAAUAAGCAGUUAGUACACAGUUGCCACGUAUUUAUCUUUUAUCUCACAAAUCAUGAAAGGCAACAUAGUUUGAAAUAUAUAUAGAUUUUAAAAAAAGUGAAAUUCCGAUGGCACAAUACAAAAGUUGAAAGCAAAUCAAUUAAGACAUAGAGCACAAAAUUUGUUGAAGUAACAAUGAAAAUAGAGAAAAAUAGUCUUGUGAAUAUAUAUAUCUAGAAGACUAAAAGUGUUACACAAGUUAUUUAUGUAUUUCGCCGGCAUACUGUAACAAGAAAUAACAAAGAUGAUCCUGCAUUCGAGAGAACUAUGAGAUGGAUUUUAAACACUAAUGAAAUUACGCCAUUAGGCUUCAUAUCGGUAAACGACCUUUGUUCACCUAUCCCACAUUCCAUCAGUACAAUUUUUCCGCUGCUUCAAGUUCCUUUGUUCAUUCAACUGUGUUAGAUAUAAGGUUCAAAGCGUUCCCAAUGAGACGCAGAACUUACAUAACUAGCGAUAAUCUACCAGAAUCUCCCUCAGAAAAUUAAAAAUUGGCGCUGCUUUCUAUGUUAAGGCAAAAUCAGAGUAAAAGUGCUUAACACAAAAGCUGUUAACUAGCAGAGAAAGAGAAGUUCACUUUAAUUUUGAACUCACAGAUCCCAGGAGCAAAUGAAAAUACAUCUUAGUGAAAAUAACCCAUUGAAACAUAAUUCUAUACAAUUAAAGCAUAAUUUUUUCCUUAACAUCACACAUACGACGCCAUUAUAUACAUCUAUUCGCAAUUCAAAGAGCACAUCUACAAGCAUCAUAAUUUAAUUGAUAUCAAAGAACAGUUAAUAGAACACAAACCUUCGAAAUCGUCUUCUUCGGGAAGCAACGGGAAAUCCAACCACGUCUCUGGAUGCUUCGAGAUGUUCCUCGCGAACGUGAUCACCUCCUCCGUUACGCCGAUCACACCGCUGCCGCCGACACCACCACCACCUCCACCAGCCUCGCUUGCAGAUCGUUCCCCUCCGGCCGCCCGCCUCGUCGUCAAUCCUCGCCUCCGAAGUAGAACGUGGAACGCAACCUUUGGAAUCCCACACGCCUUGUGUCCGAAUCUUCGAGAUCCCCGUCCUGAACCUCCCCCGAUCUCACCGCGCUGUCGCUCCGAUCCGCGACACCGCGAAAUCCAGCCUCCCGAUCGACCGAGGUUUCCUCAUCCGCCUCCGCGUCGGGGUGGGAUUGGAGGGUGGCGAGAGGAGGCGAACCGCCCGCCUGGCCGUUAGGUUGUGAAUCGAGAUGUCUCACUUGACCCCGCCGUGGGGACCAGACGACUCCAUGUCGUCGGCGUGGCCGCCCGCCGAAUCCCGGGCGCGCCGAGGGCGUGUGGCCGGGAUGGCGUCGCCUUCGUCGCCAUCAUUCAUCGCGCGUCGGGGGGGAGGAAGGAGUUGCGGGAGACUCUGCGGACCACGACAGUUAGGCUCGCUAUGUAGGUCGACACUCCGAUCGUACUCGUAAGAGUAAGAAAGACGCGAUGAUUGAUUUGUGUUAAAUAGUGAGUAUGUAGUCAAUCUAUAUAAGAUAUAAAUAAAUAAGUAUAUAUAUAGAUAGAAAGUCAUAUCCACAAUAUUCCAUGCCAAUGGCCAUCUGAUCCAAUAACAACUCAAUCUCUAAAAAGGCCCAUUAUAAAUACACAAAAACCAGAAUUUUAGAAAAUAAACUACAAAAAUUAUAAGCAUUCAUACAAUCAGUGCCCACAUGGGGUCAUAUGUUUUGUUACCAUAGCAUCAUCAUAACCAUCAAACAUGAAUAGAAAUAAAUCAUGCUCCACUGAUUCAAUUGAUCCCAUUUUCCCGCCCAUACAUGGAUUAUAUGUGUGGGCCACCAAUUGAUCAUUAGAUGAUGACCACUGAUCAUAGCCACCAUUAAAAAGUCAGCGUGCGGCGGCGGCGGCGGCGUAAUGUUGUCGACAGGCGAGGCGCGCCCGGUGACAGUUGCAACCGACCUGCGGAAGCGCUCGGUGCACCAGUAGACCUCGCGCGGCCGCGGGCCCGCCUCGGGGCUGCGGCGGUCUCGCAGACGACAUCGGCCGGGGCGCCUGGCCGAGUCGGAGGCUUUGGGAUGAGGGGUGGUUGAAUGAGAGGAGCCAUUAGCUGAUAUAUAUAUUCUUUUCUUUGUUUGAUUUUUUUGUUUGAAUUAAUUAUGUGUGAGGGGUGCGGAAUUUAUCAUAGUAAUAGGCCAAAUAACUAAAUUAAAAUUAUAUUUUUUUUGGAGAUGCGGGCCGUAAUCAUGGCGGGGGGGGGGGGGGGGGGGGGGGCGGGGGGGGAGGGGCGGCGCGAUCGAACCCCAGGCCACCGCGUCAAGGGGAAGAGAGCUAUGCGACACGAAGUCGCGAUUCGGCCCGCGCGCGAAUCUCAACCAGCUCAGAUCUAAACUCCGAUGCGAUAGGAGCCGAUCAGGCCGGAUGGGUCGAGAUGAUACAUCUCCCCGCGACACCGGGUGUGGAAAAACUCACUCUUAAAACACAAAAUACUGUAAUGUAAGUUAUGUCACUCAUUAACCCUUGUUUGAUUUAAAAUAUAUAUACCAAUACUAAUCAUAGAUCAUUUAAAUCUGAUUUCGAUAUCCAAUCGAAAUAUUUAAAUUAAAAAAUACUUUAAUUUCAUAUCAAUGCGACUUUUCCUAUAAACUUAUAGUAAUCUUCUUUUUUUUCUAAUAUACUAUGCAAGAGCCUUUUGAAAAUGACUCGAGCAUGUCGCAGGGACGUUAACGGGUCAAGCUCACGGGUCGUGACUCGCCCGUUUUAAAAUAUUCGCGACAUGCCGGUCCCACGAGAUGAUCCCCACCGUCCGAUUAUUAGUUCUUUUUUAUUACAUAAUUAUGCCACUGACGUACUGACAUAUUAAUAUAAUUAUAUUUUAAAAAAAUUUGAAACUAAACUAGCAACAAAUUAACAAAAAUUAAUAUCAAAAUACAAAAAUUGUUUAUCGUAAUGUUUGAAAUUUAAAUCGAUCGGCUUUAAAUAUUUGAACUUGUAAAACUUAUGUUUGCACUUAUGUUACCUAAUUAUGUCUGUUGAAACAAACUGAAUCGCUGAUUAUUUUUGAAUCAUGUUUUAUCAGAUCAAUUUUAUAUGUACUAUAGUAUCAGAGUCAGUUCUAAACCCUAUCUAUUCCACGAGAUCUCUAGUUUUGUAUACGAGCAGAGGUACUGUGACUAUUUUGAAAUAGUUUUCUAGUAGAUGAAUAUAUUGGUGUGGAGACUUUGUAGCUGAAACAUUAACUGGCACAUUUUGUUUGUAUCCAAAUAAAACCACCCCUACAACACCACCAAUGUUUGUGAUGAAUAAUAAUAAUAAUAAUAAUAUGAUGUAGAUGUAUAUUUGCUUGUUUUGGGGAACAAACACAGGUGGGGUGAUGAGUCCAUGUCCUGUGGAGGCCCCUACAGUGUACCCAUCACAGCAAAAGGAUGGGACCCAAGUUGUGGGUGGGGCUUGUUUUAGGGUUUGGGUUGGUCCAAAAGAGCACCAUCAAUAGAUCAUGAAUUAAAAUGAAAAAUAUUUCAUUUUUUUUUAAAAAAAAAGAGAGCUAGAUCAGAAUACUUCUAGACUUUUAAACUUGAUCUGCGCUAUUUAAACUUCUUGGGUUUCGAAUUAUGUGAUUUCGCAACAUCACUUGUCUAAUACUUAACUGUCGGAAAAUUGGCUAUUUUGUAAUGGUUAAUAUAAAGUAAAUUUGAGUUUGACUUUUAGAAUGCUCAGAUAGCGUAGAUUAUAUAUAACAGUGGCGGUCGUCGAUUCUGAUUUUUGUUUUAGUUUUUUUUUCUUUUCUGGAAACAUACUUCCCAGAAUACUAUGAAGUUUCUAUUUGCCUUCGUACACUUGAAAAUCUUACUUAUUUACUCGUAUAUCGCUGUAAAGUAAUAUAGAAGGCACGGAGGUAAAUACCAACUUUAAAUGCAUAUUUAUAAAGUUACGCAUAUUUCUAAGAAUAUAUUUAUAAAAUUUUGCAUGUAUCUUACGUAUGAGCUCGAAACUUUACUAACCAGAGGAAUCAAUAAAAGUAGUAGAGUUCGAAUUCAGAGUUUCUUAUUCUGAUAUCAUGUUAAACAGUUUAAGCUAUAGCAAUUACUUAAAAACUUCGAAGUUAAAUAAUUUCUCCACUUUGAAUAACAUUCAAGGGAGUUUUUGAAUGUCUUAACUUCUUUUUGCAGAAGUGCUUUUCAGAAGCUAGAGUUUGAAAUCAAAGGCGCCAAGAACAGAAUUUUUCAAGUAUUUUUGCUUUUUUUUUUUUUAGUGUUUGUAUUUGUUUGAAUCCUACUACUCUCUGAUUAAGCCAAUGCCCCUUUGGGUAUUAAUUGCACAUGUCCACUGCAAGUCUGCAACUACUGAUGCAACUAGAGGUGUGGGGUCGAAAUGUUCGGUUCGCUUUAAUGCUGGCUAAAUCGACUCGGUUCGAUUCGUUAACCCGGUACGACGAACCCAUACUUAUUAGUUGAAUGUUGCUCUCACAUCCUCGAGUUGUAGAGAAAACCCGAACCGAACCGAACCAAAUUUCGUAGGAAGAGUCAAGAUCAAGGAGAAGUUGUCAUACUCAUCAGAAUGCAACUCUUUUCUAAACCCUAAAACUCGCAGGAUCUUGAAUGUACGACGAUCUCAAUGAAGGAAUGAAGAGUUAUCGGAUCGUUCGUUGGCGCUAAUCCUUAAUUUCAAAAACUCGAGCUGUUAAAAAUACACAACCAAUUCUCUUAAAGCAUACAGAUACAACAGCGCCCACAGGUCUCAAUUGUGACUUGUCUCAACCAGUCUCGCGCUAUUUCGAACACGACUCGUCAGGAUGGUGACCCGUUUAAGCCAACGAGAGUAUAGGAGGUCAUGUCAUAAUGGAUACUUUUCAAAAGCCAAAAGAAACAAUAGAGCACAUUGAGGGGUCAAAAUACCAUGCACCACCACCAGAAUAAGCAACAUCAUGUGUUCAACCAACCAUUCAAACCCUACCCUAGAAAACAUAGUAGAAGAUCCAUUCAUCUUUGAUUCUAGAUUCUUCUGGUUGGUUCUCUUCUCUCUGAUGUAUGAGAAUUCAAUUCCAAUCUCCAUUAACACCUCCUAGGAAUGAAAUUGAGCAUGACUUUGUCACACAAGAAUCAAAGCGGCCGAAAUUUGACUUCAAUGAGACGAAUUCCGAUUCCUUUUUGCGCACUUAUUACAAAUCCAUUGCUGAGUCCAAUCGACUAGAACAAACACAAACACGGUGAGCAUCGACGAAGCAAUGCAGUUGCGCGAACCGAAUGUAGAUAGAGAGAGAGAGGCGGUCGCGAUCGAAGGAAUGAUAAUAUGGUAUAGAAUCCGCACAGUUUAUCAAUUACAUCAGAAGAGAUUUACACAAAGCUAUAAAGAGAGAGAAAGAGAGAGAAAGAUCCACAUUCUCAAAAUUGAUCACAUUGGGAGAGAAGAAAAGGAGGCGGAGGCGGAGGCGGGGGCGGGGAAUUCGAUCCCCCCUCCGCCCCGCUCUGCAAAUUUUGCUUCUUCCCGGAGUGCUUCAUGAGCUUUUACUGAGGAGGAGGGGGAGAAAAGCUUCUGCUUUUCCAAAUGCUGCUGCUUCUUUGGCUACUUAGAAGAGCAAUGAUCAAUAGGAACAGAGAGGUAAGGAGAGGGGAAGAGAGAGAGAGAGAGAGAGGGAGAGAAAGAGACUUACAUUACACAAAGUAUGCAUCUUUAUACAGGACCGAAAAGCGCGGAGGAGCUUGCUUGCUUGCUUCUACUUAUGUCGAUGAUCCGUCCUCUGCUGCUGCUCAAUCAGAUUCAGACUCAAAUUCAGAUUUAGAUCCAGAUUCAAAAAUUUAGUUCUCAGGGGCAAUACAUCGAACGCCUUGGAUGCGGGAGAGUGUCACUGUAUGGUGCGCGUGAGCUUGCACUUGGAGAUGAAGUGGGUGGCGUUGUAGUUGAGGCUGCAGAGCUUGAGCAGCUCGGCGGCGCGCUGCUUGAGCUCCUGCGCGCAGCCGCUCUGGAUGACGAGCAGGAGCUUGGCGGCGAGGCCGGCCUCGACGGCGGCGGGGGCGCACUCCUCGGGGGCGAGCUUGCACACGGCCCAGAGCACGUUGAGCGCGGCGCGGGUGCAGGGCUCGGAGACCCGCAUGAGCGCGCGCACGGCGCAGGGGAUGGUGCGGGGGCACUCCUUCAGCGCGCCCCGCCCCUCGGGCACGCUCCCGAGCUGGUCGAGGAUCCCCAGCGCGGGCUCCAACAGCUCGCCGACGCCGCCGGGGCUGCCGGCGACGUUCGCAGCGGCCGAGUCGGAGACGUCGAGGAGGGUGGGCACGGCGCCCACGGUGACGAGCAUGGAUAGCACGCGGCCGUUGUUGUUGUUGUUGUUGUUGUUGUGUUGGUCGGCGGCGGCGGCGGCGGCGGAGCAGAGGGAUUUGAUGAGGGCGAGGGCCGCGGCGGCGGCGGCGGGGUGGCGGCGGCGGUCGCGGACGAGGCGGAGGAGCGCGGCGAAGAGGCGGAGGCUGGCGGCGGAUUCGGGGCGAAAGGCGGGGUCUUGGGACAGCGCGAGGAGGAGGCGGGCGCAGGCGAGCUUGGUGUCGGGCGCGCCGUCGCCGAGGAGGUCGACGAGGAGGGCGAAGCGCUGGGGCUGGAGCAGCAGCUGCACUGCUUGAGCAGCUGCUGCGGCGGCGGAGGUGGUCGUAGUGGUGGCAGCAGCAGCAGCAGCAGCAGCAGCAGUGGUAGUGGUAGUAGAAGAAGAAGAAGAGGUGGUGGAUUGGGAUUGGGAUUGGGAUUGGGAUUGGGAUUGGGAUGGGGAUGGGGAUGGGGAUGGGGAGGAUGGGGAGGGGCAGAGGAGGAGGGCGAGGAGGUGGGCGGCCUCGGCGCCGACGGCGUGGGGGGUGAGGGGGCCGAGGAGGGCGGCGACGGUGGGGAGGAGGUCGGGGUGGGCGCGGACGGAGGGGUGGGCGAGGGCGAGGCGGCGGAGGAGGGCGAGGGCGUGGGCGCGGGCGGGGGACUUGAGCUUGCCGCGGAGGGAGUCGAGGAGGGUGGCGGCGCGGCCGAGGACGUCGGCGGAGCGCUUCUUGAGGCGGAGGUGGCGGGCGGAGAACCAGGAGAGGAUGAGGUGGUGCAGGGUGCGGUUGGGGGUGAGCGACCCCCCGUCCCACAGGUCCUGCAUCGUCGUCGGGCACGUCAGGUGGCCCAUCCCCAGCCACCGCGCGAUGUGCGCCCGCUCGUACGUCUGCCCCGUGCACAGCGUCACCGGAUCCACCAUCGGCUCCAGCGAUAUCGGGCAGAUGAACACCGCCGGCACCGACCCACCACCACCGUCGUCGCCGCUGCUCCCGUUGCCCUCCCCCUCCCCCUCCCCCGCCUCCUCCUCCGCCGCCGCCGCCUCCAGCUCCUCCAUCAUCUUCCGCAGAUCCGCCGCCGCCGCCGCCUUCUUCUCCCCACCCCCGCCGCCGACUCCGCCCCCCAAGAUCCCGUCUUUCACGGCGGUCUCGAGAUCCAGCACGGCGGCGGGGGCGGCGCCAUCCAGCUUCCACGGAGAGGAGUGGUUGUGGCCGUGGUGCUGGUGGCCGUGGUGCUGGUGCUGGAGCUGAGGCAUUACCUCUGCGAAGAAGAGAUCACCACAAAGCUUGCGACUUUUUGAGCAAGGAGAAGGAGAAGGAGAGUUGGUGGAGGGAAGGGGGGGUUCACAAAUGGUGAGAUUUUGGGGUCGGGGGGAAGGAGGAGGAGCAGGAGGAGGAGGAGGUAGUGGUGAGGAUGAAAGUGGUGGGAAUGGUGGAGGAGGACGAUGCGGCGGUCAAAAGGGGGAAAGGAGGGAUCAACACCAUCACCAUCGCCAUCAUCAUCAUCGUCAUCAUCACCAGGAUCAUGAACAUGUGAAUCUCUUACACACACUCUCUCUCUCUCUCUCUCUCUAUCACUCUCUCUUUUACUCUCUAUCUCUAAGACCUGUUCAUGCAGUUCAACAUAGGCUUUACAGUGGAGGAGGGGAAGGUGAAAUGAUCAGCAGGGGAAAAAAAAAAUCAAAUCUUUGAAGAAGAAGAAGAAGAAGAAGAAGAUAAAAAAUCUCAACUUUGAAAGGAAUGGGAGAGGGGUAAUGGUGGGAGGAGUUGAAGGAGAUGGAACCAAGAGAGAGAAAAAUGGGGAAAUGGGGAAAAGGGGGAAAUGGGAGUAUAGAGAGAGAGAGAGAGAGAGAGAAAGAGCUUACACUACUGUGGCAGAGAGAGAGUGAGAUCUAGCAGUGGAGAUAGAGAGAGAAAGAGAGAGAGAGUAGGAGGAGGUGGGGGUGGGGGGAAGAGAGAGAGAGAGAGAGAGAGAGGAGAGAGGAGAGAGAGAGGACAUAGUUUACAUCAAGGAGAGAGAAAGAUGAGGUUAUAUUUAUUCAAUUAUAUUUUAUGUUCAAAUAUUUUAUCUAUUUACUUAUUUAUUUUUAAACAAAUUUCUACAAAUUUUUUUAUUAGUAUUAGUAUUAGUAUUAUUUUUAGGUAUUGUGAGAUGGCAUUUAAUAAAGGGGAGAGGGGAUUAUCAAAAGGGUGUAGAGAGAGAGAGAAAGAGCCCUACAAUGCCUUUUUCUCUCUUCUCCUCUUUUUCUUUAUUUAAUUAUUUAUUAAUAAAAAAAAUUUUGAAAUUUUUUUAAGUAUAAGUAAUUUUAAACUAAAAAAAGGCUAUAACUAAUCUAUUAAUUUUUCAGCAAAAGUAAAUUAAUUUAAAAAAAAAAAUCUGAUCAAGCUUUGUUGAUUUACUACAACUAAUCAAAUUUACUCUUUUAAUUGAAUCUAAUCUAACUGAGUCGAUCAGCAAUAAUUAUAUCUAAUGAAUUCAUCUAUUAAUAUCGGUAAAAAAAAAAUCUCAACUUUUUAAUUAUUUUAAUUUAUAAAUUAUAUAAAUUUUUACUAUUAAGGACUUAAUUAUCGACAUUGUAGGCAACUAAAGAAAUACAGAGGAAAAAAAAUCAUCAUUGUUAAAUUAAACAAAAUUUUAAUUUACCAACUAAAAAUAAUUUAAAUUUAUUAAUUAUUAACUAUAAUAAUAAAGUAAUUGAAAGGAAACCAUUACUAAAAACUAAAAAGUUGGCAGGGGAUUUUAUUUUAUUUUAUUUUAUUACUGUUAUUAUUUGUUAAUUUUUUUUAAUAAAAAAAACAGUUUAUUGAGAAGCGGGGAACCGGCUACCGGGAAGGGAGACCGGGAGUAGGCGGUGGCAGAGGCGACGGGUCUCGGCGCGCGCGCUCCGCACGUGCGGAGAGUGGGAGGGAAAAGGGGAGUUGUCGCUUCUGUCCACCGGAAUCUCCCGGUUCCCUUUCCACGACGCCGUAGACCGCACGUGCCACGUGAAAUGACGGAUUUGCCCCCACCCCUUUCGAGGUAAAAUAAUUAAUUAAGUGCUAAUUAUUAGCUAAAUUAAUUAUUUUCUCAGUAACAUAAUAUUAGUGCUAUUAUUAAGCUCCUUAUAUUCGAAAAUGUCGCGAGUUUGAUUCCUACAUCCUCUAUUUUGUAGCAAAUAUUUACAUUUAUUAUUCAAUUGUUCUUUCUGUUACUUCUUCGAUCGGUGUACAAAUCUAUCUAUUAUAUAUAUAAAUGAGGUUGCGAUGAUUAGUGUUACAAUAUUUUCUGCUCGAUUGAUGUAUAAAGCAUUAACCUUUGCUAUUAAUCGAUAGAAAUGAGAAUUUAACCUAUUAAACUAUAAAGAUAAGAAUCAAACAGACUUACAAUCUUGUAAAAUGACAAAGAAUUAGACGGAAUCUGAUACUAUAUUAUCUAAACAAUAAUAAAAAAAAUAAUCAACUCUAUGCUCUAUGCGAUAAUUUGGGAACACAAUAAUGCAACACACAAAGAGGUGCUUUUCACUAGAAACUGGUCCAACUACUCAAAAAUCAACUCCUUUUCUCUACACUCUUUUUGCCUUUUCUUUGGUUUUUGUAGAGGGGAGUUAGUGAUUGACCCAACGUGCGAACAGAGCAUACUAGAUUUGACAUUGAGUGGUUUUUCCACUUUCUUUUUGACCCCCCCACCAAAAAAGAGGAUUCAUAAUAAUAUUGGUGGUGGAACAACCCCUUUUUUUUGGUCAAGGACCCAUUUGUGAGUUAGCAUUUUUUUUUAAAAAAAAAAAGAAAAAAAAAAGAUAGCGAGCUAUCUACUUUUUUUAUUGGAUAAAAUGAACUAGAUGUAUAUAGUGGAAACAGCCAAGGCUUUCGAAAAAAGGUAAAAAAUAAACAAAAGAAAAAAAAAAGAAGAGAGAUUGAGAGGGAUAGCGAGGAAGUAAGUGAAGAGCUAAGUGAUAAGAGAGAGAGAAUCAGUGGACGGCGAAUAGCUCAUUCCACGUGGUAGUCAAACGUUUGACACGCUCCAACGAGUGGUGAGGAAUAAGAUAGUUGUCGUUGAAGAUGUAGUUAUUCAUUUCUAUCCAGACCACCCACCAGAUGGCCGACACGACGGUUAAAUAAUCACUCACUAGUAGAAAAGAGCCUCACGUUCUGCAGUUCGAUGCACAGGAUUUUCUUAUAAAAUAGUAAUAAUUUUCGACCUUUGCAGGAUUAAAUCAUUCAAUAACUCAGAUAGAGAAUGUGCUUUUGUUGUAAAUUCAAUAAGACAUUAUUUCUCGAUAAAACAUACAGAUAGUUCAUGUACUAUCCUAGUAAUUUAUUUUGAUUUUUCUUUAGCUUUCACAUAUAUAUAAUUUUGGUUGCUAAAUUUUGAUAUGUAUUAUAUUCGCCUUACAAAAUUUUUAAUUUUUGUUGUGAUUUUUUUUUAUUAUAAAUCAUUUUUUUCAGUUUGACUUGUGAGUUUUGUAAUAUUUGAAAAAAAAAAAUCAAUUUUAGAAUUUUUAUUUCUCUAAUAAUUACGAAAAAGCUACUGAAAAAUUUUUAUAGGUGCAUCACAAAUGCUUUUUAAAAUAUUUUUUUUUUUUUGGUAAAAAAUAUAUAUUUUGUGGCGAUCUUGUAUUGCUUGAAAUUACUAAAAUGCCCUUCUCCUGAUCUGAUUUGUCUAAGGUGAUUGGUGUUUUUUUUUUUUUUUUAAUAUUUAAUCACCAGGCCCUAAUUUGGUAGAGUAGUUUGCUCUUAAUCCAAGCACUAAACAAAUGCCAAGGGCAAAUUUGUCAAUUAAAAAAAAACAUGUAGAGAUAAAAAGAAAACGUGGACCCCUCUUAUUAAAGCCAUCAUAUACUAAUAUUAUUAUUAUUAUUAUUAUUAUUUACUACUGAGAUCUAAAAACGAGGUUUAAUAUACAUAAUAAUAAUAAAAUGAUAAUUAAUUAUUAAUUAACUACUAUUGAAGUGGGCCCCGCACUCUGAAAGAGGUUCUUUUGGGACCGAGUGCCAGCUCAGCACUUUGACUGGACCUGGUGGGACCCACCAUCGCCCUUCGCUUUGACCGUGCCCCUCGGGGCGAGCUUAUCCUGUCCCUGCUUUGACCGCUUUGUUCCCGCGGGUCCCACCCUUUGCGUUGGCCACUCUAUUCAGCCACUGGAGACACGACACGUGGCUUCACAGCUGUGCCUCGUGGCUCAGGACAUUCUUGCAUGGACCGGGUGCAUGGACCGAGAUUUNCAGGCUUAAGAGGUGCGAAUAAUAUCAAUAUAAUUCAUAUGCAAAAAAUUUGUAAUUUUGAGAAAUCAAUAAGUAAAAUUAUAUAUUUAAUGUAGAUAAUUGUAAAUAUUGCAUAUCACAGCUAAAAGGUUUGUAUUUAAAUUUUAAAUAAACUUUAAAUACCACCUAUAUGGUUUCGCAUUUUCUCACUUUAGUACUCUGUAGUUUAAUGUUAAAUAUAAAAAAUACCGUUCUCUAACAGCUUAAGCUUUUAGAGUAUAACGGUUGUUUCACAUGGUAUCAGAGCAUGAGGUCCUGAAUUCGAGUCACGCCAAGCUCCUAGCAUAUUAAUUUCCUCCCAUUUUAUUCAAGCCCACGUUAUCGGCCGAUUAAAAAGUUUCGAGCCCAGACGUGAGGAGGAGUGUUAAAUAUAAAAAACACCGUUCUCUAACAGCUUAAGCUUUUAGAGUACAACAGUUGUUUCACAUUUAAAGUAUAUCAAUUUAAUACUCUAUGGUUUCUUUUUCUCUCUUCGUCGGCUCUUCUUUUAAUUUAUCUAUAGUUUAUCGAAUAUUUACUUUAGUAUUCUUUAGUUUUAACUUUAUCACUAAUUUAACAAAAAAAAAAUUAGUGGAAAUAACAAAAAGCGAAAAAUAAAACCACAGGAUAUGAACAUGAUACAAUAAAAAUUACAAAGUACUAUAGUCAGAAAGUGCAAAAUUAUAGGGGGUGGUAUUUGAAGUUUUUUCUUAAUUUUUUAGGACUCUUACAUAGAUAUGUUAUGUUUUAAAUACUCUGAUCUAUAGACCGCGGUCCACGCAAUAAAAUUUAAAAUUAACUUAAUUUAAAUUCACAUAUAUGGGUACGUAGAUCCUUACCAAAAACAUCAGAAAAAUGUUUAAUUAAUAAUUAUUUAAUUUUGGAAACUUAUUGGGGUCUUAAUUAAAAAUAUAAUAAUGGUUCCCCGAGGACUCUUUUGGGAAAUUAAACUUUUUUUUUUUAUAAAAAAAAAAGUUUAAUUAAUACGUCGUUUUGGGAAUUGGGAGUACCAUGAACGUAAUGUUUCCUCCACGAGGACGUCUUGGGAAGUUGCAGUUUUUUCAGGUAUCAGUUAUUAUAAAUAUGAUGGUGGUAUAUAUCUUUAUAUUUAAUUAAUUUUUUCUUAAAUAUUUUACAUUUUCAGCUUCUAUUUUUCUUUUAUUUUUGGAAUAUAUAUAUAUUUUUUGUUUUGAAGCAAAUGGUGCAAUUUUUUUUAAAAAAAAACAUUAAAUCGGUGAGAGCUUUUAAGCAGCAAAAUUUUGAAUCUUUCUUUUGUUUAUAAUUAUUUAAAAAUAAGAUAAAAAUUUUAUAUUGGUGUUAAAGUGAAAAGGAAAGAAUUUAUUAGGGCGCUUUGAAUAUUUUUAGAGUUUUUUAUUUAUAUAUCAAAAUAAUGUUGAAAGUGUUAUUAAAUGUUUUGCCUAAUAUUAAUUUCUACUUUUUUUUGGUUAAAUGAUUGCAUUAAUAACUCUAUAUAUAUUUACUAUGCACAAAUCACAUUUACUAAAUCUAUACUUUGAGUGGACAUAUAGUUUAUGAAAAAGGAGGAAAUUAUAACAUCACUAAAAAUAAGAAAAAACAAUUGUUAUUUUUGGCCUAAUGUUGCAACUAUGGUGAGAGGAAGAACCCUAAAAAUAAAUAAAAUUUAUUUAUUUAUUUAUUUACAUGGAAACAAACACAGUAACUAAAACACAAGUCCACGUGCCCUAACACUACAAAACUAACACCCUAAUUCAUAGUUAUUAUUAUAUCAUGAGGUAGUGUUUUCCCCUCUUGUGACAACUGGGUAUCUUUUUUUUUCUUUAGUCCUUUGUUCCUAUACUAUCAAUAAUUAUUCACAUGUGAUGUGUUUUUUUUUUUUUUUUCUUUCUUUCUAUGUAAUGGUCUAUGAGUACAUGUCAAUUUAAUCUUGACCCAACUCAAUUGAUCAUGUUAAAUAGUAAGAUGGGAUCCAACUGCUUGCUCAGUUUGGACCAUGCAUGAACUAGGUUUGAAGAUGCUUUAAUAUAUAUUUUUUUUAAAAAAAUAUAUCUUGAAUUGUCUUAAAUUAAUAGCUUCUCAUUGGAUUUAGAAGUAGAUCUUAUUAUGUUUUUGGAGCCUCAAGUCUUAUUUCAGCCAUAGAUUUUAUGUUUACUAAUUUUUAUUUCUUGAACAAAGAAGCUAAUUACUCAAAUGAAGGUUAAAUAAACACUUACUAGAGCUACGUGUAAUACUAUUUGAUAAAAUAUUAUUUUAAUACUAGUUAAUUGGUAUAGGAGUACUAACAAGGCAGACAUUGUUGAAUUAUAUGAAAUAAUCGUUUUCCUCUAAAAAGUUUAAGCCGUCAAAAAACGAUAUUUUCAAGUUACACAUUUAACACUCCCUCUCACGUCUACAUUCGAUACCUUUUGAUAGAUUCAAGAUGCGAACUUGAAUUAAAUAGAAGAAAACUAAAUAACUCUAGAAGUUUGACAACACUGAAACUCGAAACCUUCUACUCUGAUAUUAUAUUGUAUAUAUAAAAUUAUUAUUUUUUUAAAAAAUUUAAGUUAUAACUUAUAAGAGAAGAGUAUUUUUAAUUUAUAUAUUCAAUAUAUGAGAUAUAGUUGUGGGAGAGCACUCACCCUACCUCAUCUCCUCCCAACAGUAUAUAUAUAUCUAGCCUAUUUUUUCUCAAUAAGUUUUCUUUUACAACAAAAAGUAAAAAAACUUGGAAUAGUUUUUUUUUUUUUUUCCCGCUUUUUAGUCAUAAAAUCUUAUUUGACAACUUUUUGUUUAAAGUAAAAAGUAGAGAUAAACUGAAGAGGCAAAAAAGAAAAAAAAAAAAAAAAAAACUCUCUCUCUCCUCUCUCUCUCUCUCUCUCUCUCUCUCUAAACUCUAUAAAGCAGGUAAUUAGAAAGAUCCAAAGCCCUAGCUUGUGCCCUCUACACUUAAUUAAUUAAAGUAAAAAAAAAAAAAGUAGAAAAGCUCAGAGCUUCCCUGACUGAUCUGCUGCUAUUGUCUCUCCAGGGGAGAGAGAGAGAGAGAGAGAGAGAGAGAGAGAGAACAACAAGUAAUUAAGUCGCUUUCCUAAGCCCUGUUUAUUUAUUAAUUAAUUCAUCCAUGUGUGAUUAAUUAACACACAUCAUGCAUGAUAUAUAUGAUAUAUAUAACCCUUUAAACAUAAAAUAAUACUACAACAUACCCUAUAUAUAUAUUACACACACACAGAGCUCCCCACCAACCGUAGCCAUAAACCAUGCAAUCAAUUAUUAUGUUAAGUAAUUAUAUAUAUUAUUACUACUACUACUACUAUAUAUAUAUAUUAAAGUUACGUUUUAAUGAGGCAUAAUAAUAUAUAAUAAUAAUAAUAAUAAUAUAUGUAGGUGGGGGUUGAGCUCGCACGAGUUUUGCAGCAGCAUCAGCAGCAGCACUGCUUUGUGGCAUGGGUGCGUUGACUGGUCAGAGCCCGUGGGGCAGAGCAUUUUCUUGAUGUUGCCAACCCAACUUUGGUUUCCCCUCUUUUGACCAUGAUCUCACUUCACCUCACCCCUCCCUCUCCUUUGGAAUGUGACAUUAUCCUUAUCAUUUCAAAAAAUUAAAAAUAAAAUAAAAGAAAACACAACUUAUUUGAAAUUAUAAACUACUCUGAUUCGAUUAUCCAAUCUUUUAAAAAUUUUUAUUUUAUUACUUAAUUUUUUAAUUCAUUUGAUUUGAGUCGGCUAAUUGUACUGUUUUAACUUUGUAUAUUAAUUAAACAUGUAAAGAUAAACGUCGUAUUUAAAUUUGAAGUCAAAGUUUCGUUGACCGACUCAAAUCAAAUAAUUUGAAAUAUUAAUUAGUAAAAUCAAAAUCUUAAACGGUUGAAUAAAUCAAAAUUAUCCAUGGUUUAAAUAAAUUCUAUACGUACACUUUUACCCAAAUAAAAAAGAAAUAGAAAAGAACCAACAAAUGCUCUGCAUAGCGUAUUUGCCGUUUGGUAUUCUUACCCGAUAUUUAGAAUAUAAAGUUUUGCCAAAAGGAAAAGUGAGAUUUAACAAAACAGAUCGUAUUUAUUGAAUCCGGGUAAGUUGAUUAAUUAUAUAUAUUGUAUCUAUUAAGAUAAUUUUGUUUUUGGUGUCUUGUGGUGAUUUGCUGUUAACUAAGAUACAAAAGUGAUAUAAUUAAUUAACUAUUCUAUUCAACAAAAGCUCAUAAUUAUAAGAUUAAACAAAAGUAGAAAUCAAAUGAUAGUGAAGUACUAUGCUGUAAACAAUAAGGUGGGUAGUGAACAGCAAUAAUAUUUUAUCAAUUAAGUGGGGGGUCCUUUUUUGAAGUUUUUCUUAUUAUUUAUGAAUAUUGCUAAAGUAAUAGAGUGGGGCUUGUGGGGUGGGAAACAAAAAGAGAAAAUUUUAAAAAUCAUCCAUGUAAUUUCGUAUUUUUCUAUUAUAAUACCUUAUAGUUUAAAAUAUAUCAAUUUAGUAUUUCUUGAUUUUAUUUUUUUUUAUUAUCCUCUUCACUAAUUUUUUUUCAUUAAAUCAGUGACAAAGUUAAAACUAAAAGAUAUUAAAGUAAAUAUUUGAUAAACUUACACAUGGUAUCUGAAGUUUUUUGUAUAUAAUUUAACGAAAUGCUAACGAAUAAGCCGAAAAAAAGAGAAAAAUUAAUGAAACUACAAAAUACUAAAUUGAUACACUUUAAAUCACAUAAUACUAAAGUGAAAAAAUGCUAAACCACAUGGGUGGUAUUUGAAUUUACUCAAAAAAAAAAAAGAAAAGAAGAGAGAGAGAGAGAAAAAAGAAAGGGGAGAAAUUCUUUGAUUGGCCUUUUGCUCUCUUGCCAUGUUGGUAGGAGACCUAUUGGUUAAGAUGGUUCCCAUGCUUGGGUCCAUUUAUUUUAUUUUCUCUUAUUUAUUUUUUAAGUUGGACUCAAUUAUUUUUCCUCUCUAGGACCACAGGUCCCAUACCCACUCACAAGACCCAAAAAUAUACAUGGUGGUGCUAUUAACAGAGCCGACCGAGUGUAAUAUACGACUGAUAAAAAUAUCUAUCGAAUUCGUUCAUUAUUCAGAUUCGAUGACUCUGUCAAUAUCACUUUCCGAUGGUAACGUAAUAUAAGGAUUCUUCUCCCUUGGCAGAGUGUUAAGGAUACUAAAUUUCUUUUUGCAUGAGAUUGGUACACAUUGAAUUCUAAAAUUCCUCAAUUGUGCUCUUCCACAUAUCCUAGUAGGGUCUCCAAUGAUCCAUCUCAAAAACAAAAAAAAAGAGCCCAUUUUCUAAAUGGAAUCCAAAAGGGCCCAUCUAUUCAAACACACAAGAUGCAUAAAAAAAAAGAAAAAAAAGAAGGUGACAUCAAUUGCUGUGCACAAAAUCAGAUGCCAUUCUUAUGUGGUCUAUGUAAAAGAGUCUAGGAUGACAUCACUUUGUUCUUUGGAAACAAAACACCAAAUGCAUUUCAUAUAUCUUUUCUCCAAGGGGGCAAUGAAUAAGAGCAAGUAACCAUAGUGUUAACUCAGAAUACGCGCUUAAUUACAGUUGAUAAGUCAGUUUUAAUAACGAAAUAAUUAUAUAACCAGUAGCAUUCAGAAAGCAUUUCUUUCAAUAUAAGUGUCGGAUCGUUGGCGCCAAUCAUUAAUUGUAAAAGCUCGAACGGUUAACUAAAAAGAUACAACCAAUUCACUUAAAAUGUACAGAUACAUCGCUCAAGUUCGGUCCAAUCCAACCCCACGUUAUUUUGAACGUACUUGGCUCAAACUGGCCUACCGUCAUAUAACAGAAUGCUGGUCCUUUUAAACCAGCGGUAAGUAUAUAGAUCCUUUGGCUUCCUCCCAUUUCUUACAAACUAUUGAUCUCUUUUGUUAGGAUUUGGUUAGAUUUGUAGUUAAAUUCUAUUUGGAUAAGAAUUAAUAUUUAAAUCUGUUUAAGAUAAAUUAAAAUUUAAAUAUUAAUUAGAGGAUAAACCUAACUAGAUUAUGAUUAAUAUUUAAAUCUAUUAGAGAUUAAUUAAGAUAGAUUUAGGUAUUAAUUGGAGUAGAAAUCCUAAAUAUAUUAGGAUUGGGGUACGUUUUAGUGGAGCCUUAUAAAUAGCUCUUUGUGGGUUUGCUUUUUGAUGUGGAGUCCGGGAGAGAGAGAAAAGGCCUCUUGGGUGCCGUACCAGAGAGAGAAAAAGAGAGAGAGAGUUAUAUAGUGCACCUAGUGCAUGGGUGCGCGCGGAUGAUUGUCUUCUUUAUGGGAUUAUAGAAGACGAGAGAAGGGUAGAAAAGAUUCAAAAAAGAGAGCUCGGAUUGUAGCUACUCUGUGCAGAAGAGGAGUCAGGUGUAAUCUUCUCUUAUUUAAUGAAUCUUAUUUUACCCGCAUAUUUUCUGUUUUGGUAUUUCUCUCUUUUAUGAUUGUAUCAGCUUUUGCUGAGGAGACGGGUUUAUGGUUAAAACCCGAUUUGACGCUUCCGUUGCGGAAUCCCAACAAUCUGUUGCGGAUUCACGAGAUCCGGUACCGGAGCGAGUACCGGAUUCCCAACACUCUUUCGCAAUUAGCCUUGAUCUAGUUUAGAUAUCUAAUGUGACAGAAUAAACUGAUUCUCAUGAGUUUAUGCAAUUAAGAGAAUCACUUUCACAUGCACAUUGAUAGAAAUAUACAAUGCCUAACAAGUCACUUUUGAUAGAGAUUUUCCCAACAACUUAGUCCUAAUUCUUGGCACAAGUGAGAAAUAAAUAAAUGCUCCACAGUCACCAUCAAUUUUUGUACAAAAAAAAGAAGAAGAGAAGAUCUAGUAGCUUUUAAUUAAUUGACUAUCUUGUGGGACAGAUAAUUUUAUAACAAUUAUUAAUUAAUACCAUUUUCCCCAUAAUUAAGCUUAACUUGAUCAAAUGGAAGUAAUUUUACAAAUUUAGUUAUGAAGUGAAUGCUUAAUGUUAAAAUCGGAACGGCGAAAAAUAGAUUCAGAAAAUAAUUUAAUGUAGGAAGCGAAAAGAAAAUAGUAAAGAACACACCGAUAUUUACGUGGUUCGGCCAACGCCCUACAUCCAAGGACGAAGACGGAGCAAAUACUUUAUUAAUGUCGAAAAGGCGAGUACAAAAUUGAAUCUUUCAAAAGACCCCGAACUCUAAUUAGAUCGGAAACGCCGAAAUCCGCAUCCGUACAUGCGAUUCCAAAUAAGCGACUCGGCUCUCUCAAUCCGUACGGACCAACAACUUGGCCUCAAUCCUUAAUUAAUUAGCAUGGCAUGUGCGGCUCCUUAACCAUACGGACCCAAUGUGCAUAAUUAGUCGCCGGCUCCUUGGAUGCUCACUUAAUUAAUUAGAGUUCCAACUCUCUCUUGGCUCGUGAUAAUGCAGCCACCGAAAAACACCAACUUAACACGAAGCUUGGUUCUCUCCGGCAACAACCGUACCAUCCAAGAGACUUAAUUAAUUAGUGCAUGGCCUCUUAGUUUUGUCGCGACAAGAUUAAUUCGGCCGUAGCAUGUAUUUAUAAUAUAUGUCUCCUAACUAGAGUCUAAUUUUAAUUCAAUUAGAAUUAUACUCCUAAUUAUAAUCCAUAUAUCCAAAUUAAAUCUAAAUAAUAUCUAAUCCCAAUUAGAUUAGGAUUUAACUCCAAUUUAGAUAACUACAAAUCUAAACCAAAUAUAACAAUCUCCACCUUGAUUUAAUUUGUAGUUUAGCCGCCGCUAUGUCGAGAUCGCCACAAAACUCCACCUUGAAUUUGAUUUGCCUCAAUGCUCGUUAACGCUCUGUGUUCCGUCUUCUCCAAACGCCCCAUAGGGCCUCAAGUGCUGCCAACUGCCACCAAGUCCAAACAAUGUUUGAACUUGGCAAUAGUAAGGGAGUAAGCAUAUCCGCCGGAUUGUUCUCAGUAUCAAUUUUCUUAACAGUCACCGUGCGUUUCCCAAUCACAUCCUGAACAAAGUGAAACUUUACAUCGAUGUACUUUGUCCUAUCAUGAAACAUCCGAUCUUUCGACAAAUGAAUAGCACUUUGACUGUCUGAAUAAACAAUCGUCGGAUUCCAACAAGAAGUAAGCUCUCCAAAUAAGCCUCUUAGCCACAUAGCUUCCUUCACACCCUCUGUCAUAGCAAUAUAUUCCGCCUCCGUUGUAGACAAGGCGACAAUAGGUUGUAGUGAAGCUUUCUAACUAACUGCACAUCAGCCAAUAGAGAAUACAUAACUUAAAAGUGAUCUCCUCCUAUCCAAAUCAACUGUAAAAUCCGAAUCAACAUAUCCAACCACACCAUCCUUACACCUCCCAAACUCCAAACAAGUGCUAGUGGUACCUCGUAAGUAUCUCAGAAUCCACUUAACAGCCUGCCAAUGAACCUUACCAGGAUUGGUCAUAUAUCUGCUAACCAUGCUCACUACGUAGGAGAUGUUCGGCCGUGUACAAACCAUGGCGUACAUUAUGCUCCCGACAGCACUAGAAUAGGGAACAUGUGACAUGUACUCCUGCUCAUUAUCGGACUGCGGUGAUAACUCGGCGGAAAGUCUGAAAUGCGCCGCAAAAGGAGUGCUCACUGGUUUUGCGUCUGUCAUUCCGAAACGCUUUAGAAUCUUCUCUAUAUAUUUCUCUUGUGCCAAAUGCAGUAGUCCUGACUUGUUAUUCCUCUUAAUUUCCAUACCAAAGAUUUUCUUAGCAGCAGCUAAAUCUUUCAUCUCAAACUCACCAUUCAGUAAAGUCUUCAAUUUAUUUAUCUCAACUAUGUCGUUAGAAGCAAUUAACAUAUCAUCGACAUAGAGUAACAAAUAUAUGAAAGAUCCCUUAUCAAGCUUUCUGAAAUACACGCAACUGUCACGCUUGCUUCUGGAAUAUCCGUGACCUGUCAUGAAGGAGUCGAACCGCUUAUACCAUUGUCGAGGAGACUGCUUUAAACCAUAAAGCGAUUUCUUUAACAGGCAAAUAUGAUCCUCCUUCCCUUCAACAAUGAAUCUCUUCGGCUGUUUCAUAUAAAUUUGCUCCUCAAGUUCUCCAUGCAGAAAAACUGUCUUAACAUCAAGCUGCUCAAGAUACAGGUCAUUCAUGGCUACUAACGAUAAAAGAACACGAAUAGAAGUAUGCUUUACGAUGGGUGAGAAAAUAUCAUUAAAGUCCACACCUUCUACUUGACUGUAGCCCUUACCAACUAAAUGAGCUUUAUACCUUGUAUCUUUCAUGCCGGGGAUUCCGUCAUUUUUCUUGAACACCCACAUACAGCCGACAAAUUUCUUGCCUGUAGGCGGUUUUACCAACUCCCAUGUGCGAUUCUUAUGGAGAGACUCCAUCUCCUCAUUCAUCGCCACCAACCACUCUACAGAACUGGCACCGAAAAUAGCUUGAUUAUAUGUCGAAGGUUCACCUUCUUCUUCUGUAUCUUGUGCCACUGAAAGAGUGUAAGCAACCAUAUCUUCAUAACCAUAUCUCUGCGGUGGUUUGAUCUGUCUCCUCGCUCUGCCUGUAGCAAUGUUCUGCCUCUCAACUUGUGGGGUUUCAGUUACUGAGGUUUCUGCCGACUGAACUUGUUCUGACUGAGAAAAAUUCUGUGACUGAACUAUACCAUUGGUCUCUAUCUUCACCUGUUUGCUAGCACUCAGGGUCUCAUCAGAAGAAUUACGGUUAGGAUAUAAUAUAGCAGAUUCAUCGAAUGUGACAUCCCUACUAAUAAUUAAUUUAGACGAUUAAGGACACCACAAUCUAUAUCCCUUAACCCUCGAUGCAUAACCAAUAAAAAUGCACAUUUUAGCCCUAGAUUCUAACUUGCCUUCAUUGACAUGAAUAUAAGCAGGACAACCAAAUAUUCGCAAAUUAGAAUAAUCAGAAGGGCUGCCAGACCAUACCUCCUCCGGAGUUUUGCAAUCAAGUGCUGAAUGUGGAGAUCGAUUCACCAAAUAGCAUGCCGUAGAGAUCGCCUCUGCCCAGAAACUCUUAGCUAAGCCAGCAUUAGAGAGCAUACAACGAGCCAUCUCCAAAAGAGUUCUAUUCAUCCGUUCGGCCACCCCGUUCUGCUGUGGAGUAUGCCUAACGGUCUUACGUCGAACAAUCCCUUCAUUCUUGCAGAAUUCUUCAAACUCUGACGAACAGAAUUCCAAACCAUUGUCGGUCCUUAAUCUCUUAAUCUUCUUUUCAGUUUGCUUCUCAAUCAUGACCUCCCACUGCUUGAAAUAAUUGAACACCUUAUCCUUACUUUUCAGAAAGAAUGCCCACACUUUACGAGAAUAGUCGUCAAUAAAAGUCAACAUAUAUCUAGCACCACCAUGAGUAGGAGUACGAGAAGGUCCCCAAAGAUCAGAAUGGAUGUAGUCCAGAAUACCUUUUGUUCGGUGAACUGCGGCCUUAAAGCUGACUCUCUUUUGUUUGCUAAGAACACAAUGCUCGUAGAAGUCUAACUUUUCUAAACUCUGACUACCAAGUAAACCUCUCUCGCCCAACUUCAUCAUGCCAUAUUCACUCAUAUGGCCCAGUCGCAUAUGCCAUAAUCUGGUGCUAUCCGAAUCUGACAUAGAAGAAGAAGUCACCGCUGCUGAACCUGUCACAGUGGAACCCUAUAGAACAUAUAACAUGUCGGACAAGUUGGCCUUCAUCACUACAAGAUUCCCUUUAGCGACCUUCAUUAAUCCAUCAGCUAAAGAAUACUUAAAGCCUUUAGUAUCAAGUGUACCCAAUGAGAUCAGAUUUUUUCUCAUAUCCGGAACAUGCCGAACCUCAGAUAUAGUCCUCACUACUCCAUCGAACAUUCGUACCCAAAUAGUGCCAAUUCCAAUAACUGUGCACUUAGAGUGAUUUCCCAUCAAUACAUCUCCACCUUCAAUAGGCAUGUACGUCGAGAACCAUUCUCUAUGUGUACAGAUAUGAAAAGAACAUGUGAAGUCCAUAAGCCACUCAUCCUGUUUGCGUGUCUUAUCCGUAACUGUAAAGACGAUAUCAUUUUUAUCUGAUUCUCCUGCUGCAACACUUGCUUCUGCUUCAGUAUUGGUAUUUUUUUUACUUUGAUUUUUAUCACCGUUAUUCUUCCGCUGCUCUUUAUUUUUCAACUUGAAACAAUCAGCUUUUAUGUGACCAUUUUUCUUACAAUAACCACAAAUCAGAUUCCUGUGCUUUGACUUUGAUCUAGAUGUACCUCUAUUAUCGGAACCCUUCUCCCGAGACCUCUCUCUAGCGACCAAACCUUGUCCUGAAGCUCUACCUGUCUCGUUGCUUAUCUGCAUGUCAAUUCUCUCUUUUGAAAGUAAAGAGGAUUUAACAUCAUCGAGACAUAGAGUAUCUCGUCCAAAUAAGAAAGUCUCACGAAAAUUCUUAUAAGAGGGCGGUAGAGAACAUAACAAUAAAAGGGCUUCAUCUUCCUCCUCGAUUUCAACAUCUAUCGAGCGGAGAUCCAUAAUAAUAGAAUUAAAUUCAUCUAAAUGCGACUUAAUAGAGGUACCUUCCGCCAUGCGCAAUAUGAAGAGACGUUGCUUCAAAUAUAACUUGUUGGUGAGAGACUUCGUUAUAUAGAGAGACUCCAAUUUAAGCCAAAGCCCUGUAGUGGUCUUUUCAUCUAAGACCUCGCGCAAUACCUCAUCGGAUAAACAUAAUUGUAUUGCCGUAAGAGCUUUAUCAUCAAUCUCCUCCUUUUGCUCCGCCGUCAAUAAAUCGGACAUCUUUUCUUUUCCCAACAGUGCCUUCUGCAAUUCUUGCUGCGUCAAUAUAGCACGCAUCUUGACUUGCCAUAAUGCGAAACUGUUAGUCCGAUCAAAUUUCUGAAUCUCGAACUUCGUCGUCAUCUUAAUCCUCAGGGAAUAGAAAGGCUCUGAUACCAGUUUGUUAAAAUCGGAACGGCGAAAAAUAGAUCCAGAAAAUAAUUUAAUGCAGGAAGCGAAAAGAAAAGAGGAAAGAACACACCGAUAUUUACGUGGUUUGGCCAAUGGCCUACGUCCACAGACGAAGACGGAGCAAAUACUUUAUUAAUGUCGAAAAGGCGAGUACAAAAUUGAAUCUCUCAAAAGACCCCGAACUCUAAUUAGAUCGGAAAUGCCGAAAUCCGCAUCCGUACAUGCGACUCCAAAUAAGCGACUCGGCUUUCUCAACCCGUACGGACGAACAACUUGGCCUCAAUCCUUAAUUAAUUAGCAUGGCAUGUUCGGCUCCUUAACCGUACGGACCCAAUGUGCAUAAUUAGUCGCCGGCUCCUCGGAUGCUCACUUAAUUAAUUAGAGCUCCAACUCUCUCUUGGCUCGUGAUGAUGCAGCCACUGAAAAACACCAAAUUAACACGAAGCUUGGUUCUCUCCAGCAACAACCGUACCCUCCAAGAGACUUAAUUAAUUAGUGCACGGCCUCUUAAUUUUGUCGCGGCAAGAUUAAUUCGGCUGUAGCAUGUAUUUAUAAUACAUGUCUCCUAACUAGAGUCUAAUUCUAAUUCAAUUAGAAUUACACUCCUAAUUAUAAUCCAUAUAUCCAAAUUAAAUCUAAAUAAUAUCUAAUCCCAAUUAGAUUAGGAUUUAACUCCAAUUUAGAUAACUACAAAUCUAAACCAAAUAUAACACUUAAUUAUUCCUUUUACUGUUUACACCAAUAAUUAGGUUGAUCUCAACAUAGACUCAAAUUAUUCCAAUAACUUUAUAUGCAUAUCAAUGAGAUGAAAUCUCAUUCCUAAAUGAUUAUAAAAACCCACUCAGAUUAUAGCCAUUUCAAUUAAUCGGACAUAUAAUGAUUUCAUCUGAUUUUUUGUAAUGAAUUUUAAGUGAACAUCUGAUACAUAAAAUUCAAUAUGAGACAACAAAACUCAAUACAAGCUAUUCAUAAUCAGAUUGAUUCUGGUCGAAUCUACUAUCAGAUCAGAUUAUAUACAUUAAACUUAUCCGUGUUUUUUUGUUGUUGUUGUUGAUGAUUUUGAGUCGUGCUUCUGCUACUGCUAAAACUAUUUUGCUUUUAUUCGGCGACAACUUUGGUAUGUAAACAAAACCGAUUAACAUCACACUUCGAAAGGGAAUCAAAAGAAGAUUUUUGCAGAUGUUUGUGUAGUAAUUAAUGUGCAAUAUUCUAAAUGUUCCUAGUAGUACAAAAAAGCAUGCAUGAGGUAUCACUUUCAUAUGUGAUGCUAAACUUUCGAUCGAAGAGGUAGAUAUCAAGAGAACAAAAAAUUUCGCUUUUUCGUUCGAGAAUUAUGGAUUUUUUUUUUUUCACCGAUAAUCACAAUGGAUAAAUAGAACUAGAUUACUGUUUCUUGAUCACUACUGUGUAAAAAAAGCUAAGUUUGAACCACAAAUGUUAAGGUGAAAGUUCUCUGCAUAUUUCGCUUUUACUUGUUAUAAUCUCUGAAUAUAAACAUGGCUUGAGGUAGUCAAUUAACAAAGAGUUAUUAAAAUUGUAAGCAGAUUCAGAUUCUUACUACAUUUAAGCAUGCAGUACUCAAGACUCAUUCAAUUUAUUUUGAUGUGAUCUAUCCUAUAUAUCUGAUUCAGUCUCUGUUUAGUCCAAAUCCAAUUGAUUGAUCAUACAUUAAUUGGUUAUGUCUUUAUUUUGAUGCUGAAUUAUAUAGUUAUUGCUUGAUACUUGGGUUCGUAGUAGUGAUAACACUGCUCAAACUGUACUUUAUCAAACAACACUGUACUCUAAAUUAAAGCAGUGUAUUUAAAGCAGAUUUUCAGUGAAAGAUAAUUUUUCCUGAUCAAGUAAUUCAAUUCCGUGGGACAUACAUGUAGACCGAAUUCUAAGUAGUUCCUUAUCCUACGUUGAGUAAAGGCAUCUUAAUCUAUAUUUUUGACAAGGUUCAACUAAAAUGUAGAUGAUCGGUCAGUAUUACACAUGAUGGUAAUUAUCAUUUUGGCUUUCGAAUUUCAUGUCCAUUUUCGAUAUCAAAGUUUGUGACUUUUGUAGCUAAAUCAAUCGUUACAUUGAGGCAUCAAUAAUACUCCGACGGGUCUUCUUUGAUAUAUCUAAGUUCCUCGAGAAUCUAGUAAGCUAAAUGCUAAUAUAUGGAAAAAAAAAUUCUCAAAAUUGUUUAAUUUGGCGCUAUUCCACCCAAAAAAAGAAAAUAAAUAAAUUCUCUUUGUCAAUGAGACCAAACCUCGAACGCAUGAUAAGCGUAUGCAUCAUGAAACUUUGAACAUCAAACAUACUUGUCGUAGGAGAGGCUGUUUUCGUCGCCGACUUUUUCGAGCACAAUCACAAACACUGCACUCGAAGCACCGACUUUAUAUGAUCACCAAAUUCUGCAUUACAGGCACCGACUUUAUCAACAUUGGCUAAUGUAUGCUAUGUUUUCAAAUGCCACGUGUAAAUGCGGUAACUGGUUAGAUAUUACAAAGCACUAAUUAAUGUAAACCCCCUCAACUUUUAAAUUUGUUUUUAAUAUGAAUUAUUGUACUUAACUGAGUCAAAGAAAAUGUUUCAAUGUGAUAGUUCUAUUAACUAGAAGCCAUUAAUCUGUGCGGUUUUAUUAGUUAAACAGUGAUUAAAGUCACUAAAUUUUAUGAAAUCAUCAACGAAUUAAAUAAAAUCUUUAAUUUAUUUUGCUAAAUAAUUCAUUUCAAAAAAAGAAAAUCAAAAGUUGCGGGGGUGUGAAUAAAAAAAAAACAAAUAUAAUUGAGGGGCUCUCCAAAUAUUUUUACCAAUUACUAAUCAUUGAAAUUUCCUUUUCCCUAAAGUGACUGUGAUAUUUUUUGUUAAGGAAAAUAAUUAACAUAAUAAUUAAGGAUAACUAAGAUUACCAAAAUUAAUUCCUUCGACGUUACCACAUAUGAUUUAAAACUAUGGAAAGUGACGCUUUGAAAACUACAAACCAAUCUUUUCUAUGGAGGAAUUUUCUCAAUUUUAACCUACAUGUUUCAUUGAUGCUUGUGGAGGAGAUAAAUCUUUUGUGUAACAACUACAUCAUCUUAAAUUUAUUUAUUUAUACCUAUACAUUAUUUCUCAUGAAAUCUUGCCACGUGGCGGCCCCUCCUUUAUUCUUACCUUCUCCUCUCUUCUCUAUUCACAAUUGUUGCAACCGCACAAAACCUUUGAUCUUCCAAUCAAUGAAAUCUUAAACCCACACUCUUCAUCUCCCCACCAAGGAGUUAGUUCCAAUCAAUGAAAUCUUAAACUCACACUCUUCAUCUCCCCACCAAGGAGUUACUAAUGCAUUAUUAACUUUAAUAAUUAUGAUGAUCCACAUAAUUAGCACCACUAAAACCCCAUCAUCAUCAUCUCCUCAUUCUCCGAAACCAAAUACCACACUCCAACAUUUCUAUUAGAUAUUCUUAUGUUACAAACCAACUAUUCUUUCUAUUAUAUAUUCUUAUUAUUAUUCUCGAAGGCGAGUACGAAUCCGUCAACGCCAUUCGGGUCGAGCCAUGAUUAUUCGGGCACGUUGUUUGGGUUCAGCGACUCGACGUUGAUAAUGGCGGCAAAGGUAAUGUGGAGAUGGAGAUUCGUCUCCCCGAUGUUAGUAGUGCGAUUAAGAUGCGUAUGAAGUAAUAAAUCUAUUCCUGUUUCUUUCAUUACUAUUUUUUUAUAAUUUAUUUACUGAAAUUAUAAAUUUUAUUAUAUUUGUACGUAUAUCUGUUUCAUCUUUUUUAUUUGUAUAUAUGUUAAUAUAUAUUAUCUUUAUUUAUUAAUGUCUUUUGGCAAUUCAAAAAAUUUAAAAUUUUUAUUUUGUGAAUCCUCUGUCUUCUAUAGCAUCAGCCCGCCGCAAUACGCGGGUAACUUCACUAAUAAUACAUAAUUAAUUCUAUUAAGUCAUAUGCUUUGAAUCGUAUCCGCAUACUAAUGUAACAUCAUGGCGUAUAAAUCAAUCAAUCAAAAGUCUCCCAUAAUCAAUAUGUUUUGUAUGGAAUAAUUCACAGAUUCUGUUUCGAAUUAUGAAGAUACAAAAGUACUUUUUUUGAUAUUGUAUUUCGUAUAUGUUACUUGACGUUACAUGGAACUUAUACUUUUUUAUUUGCCUCAUAUUUUUGGGUGGGUUGCGUGAUUUUAAGCCAAUUUGGACAAAGGGAGUGUCGAUUUCCUAUUGUAUAUUAGAAAAAAAAGUUAAAUAAAAUAUCAUAUUUGAUAUCGAGCGCUGUCUAAUAAUAUUAUUCAAAAAAAAAAGACGAAAAUACUACGUAGAACUAUAAACUUUUUUAUUUUUAAGUGACGAUAACUAUAUCUUGUGAAGAUUAACAAACGAUAUAUUUAUCGUACUAUUCUCAUUACCCCAAACGUAACGACCCCCCCAAAAAAAGUAUCUAUAUAAAAUAGUUGUAGAUUACUUGUUCUACUUUAGUACAAUAACCUCUCAGUUAAGCCCAAUCCAAUCCUACAUUUUUCCUUAAUUUGAUGAUUAAUUAAUUCCAAGCUUUUGCUUCUGUUCAUUAAACUCCACUUACCUCUCAAAAAAGUCGCACAUCCAUAUCUAAAAUGACUAGGGAUAAUUAACUCACUACAACAAAAUUAGGUUAUAGGAACACAUGUUUUGGAUACUUUUGUGUAAGUGUCUCAUUUAUGUCAAAAUUUUUUAAAAAAUUUACUAAUGUCUAAAUAUAAAGCCCAAUCUAACAAAAAAAUAAAAGAUUACUCUACUCAACCCACCCCACCCAGCCCAUUCGGCCCGAUUACAAACAGAAAAGAAAAAAAAAAAAAUCGAUUACCAUCUUCCUUUCUCCCCUCACUUAAUCCAUUGAAAUUCUAGACGAAGAGCCCUUCCCUCUCGUCUUCCUCCGCCACCGCAGCCAACGAGAUAGAGUUCCGGCGGUUGCUAAAUGCUUAAAUAAGUGUUGGUAAAUUAGCAGCACUUUUUUUAGGUUAUAGUGACACUCUUUAACUGCCACUAUAUACCUAGCGAUCCCACAUAUAGAAACACUUUUUAAAAGCGUCGAUAAUUUAGUCAGGAGCACUUUUUUUGACCUGUACCGACGUUUAAAAGUGUCUCUAUAAACCAUUUUUGUUGUAGUGACUAUAUAUCCCUCAAAAUCUCUAAAAUAUUUUGUUUGCCCAUAUAUACUUUUUUUUUAUUGCAAAUAUAUUUUUCAUAUAUUUCUCCGUUAUUCAAAAAUGUUUCUACUAUUAGUGCUCGUUAAAUCAUCUCGAAUUAAAUUUGAGUUAAAUUUCUACCGUAGUUAAAAAAAAAAUUAUCUAUUUUGCCCCUAACUUAAGUGUAAAUAAGAAAAAUUGGUGACGGUAGAAGAGUAUAUUUGAAAAGGCAAAAAGUCAAAAUACUUCUUUUGCCCCAAACUUAAAAGACAAAUAAGAAAAGUUGGUGAUAAUAAAAGGGUAUAUUUAAAAAAAUAAAAUAAUAAUUUCAUAGAGAUAAUGAUGGUUACUAAUAGUACAGUUAGAGAAUUUAACUUUUUAUAUAUAUAUAUAUAUAUAUAUAUAUAUAUAUAUAUAUAUAUAUAUAUAUAUAUAUAUAUGUAUAGCGACACUUUUAAAUAUCGGUACAUGUCAAAAANUAUAUAUAUAUAUAUAUAUAUAUAUAUAUAUAUAUGAAAGACUUUAAAACCUUAAAAGAAUAUUUUUAAUACUAGAGAUAGAUUAAGCAAUUGCUCCAAAUUAUAAAUAGAGCCCUACUCGUAUACCACAUGUACUACUCAUACCGUUUCAGUGAUUGACUCUUACACUUCUCCAUAGUAAUUAGUUUCGUGAGAGAAAAAUAGUUUGUAGUAGAAGCCAUGGCCCUUGAUCUUCUUCUUCUUCUUCCUCUUCUCUUUAGCUGCUUCCUUGUUAGCUCAGGUAGGAGAAGCAUCAUCACAAGCCUCCCAGGUUUUGAUGGGCCUUUGCCCAUUUCCUUGGAGACUGGGUAAGUUGCUGUGGAGAUUAUUAGUUUUUGUUAGAACUAAAACUGAAAAGAUCUAGUCCGUAAGGUGUAAAAAUACCAAAAAGAGAAUCGAGAACGAGAGAAGAAAAAUAAAGCACAUAGUAUUUACGUGGUUCGGCCGCCGGCCUACGUCUACAGGCGAAGACGGAGCGAAAAUUUUCAUUAUAAUCAAAGUGGUAUACAAAAUAUGCCUCUAUCACAAAACCCUAAUCUCAAAAUACACCCAUAUUCCCUCUCUCAUCUUUCGCACUAAACCAAUAGAAUAAAAAGUAUAUUUAUAAUAGUGGCUAAAUUCUAAUACAACUAGAAAUACAAACUUACUACCAUUAGGAAUAUCUCAAUAAAAUUAAGUAUAAUCUAAACUUAACUUAACGGGAUACUCAAAACAGAAUAGGAUUAGAAAACCUUACAAUACUACAAUUCGAGACAUAUCUAACAAUCUCCACCUUGGCUUGAAUUCUCUGUCUUCUCCACCAAAAUUCCAAAAGCUCCUGAAGUGCUAUUGCACAUGCGAACAAGUUUACAGAAUACUUGAACUUGAUCGCCUAAAAACUUAAUGAGCAAAUCCGCGGGAUUCUCUAAAGUGUCAAUCUUCUCAUUCUACAACUACGCCUUUUUGCAGCCUCUGUUGCAUCAGAACGACAACUUGUCGUAGAGCGAAACUGCUAGAGCGAUCAAACUUCUCGAUCUCAAAUUUGUCGACGUCUUAAACAUCCAAACGAACACUCCAUCUUUGCCCGUGGACGUAGGCCGGUGGCCGAACCACGUAAAUGUUGUGUGCUUUAUUUUUCUUCUCUCGUUCUCGAUUCUCUUUUUGGUAUUUUCACACCCGACGAACUAGAUCUUUUCGGUUUUAGUUCUAACAAUUUUUAUGUACUUUUUAGCUUUAGCUUUAGCUUCUGCUUUUUGAGAGAUAGAUAGCAUGCUACCCACUUAUGCUUUUAGUUACAGUUAUUUAUAGCAACAUAUUUAGCAAUUGUUUAAAAGUUCGGAGAUUCUGUUGUAGCAAAAAAGGGCAAAAAAAAAAAAACAAAAAAGAUUAUGAGAAUUGAAAGCAAACACUCCAAUUUAGAACUUUGCUUCCUACUUUUCUUGAUGAUGCUUUUUAAAAAAGGUUAGUUUUAUUGACAGAACAUAUACAUUGAAUCUAACAUAUGCUUAAUUAAGAAUGAUUCUGGUUUGAAACUUUGGAAGGUAUGUGGAGGUGGAUGAGGAGAAUGGGGUGCAGCUUUUCUACUACUUCAUAGAAUCGGAGAGAAAUGCUCAGGAGGACCCUCUCAUGCUGUGGCUCACCGGAGGCCCCGGUUGCUCCGCCUUCUCCGGCCUGGUCUACGAGAUCGGUAAUGAAUUACGUGCAAAAUUUAGUUCUUAAAGUUCCAUCACAGUUUUAGUUGCACCAAGUUUUGACUUUGAUAACGUAAAUAUAUACAUACAGACGCUAUCUGAACUGUAGCGCGUUUGAAAAUGCAUACCAAGAUUAUAAAAUUAUGAUUUUACUAUCUAAGUUUCAUCAAAUUCUAUUAUAUUGCAAUAUAUAUAUUAAUAAAAUCGAAGUUUCAGAUGUUUAAGCAUGUAUUUCAAAAUGAGAUAUUUUUUUGUUUUCAUAUGUGCAGGCCCUCUUAGCUUUGAUGUUGAAGGAUACACGGAAGGCCUCCCAACUUUGUUGUACAACCCACAUUCUUGGACCAAGGUUUAUGCCCAAAAUAUAAUAAUAACGGGGAAACUUUAAUUAGCCUCGUUGUGAUUCAGCACUAUCUAGUGGUUUAAAAUAUUUCACUUUACUAUUCUGUGAUUUUGUUUUUGUGUCGUUACAGAAAUCCGCCGUUAAAUAGCAUAGUAUUUAACUGUGGGUAUAUACGAUGACGCAUAAAUACAAGCACGCAUAAGAUAGUAAAGUAAUACUUUUCAAAUCACACAUGGCAAAGUUAUAUCUUAGUAUGUGUGUGUUGGUCUUCAACCCCAGGUGAGCAGCAUCAUCUUCCUUGAUUCCCCAGUGGGGACUGGGUUCUCCUACUCUGUGUUGGAGGAGGGCUACAACUCAAGUGACACAAAAGCUGUUGACCAAAUCCUCAUCUUCCUCAAAAAGGUAAAAUCCAUUAAUUCCAACUUAAUUCACAUUUUACAUUUCUUCAAGUGCACAAACUUCAACAAUGGAGAUUUAUGAUGUAACACAUUUGUACAUCGAAAGUAACUUUCCGUCAGCAUCGUCGCUAUCUAAUUUAUAUUCAGAAUUUGAUCGUGUUCAUGUCGGGUUUGGACCUGAACUCAAUUAGAAUUCGAAUCUAAGCCCGAAAUUUUAGACUUCUGAUUAGUGUCGAGUCAAGUUUGCAUGAAAAUUUGACACAAACUUGUAACUUAACAGUUCUGACGGAAAAUUUCUCACGGAAAACCGAAAUAGUAACCUCAGAACACCUAAAUGAUGCAAACAAAAUCAUGGAUUACUGAUGUAAAAGUACACUGUACCACUGGGCCAUUUUUUAAAAAAAUCCACUCUAUUUGUCAUUUGAUGUUGCAGUGGUUUGUGGACCAUCCAGAAUUUAAGUCAAAUCCUCUUUAUAUCGGCGGCGAUUCUUAUUCUGGCUUGAUUAUUCCGGCUGUUACUCUAGAAAUCGCAAACAGUAAGUUAUUUUUUCCAUAUAUUUUCUAUAUCCAUAUAUCCACUGUUCGUCGUGAACUCCAUUUUCGAAUGUAGACAAUAUUUGGCAUUUCUGCUCAGUAUGGUAUGUAUCUAAUGUGAUUUUCUCAUAAAAUAAAAAUUUCUCCAUGAAUUUAGUAACAUUAUGUAACAAUAUGAAUUUUCAUGUGUGAAUAAUAUGAAUAGAAUGUGUGCCAAUUUCGACGUAAGAGCUGCGUAAAUGCCAGCUAGGAAUUUUCAGAAUAUUCGUGCUUUCGGAAGUUAAAAGGACGUCACCGAAGUUACACAAUUUGUGAAAAUUUUCGAAUUCACGACAUAAGCAGUGAUCAACCUUCUUAAACAGUUAUGUAGUUAAUUAUGACACAAAUUUUCUUUCCCCUUUUUUCGUUUUUUAAUCUUUUUACGCCUUUUCUAGGUAAGAAGCUGAGUGAAGAGACACUUCUGAAUCUCAAGGUUUGUGAGCCUUACUGAGAAAUGUGUGCAAACUUCAAAUAUCUUAUCUUUUACUAGUUUUUUUUUUUUUCGAUUUAAUUUGUAGGCUUUCGUUAACUGCGAUAUCUCCAAAAUGAAUUCUUUAAUACAUAUGUAUAUAGCCUUUUACUCGGAUAAAUUUGUGAAAUUCUAGAAUGAUAAUAAAGCUCAUAGAUAAAACGUAGUUGCGUUCCGGAGUUCCAGUUGAAUCAUUUUCUUCGUCAAAUGUUUAGAAUAAAAGAGUUCUCCAUCGGAUUUCUUCUUAAUUUAACUUUUUAACUUUUGAUCAGGGUUAUCUGGCCGGCAACCCAGUAACUGACGGAGAGUUCGACAGCGGAGCGAGAUUACCAUUUGCUCAUGGGAUGGCGCUUAUUUCUGAUGAACUUUAUGAGGUGAUGCAACAAUUUUUCGAUCAUUCUUCGGUAUCAGGUUACAUUUAGCCAUCAACAUCAACUUCGAGCGACCAUUUCCCUUUUCAGUGCACUAAAUCUGAAUCCUGUUAAAUCAAAAUUUCAGAAAUUGGCUUUUUCGCAUUAGUUCUCUGCAACUACUGAAUCAAACCUUUCAAUUAUGUUAUGAACUUUAAGACACAAACUUUAUCAAAGUGUACUUUUUCCCUUCUUUAGUCAGCGAAGGAAAGUUGCGGCGGAAAAUAUACUGCUCCGAGAAAUGCACAAUGUUGGAACUAUCUCCAGGCCGUGUAUGAGGUAGUAAUUAAUAUGUUUAUGCGGCUUCUCUUUUUUUUUUUUUUUUUUUUUUUUUUGUUUCUCCUUUUGUUUUUUACUUUUGUAACCUGAAAAGGUCUUUCAAAUAUGCAGUGCACAAAGGGCAUCAACGGAGGCCAUAUUUUGGAGCCGAAUUGCGAGUUCGCGAGCCCGCAUCCUUUCACAGUUUCCGCCAAGAGAAGGAAAAUGCUAGCUAAGCAAUCUGAAGAACUCUCUUUGCUGACAUCUAGCAUCCCUACAUAUUGUAGGGUUGGUCCCCUCCUUUUUGUUGAUUGUUUCUUUCGUUUGUUUCCGUUUUGAAUCUGUAAUAUCGAGCUUAAUGCCUGUUGCAGACUUAUGGGUACUUGCUAUCCAAAUAUUGGGCAGACAAUGAUACAGUAAGAGCGGCUCUCGGCAUUCAUAAGGUAAUUCUGUAAUUCUGAUCAGGCGGAUCUAACACAAUCAAAUAGAUUUUGUAGCAUAGGUCUAUUAUGCAUAUUAUACCUGUUUUUUCGUCGUUUCUAAUGAGGUUCAGAGUUGAUGGUCGCGAGUUCGAUUCCCAUCUUUUGCCAACAUUUCGUGUUUGCUCAUCAACACGCACGUGAAUACGGGUUUUACGUAGAUUUAUAGACCGUUUCCUGUCGGAUUGAUUUCUUGCGUAGAAUUAUACGAUGCUAUUUGCACAGCCUAAAAAAGCACAAGCGGCUACUUACUGCAUGCACUUCCUAAAAAAGCGGUUUAGUUCUUCCGCUUGAUUCGCGCGAAUAGGGACCGAGAAUAAAGGAAAAAUGAUUCACUGCGCUCGAUCAUUUUAUCACGUUGAAUCUGCAUGUGUUCUAAGCUUGUAGAAUGGCUUGCGAAUUGUGAACAUUCAAAUGAUCGAUUAGAGCUCCUCCUUUAGUUCUUUACUCCGUUAUUGAUCGACUUGUAUCUCAGCUAAAAUCUUAGUAUCAAUGUCGCGCAGGGAACGGUUCCUUCCUGGAAAAGGUGCAAUUUUGAUUUACCUUAUACGAAAGAUAUCUGGAGUGCAGUAGUAUAUCAUCUCAAGGUGACAACGAAAGGUUACCGGGCAUUGGUUUACAGGUUCUGACACUCACUAUGGAAGCUUUUCUUUUAUGAUAUGCUACGAUAUGAGUUUUCGACGCUCAGAGAUGAAAAUUGUAUAUCGCAGUGGCGACCACGACUUUGUGAUACCGUUUCUGGGAACUCAAGCAUGGAUCAGGUCUCUGAAUUUCUCAGUAGUGGACGAGUGGCGACCGUGGUCUGUAGAUGGCCAAGUUGCAGGGUGAGCUUCAUUUCAUUAUUCAUUCUCAGAAAGCGCUUUUUACGCUCAUUUUAAGAACAAUCUAAUUGAACUCUCAUCUUCGUGUUCUCAGAUUCACGAGGAGUUACUCGAACAACCUCACAUUUGCAACUGUAAAGGUUAACAUAUAUUGUUUUUUCUUUUUCUUUUUUUACUGAAAUAAAUUGCGGUAACUAAGCAUUUUAGAAUGGGUUUCUUUCUAAAUGCAGGGUGCAGGACACACUGCUCCAGAAUACAAGAGAAAGGAAAGCCUCAGCAUGCUGGAAAGAUGGUUAUCUGGUGUUCCUGUAUGAUUCUGACACAUUCUGUAUAUCUAAUUUGGGAAUGUUAUACAACUCCAUACUAAGAUUUUACAUUUGUAAAGCUUGUAAUUCCCCUUUGCUGGGCAUAGGAGAGCUCUUUGUAAUCUCCUACUAAGUGGAACAAAGCGUUAAAGCGCAAUAAAAGAUCACUUAUCAAGGACUAUUACCUCCUUUGAAAUUUGGUUUACAAUUUUUUCUUCUGCUCUCGGUAGCAACCAUCUCUAAUAAAGCAUGAAAAUAAAAGCUUUUAAUCUAUGGCUUCCUUCUGGUUCUGUUUUUGCUUUUGCUACACCGUUUGGCAAGGGGAUAGGGAUAGGGAUAGGUCCUUAUCCCCCCUUUAUACCCAAACGCUAAUUUUUUAUCCGAGAACAGUAAUUUUCGAUUACUUAUAAUAAUCGAUUAUAACUAUUCCCAUCAACACCUUCAGUUUAUAUAUAAAACUACCUAACAUUUUUCUUAUUCCAUAUUAUCUAUCCAAACACUAUUUUUCUUAUCCCCGGAAACAACUCAAUUUUCAUCUAAACGCUACUUUUUUUAUCCCAUACUUGUACCUAUCCCUGUAAUAGCUAGUUCUUGCUUAUACCUGAACCAAACGGUUUGAGAAUAACUGUUCGGAAUAGUUUGAUAUAGUAUUUUCCCAUACUGCACUUCUUCGAACAGCACUACACCUUUACAAUGUUGGUAACACGAAAAAAAAAAAAGAAAAAGAAAAAAAGAAAAGCAUUUACUAAAAAAGGGGCAACAUACACUGAUACCCAUGAAUUUACUCGAAGUCGGUGAAGUUGCAAAUUCGGUUCGACGGUGAAGUUGCAAAUUCGGCGACGACUCUUGGUUCGUUGAGUAGAAGCAAAGUGGAGAGUCUCGUCAACGACUUCAGUGUGGCUGAAACGCGUAACGUCGGCAGAGAAGGUAAGGUCGUCGCCGACUUCUAUGGAGUAAGUUAGAGCAUAAUUAGGGUUUCGGAAUUUUGAGCCCUAGAAGAGCUCGUUAGGUCUCGUCGUCGUCGUCGUCGCCAUUAACGAUGGAGAAGCGGAGAGAGGCGAAGAGGAAAAAGUUCCACGAGGCGCUCCUCAAUCUCUACCACCCCCCACCUCCUCCUCGCGUAAUCCCUUCUCUUUUCCUUUUUUCUCCUUUAAGAUUCAUCGUAAUCGUAAUUUGUAUCAAACUUUUCUCCUUUUUUGAUCCGUGUCGUACAAUAGUCGAAAUGGGAAAUAGGUAGAGUUUGGAAGUGAAGUUGUCGUCUUUUUUUAGCAAUUUGAACAGAAAAUUAUUGUUUUGAUGUGAACGAUUAUGAUUAGCAUGAUCACAAAAAUGGAUAAAUGUUGGUGGUGACUUUAUAAAAUCUCCAUUGGUUUCAGAUUUUUGUUAGAUUACCCUAAAAAGCACGAAAAAGGAAUUUUUCUUAAAAAAAAAAAAAAGGGAGAAAGCACCAGAAAAGCUCAUUGUAAUCCCUAAAAAAGUGUCUCUUUGAGCAACUUUACUGUGCAAUUGCAACCCAAGCCCUAAUAGAACUCUACCAGUUAUCUCUAGCAUUUACAUUUUUAAGUUCAAUCACAUUUGAGUUUUGCCUCAAAAAGCCACUGUUUAAGUUUAUCUAAUUUCAGAUCUUGGUUUUAUGAAGUACAUUUAAAUAGAAUAGUGAAGUCCUAAAAAACAAUUGAGAAAAUGUUUUUUUUUUUUUUAAACUCAUAUUUUUGGCAGAGACGGGAAUUAUGCGAGAAAGGAAAGCUCGUCGAGCAGUGAAAGUGAUUGUGGUUCGAAGACACUCACAAGGGCUCAGAGGAAGAUAGAGAGGUCAAUGGGUAUGGAUACCUGAAAUUUUAUUCGAACUCGAAUCCGAAUGAAACGGAUAUAUUCGAUGCUAAAUGGAUAUGUAUUCGGAUAUGAAUAUCAAAAAUAGAAACCCGAUAGAUAUGGAUUUGGAUAUGAAUUUUGACUGCACCCAACCCUAACCCGAACCCGACCCGAACCCGAAUUUAUUUGGUAUUAUAUAUAUAUAUAUAUAUAUAUAUAUAGAGUUGAGCUGGAAUACUAUCGGUAGCAAACGGGCUCCAUUGACACCUAUUUGUUUUCGAUGAUGGAGCCUCCAAAUCGACGAUCGGCAUCAUUGAAAAUGAUCUAUACCACUUGAAGUAUCUAGAAAUCAAAUUUUAUAUUUUUCUGAUAUUGUUUUCUUGUCCAUCAAGUGGGUGUAAAAAUAAAUGGCUGAAAAUGAAUAUCCUCUAAAAAGUGAUGAUAGAAAUUUUGUAAUCAUGAUCGAGAGUAUAGAUCUUGUUCUAAAUAGUUUAAAGAAUUUUCUAACCAAAAUUCAAUUGAUUUGGAUAGCUUUACACCGUUAAAUGAGAAAAUUUCUCAUAUCAAUCAUUAAAAUUAUUAAUUUUGAAACCCUUUGAUCAUUAGGUAAAUGAUGUCGAAAAGAUUUGAAAUUUAAUUUCUAAAUACUUCAAGUGAUAUAGAUCAUGUUCAACGAUGCCGAUCGUCGAUUUGAAAGCUCCAUCAUCGAAAACAAAUGGGUGGCAACAGAGCCCGUUUGCUACCGAUAGCAUUCCAUUUCAACUAUAUAUAUAUAUAUAUAUAUAUAUAUAUAUAUAUAUAUAUAUAUAUAUAUAUAUAUAUAUAUAUAUAUAUAUAUAAUGUUAUAUUUGAAUUUGUAUUUUAAAAAUUUAGAUUUAAUAUAAUAUAUUUUGAAAUAUUGAAAAAAGAAAUAAUUAUUUCGAAUUCAAAUUUUCGGAUUCGGGUUUCAGAUUUUUUGGUUGGGUUUGGGUUUGGAUAUAAAUUUUUAAAAUUCGUCGGGUUCAGAUUCGGGUCUCGAGUUUAGAGUCGGGUUUGGGUUCGAAUUUUUUAAAAUCUGUCUCGAAUCUGACCUGUUGACAUCUCUAGAGGAAGAGGAUUCGGAAAAGGAAGCUGAACUGCUGAAGGAAGGGGCGACAGUUAGCUAGAAGAAAAGUUAUUGGACCUUUAUUCAUUUAAAAAAAAAAAAAAAACAGAAGUUGCGGGGGUGUGAAUAAAAAAAAAACAAAUAUAAUUGAGGGGCUCUCCAAAUAUUUUUACCAAUUACUAAUCAUUGAAAUUUCCUUUUCCCUAAAGUGACUGAUAUUUUUUGUUAAGGAAAAUAAUUAACAUAAUAAUUAAGGAUAACUAAGAUUACCAAAAUUAAUUCCUUCGACGUUACCACAUAUGAUUUAAAACUAUGGAAAGUGACGCUUUGAAAACUACAAACCAAUCUUUUCUAUGGAGGAAUUUUCUCAAUUUUAACCUACAUGUUUCAUUGAUGCUUGUGGAGGAGAUAAAUCUUGUGUAACAACUACACCAUCUUAAAUUUAUAAUACAUAAUUAAUUCUAUUAAGUCAUAUGCUUUGAAUCGUAUCCGCAUACUAAUGUAACAUCAUGGCAUAUAAAUCAAUCAAUCAAAAGUCUCCGACAAACAUUUUGAAUCAAUAUUAUAAUGAUGUAAGUAAAUUUGUUAAAUAAAAAUAUUUUGUAUGGAAUAAUUCAUAAGUUCUUUUUGAAAUUAUGGAGAUAUUACGUUACGUGCAGUGAAAAAAAUAUAAUACAAAAAUAUUUUAUUUAUUUUUAUAAAUAAUAUUAUAUUUUGUAUAUGUUGUGAUAUACUUUUUGCCGUUUCAUUUUUAUUUCUUGAUGUUACAUGGAACUUAUACUUUUUUAUUUGCCUCAUACUUUUGGGUGGGUUGGGUGAUUUUAAGCCAAUUUGGACAAAGGGAAAUCGACAAAGUGUCGAUUUCCUAUUGUAUAUUAAAACAAAAGUUAAAUUACAUAAAAAAAAAUAGAGAGAUUUUUAUGAGCCUCUCUCUUUAUGUUAGUUCACCAUCAUAUGCCAUGUGGUUUCAUUUUACACUUUAAAUUAAUAAGUAUCGUUGUGAUCUGGAAAUUGCCAAAUUGUAGUCUCUUUCAAAAAAAGAAAAAAGAAACAAACUUAUGGAGUCUACGGUUACUUUUUGAAUAUAGCCACCAAAAGAAGAAAGAAUAAAUAAAACACCAUAAUUGAUAUAAUAUUAUUAAAAAAAAAGGACGAAAACACUAGGUAGAACUUUAUACUUUUUUAUUUUUAAGUGACAACAACUAUAUCUGGUACAAUCCGUGUCUAGCGUAAGUGGCAAAGGGCUUGGCAGUUGAUACCCGAGGUCCCAAAUUCGAAUUCUAAUUGAUUCACAUUUCCAGCUAAAUUUAUUUUUAACCCUAAAAAAAAAAUCAACAUAAAAUAGUUGUAGAUUACUUGUCCUACUUGAUUACAAUAAACUCUCAGUUAAGCCCAAUCCAAUCCCUACAUUUUUCCUUGUUUUGAUCAUUAAUUAAUUCCAAGCUUUUGCUUCUGAUCCUUAAACUCCACUUACCUCUCAAAAAAGUCACACACCCUUAUCUAAAAUUACAAGAGAUAAUUACCUAUAUUACCUCUUAAAACCUUUGAAAUAUUUUGCUUGCCCCUACUUUUUUUUUUUUAUUGCAAAUAUAUUUUUCAUAUAUUUCUCCGUUAUUUAGAAAUAUUUCUACGAUUAGUGUCCGUUAAGUCAUAUCGGAUUAAAUCUGAGUUAAGUUUCUACCGUAGUUAAAAAAAAAUUAUCUAUUUUGUCCGUAACUUAAGUGCAAAUAAGAAAAAUUGAUGAGGUAGAAGAGUAUAUUUGAAAAAACAAAAAGUCAAAACACUUUUUUUGCCCUAAACUUAGAAGACAAAUAAGAAAAGUUGGUGAUGAUAAAAGAGUAUAUUUAAAAGAGUAAAAUAGUAAUUUCAUAGAGAUAAUGACUGUUACUAAUAAAACCCUGACAGAAUUUAACUCUCUCUCUCUCUCUCCCCCUCUAUAUAUAUAUAGAACUAGGCUGGAAUACUAUCAAUAGCACAAAGCUAUUGGUGCUAUUAGUUUUUUAGCCCUUGGAUUGAGAAAUGUGAGGUUAGGAUGAUGUGGGCCCCCAAGGGUUGAGUGGGUGGUUGGUUGAAUAGUAUAAUCUAACAGGUAAAAAUAAUGAAAGCACGGAGCUAGAGUGACGCUACUAUGCUUCUGGAAGCACGGAGCCUUCCGUGCUUCUAAGUCAUUUUUGAUGUUGCGACUUUCGAAUCGUCGAUCGGCUCCAUUAAACUUGAUUUAGAGUAUUUGAAGUACCUAGACAAUAAAUUUUGUAAUUUUUCGAUAUCAUUUGCCUAGUGAACUAAGGGGCUCAAAAUCAACGGCUGAAAAUAAAAAUCUUACAAAACGUGAUAAUAUAACAUUAAAAUUUUAGAUCAAAGAUAUUGAUCUUGUUUUAUAUAGUAUAAAGAAUUUUCUAUCAAAAUUUCACGUGAUUUGGAUAUUUCUACAUCGUUAAACUUGCAAACGGCUCACCGCGGCCAUUAAAAUUAUUGAUUUUGAGUCUCUUCCAUCACUAGGCAAAUGAUAUCAAAAAAUCAUAAAAUUUAUUUUCUAAGUACUUCAUAUACUCUAAAUCAAGUUUAACGGAGCCAAUCGACGAUUCGAAAAUCGCAACAUCGAAAACGACCUGGAUCUGUACUUCCAGAAGCAUAGUAGCCUCACUCUAUAUAUAUAUAUAUANUAUAUAUAUAUAUAUAUAUAUAUAUAUAUAUAUAUAUAUAUAUGAAAGACUUUAAAACCUUAAAAGAAUAUUUUUAAUACCAGAGAUAGAUUAAGCAAUUGCUCCAAAUUAUAAAUAGAGCCAUACUUGUAGACCACACAACUCAUAACCCAGUGAUUGACUCUUACACUUCUCCUUAGUAAUUAGUUUCAUGAGAAUAAAAUAGUUUGUAGUAGAAGCCAUGGCCCUUGAUCUUCUUCUUCUUCUUCUUCCUCUUCUCUUUAGCUGCUUCCUUGUUAGCUCAGGUAGGAGAAGCAUCAUCACAAGCCUCCCAGGUUUUGAUGGGCCUCUGCCCAUUUCCCUGGAGACUGGGUAAGUUGCUGUGGAGAUUGUUAGUUUUUAGGUACUUUGUAGCUUUAGCUUUAGCUUCUCCUUUCCGUUACAGUUAUUUAUAGCAACAUAUUUAGCAAUUGUUUAAAAGUUCGGAGAUUCUGUUGUAGCAGAUAAGGGCGAAAAACAAAAGGAAAAAAUGAUUAUGGGAAUCCAAAGCAAACACUCCAAUUUAGAACUUUGCUUCCUACUUUUCUUGAUGAUGCUUUUCAAAGAAAGUUAGUUUUAUUGACAGAACAGAUGCAUUGAAUCUAACAUAUGCUUAAUUAAGAUUGAUUCUCAUUUGAAACUUUGGAAGGUAUGUGGAGGUGGAUGAGGAGAAUGGGGUGCAGCUUUUCUUCUACUUCAUAGAAUCGGAGAGAAAUGCUCAGGAGGACCCUCUCAUGCUGUGGCUCACCGGAGGCCCCGGCUGCUCCGCCUUUUCCGGCCUGGUCUACGAGAUCGGUUACGAAUUACGUGCAAAAUUUAGUUCUUUAAGUUCCAUCAUGGUUUUAGUUGCACCAAAGUUCUGACUUUGAUAACAUAAAUAUAUACAUACAGACGUUAUCUGAACUGUAGCGCGUUUCGAAAUGCAUACUAGGAUCAUAAAAUUAUGAUUUUACUAAGUUUCAUCAAAUUCUAUUAUAUUGCAAUAUAUUAAUAAAAUCGAAGUUUCUGAAGUUUAAGCAUGUAUUUCAAAAUGCUAUAUAGUUUAAAUAAGAUCCACACAUUUUUACCUUCUCUGUUCUGAUAGUUGUGACUCAUUAUCAUUCAUACCUUAAAAAGAAUAUGCCAUUAUAGCUAACUCUAUUAAUGGUAUAUAAUACUCUAAAUUUAUGUAAAAGGAAUCAAUUAUUAGAAAAGACAAAUUGAGUAAACAAAGUGAAAUGUUGAACAAUUAAUUAAUAGUUGAUGGUGAUCAAACCUACAGAGGACAAAAGGAAUACAUUGAAGAGUACUCUCCAGAGCUAUUUCUUUAGUUGGUUCCAAGAAAAAUUGUGCUAAACCUUUCAAUAUUACUAUCUAGCUUUGCAUUAUUUAUGAUUUAGCUACUUAAUUACCAUCACAAAUUAACUUUUUUAAUGCAAUAUUUUGCAUCUUAUACGAAAUAUUUUAUUGUUUUGAUAUGUGCAGGCCCUCUUAGCUUUGAUGUUGAAGGAUACACACAAGGCCUCCCAACUUUGUUGUACAACCCACAUUCUUGGACCAAGGUUUAUGCCCCAAAAUAUAAUAAUAACGGGGAAACUUUAAUUAGCCUCGUUGUGAUUCAGCACCAUCUAGUGGUUUAAAAUAUUUCACUUUACUAUCCUGUGGUUUUGUUUUCGUGUCGUUACAGAAAUCCACCGUUAAAUAGCAUAGUAUUUAACUGUGGGUAUAUAUGAUGACACAUAAGUACGAACAUAAGAUAGUAAAGUAAUACUUCACAAAUCACACAUGGCAAAGUUAUAUCUUAGUGUGUGUGUGUGUGUUGGUCUUAAACCCCAGGUGAGCAGCAUCAUCUUCCUUGAUUCCCCAGUGGGGACUGGGUUCUCCUACUCUGUGUUGGAGGAGGGCUACAACUCAAGUGACACAAAAGCUGUUGACCAAAUCCUCAUCUUCCUCAAAAAGGUAAAAUCCAUUGAUUCCAACUUAACUCCCAUUUUACAUUUCUUCAAGUGCACAAACUUCAACAAUGGAGACUUAUGAUGUAACACAUUUGUACAUCAAUGCUGUCGACAGUAACUUUCCGUCAGCGUCAGCGCUAUUUAAUUUAUAUUCAGAAUUUGAUCGUGUUCGUGUCGGGUUUGGACCUGAACUCAAUUAGAAUUCGAAUCUAAGCCCGAAAUUUUAGACUUCUGAUUAGUGUCAAGUCGAGUUUGCAUCAAAAUCCGACACAAACUUGUACCUUAACAGUUCUGACGGAAAAUUUCUCACGGAAAACCAAAAUAGUAACCUCAGAACACCUAACUGAUGCAAACAAAAUCAUGGAUUACUGAUGUAAAAGUACACUGUACUACUGGGCCAUUUUUUUUUUUUAAAUCCACUCUAUUUGUCAUUUGAUGCUGCAGUGGUUUUUGGACCAUCAAGAAUUUAAGUCAAAUCCUCUUUACAUCGGCGGCGAUUCUUAUUCUGGCAUGAUUAUUCCGGCUGUCACUCUAGAAAUCGCAAACAGUAAGUUAUUUUUUCCGUAUAUUUUCUAUAUCCAUAUAUCCACUGUUCCUGGUGAACUCUGUUUUCGAAUGUAGACAAUAUUUGGCAUUUCUGCUCAUUAUGGUGUGUUUCUAAUGUGAUUUUCUCAUAAAAUAAAAAUUUCUCAACAAAUUUAGUAACAUUAUGUAAUACUAUGAAUUUUCAUGUGUGAAUAAUAUGAAUAGAAUGUGUGCCAAUUUCGACCUAAGGGCUGCGUAAAUUCCAGCUAGGAAUUUUCAGAAUAUUUGUGCUUUCGGAAGUUAAAGGACGUCACCGAAGUUACGUAAUUUGUGAAAAUUUUCUCACAAUGCUCGUUGACUGUUCUUGAAACAAAUAAAAUGUGCGUCAGCAAAACAUAAGCAGUGAUCAACCUUCUUAAACAGUUAUGUAGUUAAUUUUGACACAAUUUUCCUUUUCCCUUUUUUCGCUUUUUAAUCUUUUACGCCUUUUCUAGGAAAUAAGAAGCUGAGUGAAGAGACACUUCUGAAUCUCAAGGUUUGUGAGCCUUACUGAGAAAUGUGUGCAUACUUCAAAUAUCUUAUCUUUUACUACUAUUUUUUUUUCGAUUUAAUUUGUAGGCUUUCGUUAACUGCGAUAUCUCCAAAAUGAAUUCUUUAAUACAUAUAUAUAUAGCCUUUUACUCGGAUAAAUUUGUGAAAUUCUAGAAUGAUAAUAAAGCUCAUAGAUAAAACGUAGUUGCGUUCCGGAGUUCAAGUUGAAUCAUUUUCUUCGUCAAAUGUUUAGAAUAAAAGAGUUCUCCAUCGGAUUUCUUCUCAAUUUAACUUUUAACUUUUGAUCAGGGUUAUCUGGCCGGCAAUCCAGUAACUGACAAAGAGUUCGACAAAGGAGCGAAAGUACCAUUUGCUCAUGGGAUGGCGCUUAUUUCUGACGAACUUUAUGAGGUGAUGCAACAAUUUUUCGAUCAUUCUUCGGUAUCAGGUUACAUUUAGCCAUCAACAUCAACUUCGAGCGACCAUUUCUCUUUUCAGCGCACAAAAUCUGAAUCCUGUUAAAUCAAAAUUUCAGAAAUUGGCUCUUUCGCAUUAGUUCUCUGCAACUACUGAAUCAAACCUUUCAAUUAUGUUAUGAACUUUAUGACACAAACUUUAUCAAAGUGUACUUUUUCCCUUCUUUAGUCAGCAAAGGAAAGUUGCGGCGGAAAAUAUACUGCUCCGGGAAAUGCACAAUGUGCGAACUAUCUCCAGGCCGUGGAUGAGGUAGUAAUAUGUUUGCGCGGCUUCUUUUCUUUUCGUUUCUCUUUUUGUUUUUCACUCUUGUAACCCGAAAAAGCCUUUCAAAUAUGCAGUGUACAAACGGCAUCAAUGAAGGCAAUAUUUUGGAGCCGAAAUGCGAGUUCGCGAGCCCGCAUCCUUUGACAGUUUCCGCCGAGAGAAGGAAAAUGCUAGAAGAGCAAUUUGAAGAACUCUCUUUGCUGAAAUCUAGCAUCCCUAAAUAUUGUAGGGUUGGUCCCCUCCUUUUUGUCGAUUGUUUAUUUCGUUUUUUUCCGUUUUGAAUCCGUAAUAUCGAGUUUGAUACCUGUUGCAGACUUAUGGGUACUUGCUAUCCAAAUAUUGGGCAGACAAUGAUACAGUGAGAGAGGCUCUCGGCAUUCGUAAGGUAAUUCUGUAAUCCUGAUCAGGUGGAUCUAACACAAUCAAAUAGAUUUUGUAGCAUAGGUCUAUUAUGCAUAUUAUACCUGUUUUUUCGUCGUUUCUAAUGAGAUUGAGAGUUGACGGUCACGAGUUCGAUUCCCCAUCUUUUGCCAACAUUUCGUGUUUGCUCAUCAACACGCACGUGAAUACAGGUUUUACGUAGAUUUAUAGACCAUUUCCUGUCGGAUUGAUUUCUUGCGUAGAAUUAUACGAUGCUAUUUGCACAGCCUAAAAAAGCACAAGCAGCUACUUACUGCAUGCACUUUCUGAAAAAGCAGUUUAGUUCUUCCGCUUGAUUCGCGCGAAUAAGGGCCAAGAAUAAAAGAAAAAUGAUUCACUGCGCUCGAUCAUUUUAUCACAUUGAAUCUGCAUGUGAUCUAAGCUUGUAGAAUGGCUUGCGAAUUGUGAACAUUCAAAUGAUCGAUUAGAGCUCCUCCUUUAGUUCUUUACUCCGUUAUUGAUCAACUUGUACUCGGCUAAAAUUUUAGUAUCAAUGUUGCGCAGGGAACGGUUCCUUCCUGGAAAAGGUGCAAUUAUGAUUUACCUUAUACGAAAGAUAUCCCGAGCGCAGUAGUAUAUCAUCUCAAGGUGACAACGAAAGGUUACCGGGCAUUGGUUUACAGGUUCUGACACUCACUAUGGAAGCUUUUCUUUUAUGAUAUGCUACGAUAUGAGUUUUCGACGCUCAGAGAUGAAAAUUGUAUAUCGCAGUGGCGACCACGACUUUGUGAUACCGUUUCUGGGCACUCAAGCAUGGAUCAGGUCUCUGAAUUUCUCAAUAGUGGACGAGUGGCGACCGUGGUCCGUAGAUGGCCAAGUUGCAGGGUGAGCUUCAUUUCAUUACUCAUUCUCAGAAAGCGCUUUUUACGCUCAUUUUAAGAACAAUCCGAUUGAACUCUCAUCUUCGCGUUCUCAGAUUCACGAGGAGUUACUCGAACAACCUCACAUUUGCAACCGUAAAGGUUAACAUAUAAUCUUUUUUUCUUUUUCUUUUUUUACUGAAAUAAAUUGCAGUAACUAAGCAUUUGAGAGUGGAUUUCUUUUUAAAUGCAGGGUGCAGGACACACUGCUCCAGAAUACAAGAGAAAGGAAAGCCUCAGCAUGCUGGAAAGAUGGUUAUCUGGUGUUCCUAUAUGAUACUGACACAUACUGUAGAUCUAAUUUGGGAAUGUUAUACACUUAUUAUACUUCUUACUAAGAUUUUACUGGGGCUACUCCUUUUCAUUUGUAAAGUUCAUAAUUCCCCUUUGCUGGGCAUAGGAGAGCUCUCUGUAAUCUCCUACUAAGUGGAACAAAGCGUUAAAGCGCAAUAAAAGAUCACUUAUCCUUUGAGGACCAUUACCUCCUUUGAAAUUUUGUUUACAAUUUUAGCUUCUGCUCUCAGUAGCAAUUAACCAUCUCUAAUAAAGCAUGAAAAUAAAAGCUUUUAAUCUAUGGCUUCUGUUUCUGCUUCUGCUUCUGCUUCCGCUAUAGAGAAUAACUGUUCGGAAUAGUUUGAUAUAGUAUUUCCCCAUACUGCACUUCUUCGAACAGCACUACACCUUUACAAUGUUGGUAACGCAAAAAAAAAAAGAAAAAAAAGAAAAGAAAAGCACUUCUACAAAACGGGCAACAUACACAUGAAUUUACUCGAAGUCGGUGAAGUUGCAAAUUCGGCGACGACUCUUGCUUCGUUUAGUAGAAGCAAAGUGGAGAGUCUCGUCAACGACUUCAGUGUAGCUGAAACGCGUAAAGUCGGCAGAGAAGGUAGGUCGUCACCGACUUCUAUGGAGUAAGUAGAGCAUAAUUAGGGUUUCGGAAUUUUGAGCCCUAGAAGAGCUCGUAGGUCUCGUCGUCGUCGUCGUCGCCAUUGACGAUGGAGAAGCGGAGAGAGGCGAAGAGGAAAAAGUUCCACGAGGCGCUCCUCAAUCUCUACCACCCCCCACCUCCUCCUCCUCCCCACGAUUCCCCUCCUCGCGUAAUCCCUUCUCUUUUCGUUUUUUCUCCUUUAAGACUCAAAUUUUUCUCCUUUGUUGAUCCGUGUCGUACAAUAGUCGAAAUGGGAAAUAGGUAGAGUUUGGAAGUGAAGUUGUAGUCUUUUUUAGCAAUUUGGAUAGAAAAUUAUUGUUUUCAUGUGAACGAUUAUGAUUAGCAUGAUCACAAAUGGAUAAAUGUUGGUGGUGACUUUAUAAAAUCUCCAUUGGUUUCAGAUUUUUGUUAGAUUACCCUAAAAGCACGAAAAAGGAAUUUUUCUUAGAAAAAAGGGAGAAAGCACCAGAAAAGCUCAUUGUAAUCCCUAAAAGUGACUCUUUGAGCAACUUUACUGUGCAAUUGCAACCCAAGCCCUAAUAGAAUUCCACCAGUUAUCUCUAGCAUUUACAUUUUUAAGUUCAAUCACAUUUGAGUUUUGCCUUAAAAAGCCACUGUUUAAGUUUAUCUAAUUUCAGAUCUUGGUUUUAUUUACUUGGUUAUGGUGUUUUCGAAGUGAUUUUAAUGAUGGUUUCGUUUUAUACAUCAAGUUAGAUGAAGCGGAAUCCGUUGAGGUGUUGUAUAGAGACACAGACCUGGAGUUUGACCCAGGUACGAAGUACAUUUAAAUAGAAUAGUGAAGUACUAAAAAACAAUUGAGAAAAUGUUUUUUUCUUUUUUUUUAUCUCGUGUUUUUGGCAGAAGACGGGGAUUAUGCGAGAAAGGAACGCUCAUCGAGCAGUGAAAGCGAUUGUGGUUCGAAGACACUCACAAGGGCUCAGAGGAAGAGGAUUCGGAAAAGGAAGCUGAAGGAAGGCGCGACAGUUAGAAGAAAAGUUAUUGGACCUUUAUUGCCAGAAGGUUAUCAAGAUCAGGAAAAUCAACUUUCCGAUGGCCAAAAGAAACCAUUAGAUGAAAAAUCAUUGGGGCACUCAGCAAAUUAAAUGCUGGGUUCAAGCUAGGAGAACUAAGAGCUUCAGAAUUAGAAAUUUUUUUUUUUUUCCUGAUCAGAACGAUGAAUUGAUGAUCUUCAGAAAGAAUUGAUGUGACUAAAGAAGAUUAAAUUUGAUGGAUUUGUGCCAAAUGGACUGUAGUUUGCCGUUGCAUCUCUGCCGGUAAUUUCUUUGUUCUCUUUUUAUGAAGUUAUUCUUAAGAGUUUAGUGUUGUGCUGAAGGUCUCUUUAUUAUGCUUUAGAUUUGGAGCUGCUUGGAUUGUCCUGGGUGAAGCCAUGAAGGCACCGGUCGGCAAAGAUCCAAAUUUGCAACUGUUGUAUUGCAUAGAAGUGUGAGAGAUCACGUAAUGAUAUUCCUUGCAGUGCUAUGAAAUUGUAAUUAAGAUAAUGAAGACCGACUUCUUGUAUAGUCAAACAUUGUGUACAGAUGCGAGAGCAAAGCAAUUCAAAAUUUGUUUUUUGUCCCAACUGUGAGCUAUAACCUUUACUUUUUGUUUCAUAUAUUUGGUUUUGCUGAUGUACAUUCGUCUCGUUCGACUCUAUGAAACUAAAUUGUCUAAUGCAGAUAUUGACAGUAUGUUGUUAUGCUUAAUUUAUUUCUGUGAGCUAGUGCAUGUUCUGCAGCUAUAUAGGUGGACUACGGCAGUACAAAGAUUGUUAUCUUUAUUUUGCCUGUUCCACUCCAUCAUACAAAGAAGAAGUAGAAGAAGAAAAAACCAUGGUUGAACAAAAGCUGAAUGAUAACUGAUCCCAGUAUCCUGUCAAAGAGACUUGAUAAAGCUGUUUGCUUAAAUUGAUUGUCUACAGCCCUCUGUGUGUGUGUGUGUGUGUGUGUGUGAGAGAGAGAGAGAGAGAGAGAGAGAGAGAGAGAGAGAGAAAGGUUAUUUCAGGGUAACUAAGGUCCAGUUGAAUGUUAGGGUGUCAGGACCCACUCAAACUAGUAUUCAGAUUGUACAUAUAUUUUUCUAUAUGUAAUAGAUAGCUAUCUUUCUUCUCAUCCACAACAUGUGGUUCAGCUUCUACAUAUCCCAGUCACUCUAGUGAUAUUGGCAACUUAUUUGUGGCUUCUAUGAACUAUAUUCUUCCAGCUUUUAAUGCACUUCUAGUUCAUCUAUGGCUCUUCCUCAGGGUGCUCCAUCUCCAUUAAAUAAGCCACCCUCUGCAUCUUCAUCUUCCACAGGAGCAAUCUUCAACAUCCUGCCGCAAACAAAAUCGGUUCAGUUAAAUGAAAUCGGUAGAAGGUGUAUUCUACCAAUGCUUGUUUUUGCGACGGCGCUCCCUGACGUGAAUGAAUCAAAGAAGGCUCUCCUUCAAGGUACCUAUUGCUUCAUAUUCUGUGUUGGUUUGUAGUGAUUUAGAGAGGACUAAAUCUUUGCCUAAUACUUGUGCAUGCAGAGUUUCUGAAGAGGUCAAAAGAAAACAAAGAAAAAAAUGAUAAGCAGGUUAGCAUUCCCCUACUCCUCUAACCCUUCAUUUGUUUUUGGCUAAAAUUUGCAAAAAUCAUCACUUCCUCUAUGGAUCACCCUUACGCCGAUAACGAAUUAGAGAACUAAAACAUGUAUCCGGAGAGGAAAGUGUUGAUUGCGAAAAUGUUAGGCGCCUCGCAUUAGAGGAUAGAGUACAGUAGCUUAGUAUUGUUACAUUAUCUUCUCCAGAGGCUCGAGGAUUACUACAAGAGGAACUACAAGGAUUACUUUGGGCUCAUUGAAGGUUCAGUAAAAGGCAAGAAAGAGGAGCUGCUUUCUGAGACUGAGAAGGGCAUCCUUGAUUGGCUGGAAAAGAACAGGAAGUGAAUUACUUUGUUUAUGGUUCUUCUGCAUGCUCCAUGUGAAGUAGGAUUUAUUAACAAAAUGUUCAUUGAAUCAGUAAGACAUCUUCUCAUUAUUCAUGUACAUAUAUGCUCAAAAACAAAAUCUGCUCUGGAAAUUCAAGAUCACUUGAUGUGCUGACAUGAAGUUUAAUUAGCCUGAGAAAUUCAGGAACAAAGUAUAACAAACCCCCUCCCACUGAGAACCAAUUCAAAUUACUAUUCCAAACAUAAUCUGCAUCAGGAGAGUAGGAGCUCCACACUAAUCGUUUUACAAAACUUUUUGUGCAAUCAUGCCAAAGUUUGCUAGCAUUGUUCUCCUUGAUACAUCAAAUCAUCACCAAAUAUAUCAUUUACAUUAACCCAUGCAACUUCCCAACUGCAAAAUCAGUGUUUUGAAUGAUUUCUGAUACAUUGGACAUUCAAAUCCUGAACAAUACAAUUCAUUUUUUUCUUUUUUCUUGUUCCUUUUUCUUUGUUAAUACUGAACAAGUAUUGCAUAUGCAUACAACAAAUCUAGCACCCUUCGAGAUCCCUCCAUCUAAGGUAUACCAGACCGGCCCGGUAGUGCGUGUACGCUCCGGCGACCACCAACACAUGAAAUAGCUGGUGGCUGUGCCCGGCGAUGUCGAACUUUCCUGGCAUCCACCGCUCUGGGAUUCGCGUCGCGUAGACCAGAGCACCAAGCCCGUAUAAAAGCCCCAUUAGAACUUCAUACCCGGUCGUGUGGAGUGCCUCCGGCGUAUGCCAAAACAUAACCAACUUAUGAAGAACCGGCACGACUCCUGAUAAUCCCAUCCCGAAGAAGAGGCUUGCCCUGAUGGUCCGGUACUCUGGGCUCUGGAAGACUGGAAGAAGAGAGACGGAGAUGGUGGCGAUCCCUAGAAGAGUUAUAAAGCCAAGGUAGAGGUUGCAAAAGAAAGGGUUGCACAUGAAGGAGUAGUAGACCGGGGGAUAGAAGGAGGUGGCGAUGAGGGCCGCGAUUCCGGCGUAGUCGAGGCGGAGCAUGAUGUACGCGAUGCGGCGCGAGUGGCAGGAGAGGAGGUGGCACGUGCUGCUCGCCAGCAGGCAGAACAUAGCCCCACCUAGGAAUGCGAAGAACGGCCACCGUGCGAUCGGCCGCACAAGCAAUGGUGCGAUCAUGUUGGCCACAUCCUCUUUCACACUCCGCUGCACACAGUUAAAUUAUCAUAUUCAAAGCCCCGAAACAAGGGAACACACAUAUUAUCUUAUUACAUAUUUACCCCUGCAAAAUCUAAUAAAACAUAACACACAAAGUGCAUUUCUUAGAAGAAUGCGCUUAUCUUGAAGAUAACUUGAAACAACAAAAAGAAAAGAAUAGAUAAGUUGAGUCACAGAAUUCAACUGGGGAAAGUCGGUCGGUUUUAUAUUACAAAAAAUGUUUUGCAAACAGGAGGAACAUGCUAAAAUACAAAGGUAUAUAUGAAACAAAUUAAGUUUUCGAGAAGUUCAGAAUUGGCAGAGAUAUAAAUAUGAACGCAGAUAAUGUUGCAGGGUUAUACAAGUAACUGCAGUUAAAUAACUCUGAAUAAAGAUAAGAAAAGUGAUGAAAAAGUGUUUAUUUACCAGAACACAUACAUUUGUCUGAUUUAAAUGGGUGAAUCUCUGGGGCAAACAGCUUGACAGGAGCUCUAGAAGAUGCCAGCGCGAUGAUAUGGAGGGGAGCAUAUCGAUAGAGGAGAGGGAGGUCUUCAACUCAUCUUUCAAUUUGUGUAGAUCAGAGAGGUGAGGCAACGAAGGGAGACAGGCCAGAAGCUCAGACUGAAUUUUCUGUAGGUCGGCUUUUCUCAGCACGUCGGGCAAAUGCUGUAGCGAUUGGAAAUCGACAACCUUUGGAACCUUCAUCGCGGUGUAUAUGGUUAAAGCAAGGAAUAGAAAGAAUCCAAUCAAGUGCCUAGAAUAUAAAUACAAAUAGAGCAGUGUUAGUGCCACGAGAAGAACAAUCGGAUAUGAACAAACAGUUGGAGAACGAAAUAUACUAAGGUUACAUAACACAGGACUCAAAAUAACAUGAUGACAAAGAAAACAAGAUAUUAUGUGCUCCCGGUUACUACAGAGUCAAUUCAAAGAAAAAAACAGAUUAUUUUUUAUUAUUAUUUUGCUCCUCGAGAAAGAGAACACUCAAGCUAAACUGCAGCCAACAAAUUGCAUUCAUGAAGAAUAAACAACAACUAAUUUCUCUUACGAACGAUAGAAUGCUCGAAUUUCAGACUAUCAGAAAAAAUAUUGUAACAGAUUUGUUAAGAGACAAUAACAGAAUAUAUAGAAGAUGAGGAAGUAAGAACAAAAGAAUUUUUCCUUCGGCGAAAGUUAGGUGCUAAUUCUAAAAUAUGAAAUCCCAAGCCGUACUCACGAGUCAGGUAGAUUUUAAGGCAGAUUCUGACAAAAACCUGAAACAGCAACUGUAUGAUGGCUAUAAGGAGAGUUUCUGAAGUUUUUUUCAGUCAUCAUUUAGUAAAUAUCUAGGUGAUCUGCUUAGUCUAACUAUGUGGAUAGGUGGAUAACAUAAACAUUGAAGCGGCAGAUGCUAUUAAGUUUAUCCCUUCAAAUAGUUUAGUACUAAGUACAGAAUAAGGAACUUUUCAGUGCCUGCAAUCUAAUAAAUCAAAGUCCACAACUUCUUAGCCCCAAGAUGUUUACUAUGCUCACAAAUAUCACAUAAAUCGGCCAAUCUCAAAACACGAGUUGUCGACCAUGGAUAAAACUUCUACUCCUAAAUCAUUCAGUAGAUGUCGCAGUUGAUUGACGAGCGGGAAAAGCUAAUUUUGUGUUGCCUAACUCUGUCAUUGAUUAAUAGUUGGGUUGUGAAUACUAAAUAUUAUUUAAAUUCUUACAUCCUUCCAUCCAUUUGUUGCUAAUUUUAUGUUUAUUUACAUCUCAGCAUCUCUCCUCUAUCAAAUUUUAUUUAUAACUAAUAUAGGGUUAAUGUCUACUAUCCUCCUAAACCAAAAUUUUCUGAAAUUGUCAAUAAUCUUCUCUUCAUAAUCAAUAAAAUUCAAAGUGAACUUAGACUUAAUCUGACGCUAAUCGGUUUAGGAAUUUGAAUACCUUGAGCAUAACCAAUUGGAAUGGAUCCCGCACAAAAGUUCCUUCUUUUAUCCUAAACAAAUUAGCCAAAAUAUUACUUUUUCUUUUUUCUUGUGUAUCAUGGACCAAACCAUUCCCAAGAUUCAAAAUUCGCUUCAAUUCACCACAAUUCAUUCUAAUUUUUUCCCAAAAAAAUCAACUCGUCCCCUUAAAACAAACCCAACCAACCCUAACAACAAGGAAUUGAUCGUGGGAAGGAAAAAAAAACUCAUUCUUUUCCCAAACGAAAGAGAAACUUACGUCCAGACAUUUAGGGUUUCGUUGUGGAUGGUGAAGAUGCUCAAGAGGAUCUGCUUCAGCGGCCACUCGGAGCGAUAAUACCUCAAUAUGUACUCGUUGUCUUUGAGAUACGCGGGCAGGGAAUGGUACUCCACGAGCUGGUACUUGACCCGCUUCCACAGCCUCCGCCCCUUCAAUCCCUUCGCCGCCGAGAACGGCGACGACGACGAUGACGAAGGCGAGGAGGACGAGUUGGCGGAGGAGGACUCGUCGAAGUCGUCGGCGUAGAGCCCGAUCGCCCCGGACUCGGCCAUGGGAGGGGACAAAGGUGAGCGCUUGGGGGGGGGCGGAGAAGGGGUCGAAAGAGUCUCCUUUUCUUCGGGGCUUGGUUUCUUUAUAUGGAAAAGUAGAACACGGCUCUGAGCGAAAGGUGUUCGAUGAUUUGCUCCAACCAAAACCUCUUCUUUAUUUGCGCCGAUGCGAAAGAGAGAGAGGUUGGGAGGGAAUUUCUCCGCCGAUAAAAAAUGCAUGGAGACCCCCUCAAAUAUACGUUCUCUUGAAACAGAUUCCUCAACUAUUUUUUUUCCUUUUUAACUUAAUAAUUGAUAAAACUUUUCCAAACUAUAAAUCAUUUUGAAUUAACUAUCCGAUUUUUUUUUUAUUUUGAUUUUACUAUCUAACCUUUUAAUUUAUUUGAUUUGAAUCAAUUAAUGACACUUUAACUUUCAAAAUUUAAACUAAUUACUUAUUUAAGUAAAUUAUAGUUGCAAAAAUUAUAUAAAAUAUAUUAACUAAAUCUAUAAUAACAAAUAAAUUAAACUUUAAAAUACUAUUCGACUGACUCAAAUCAAAUAAAUUGAAAUGUUGCAUUGUAAAAUCAUCAGAUACUUAAUUUAAAAUGGUCCAUAACUGAGAUAACUUUUUUAUUAUGUGAGUUUUUAUUUAACUAUUAAAUUAUUAAUUAAUCUAAUUUUAUUAGUUCAAAAGUAAUCAAAAGUUAUUAAAUUUGGUAAACUUGCUAACAAAUUUAAUAAAAUAUUCUAUAUAGUUUAUGAAAAAGAAAAAGUCAAAGGGUGCGAUUUGAGAAGCGCCUAUAGUUGAGGUGUUUUCUAUACAUAUUUUGAACUUAGGAUUUCUCUUGUGGGGACGGAGGAAUCGAACGAUAAUAAUAAUAAUUAUUAAUAAAUGCGAGUUUUUGAUUCGGGGAAACCUAAGUUCACGAUUCAUUAAUGCUUUUUUAAAGGUUUUCUCUAUUUUUUUAUUUUUUGGGGCUGCGGAUAGACUACGUCCGUGUGCGUAGAUCUGACAAUUUCUAUUCAUAUUUGCGGAUAUUCUUAGAUUAUUCGUAAAUUUGUUGAUACGAAUAUUAAUUUUUAAAUAUAAAUAAGUAUUCAUUGAGUGGUGGGUAUUUUUGGACAACCCACGAAUACUCAUAGGUAUCUGUUUAUAUAUUUUUUAGAUUAAAAAAUAUGUCAUUUUUAUAAUAUUGACUCUAUAAUAAUAAUAAUAAUUUUAUUAAUUUUAUAUUAUAAAAUUUGGAAUGGUAAAAUAUUUUUAUAUUAUGUAAUGUAUAUAUUUUAAAAAUUUUAUAUUGUUUAUUAUAUAUUAUGAUAUUUCAAACAGAAAGUUAUGUUAUGUUUUUAAAAAAUUUAUACAUGUGUUUUGAAUUUGGAAGUAUAGAAGUAAAAAAAGAAAAAAAUUGGCGGAUAUGAAUAAAAAUAUUAAUUACCCAAAAAUUUAUGGAUAAAUUUUAUCCAUACCCAUUUAAUAUAGGGUACAGUAAACCUUCUCGUGGGUUAUCCAAUCUAUCCGUUUGCCAGGAUUAAUCAUGCGCAUGUAAAAAAUAUUUUAUUUAUUGGUAUUUUUGUUCAAUAACAGAAAUAAAAUUUUGUGCCUUGAAAAAUAAGACUAAUUCAACAAUUUCAUUUGAAAAAUACAUUACUAAAUUCAGUACUUUAUAAUCAAAUAUUAUUCACUGAAUAGCACUUUACCAAAGAUUAUAUUUGGAUGAACACUAAUUUGUCAAUUCAAUAGAUAAGAAUGUGAUUCGGAUUUUUUUUUUUAAUCAUGUUGGAUCCGAGUCCGAAUCCGGCCCAAAAGAAUCCAAAGUGAGGCCUUGUAACAAUUGAAUGGCUUAUGAGCCCAAACAAAGAUAGCAACGAUAACGGGCCUAGAUGGGCCUAUUAUGUUUAGGGUAAAUAUGUAUAGAGCCCCCUCAACUUAACCCUUUUUUGGAUUGGGGCCCCCAUCAACUUCUAAAUUUUCGGAAUGAUCAAGUGAUUUUUGUUAGUAGGUUCGGGAACUUUAUCAAAUUCAUUGAUGAUUUCACUAAAUUGAGACUCAAUAACUAAUAAAGUCAUUAGUUCGAUAAAAACCUUAACUUAAUUAUGCAUGUAAAUCCCCAGAUUCGAAAAAUUAGAAGUUGAGGUGGUCUCAACAAAAGAGAGAGAGAGAGAGAGAGGGACUAUUUCAAAAUGGCCUAUAGUUCAGGGGUUGACAUACAUUUUUUACAAUUUUAUGAUAUAGGAGUUUAUUUGACCCCUCCUGUGAUUUAAAAGCUCCUUUUUAGAUAUUGAAUUAGCAGUUUGAAAUGAAUAGAAUAAGACUAGAAGUAAUAUUGCAAUAGAGGGAGGGUUCAAUGAGAAAUCGCAAUGAAAAAAAUAAAAUAAAAUUGUACAACGAUUCACACAAAUCAUACUGGUUGGAUUAAGACGUAACUAAGUAUAUGUAUUAUGCUUCAGUCGAUCUCCAUUUUGUCCAAAAGCGAUAGGGGACCCUCAACAUCAAAUGAGCUCUCAGUGACUCGAAGAUCCGAUUCAAUGUAAUUCUUCUAAUCCAAUCUUGCUCAAUCACUACUUCUUGUGUCAGAUUCGAUAAUCCUGUCUAACAAGAUUAUCUAGCUCGCAGGAUGCAUGCGGUAAUUCCAAUUAAUCUGGCACUUGGGGUUACUUUCUUGUUUUACAUUAUCCAAUCCAACAGUGAAUACCAAAUAGCGCCUUAAUCUUAGGGUGCGUUUUGUUCGCGCUAUCUUUUUAAGAUUCUUAGUAAUCCAAUAAGAAUAAAAAAAAAUAUGAUGAUACGUUUUUUGCUAAACGUACUAAAUAAUCUAGUUGGUAAUAUUGGAUUUACUCGGGAAUGAGAUUCAUCCCAAAGUACUAAUCUCAUUCUCUUGAGGAAUGGUGGGUAUCCUCAUAUUAAUGGAUUGGGAUAAUCAUAAUAUGUCUAAUCUCUUUUCUUCUUCAUACCCCCGGCUAUAUUUUUCUUUACACUCUAAUCUCAUAUCUCUCUCUAAACUUAUCUUUUUCUCUCUCUAAACUAAGCUCUCUCUCUUUCUCUUUUUUUAUAGUAUUAUCUAAAAUUAAAUAAAUAAAUAAAUUAAUUAAUUGUAUAUUUUUUGUAAACUUAAAUAACAUGACUAAAUAAUAUGACGGUACGAACCAAACACAGGAAUCCUACAUUCUUAAUAAUAGGAUGAAUAGGAAUAAGAUUCUCGGAUAUCUUUUUAUUGCUAGUAAUCUUUCAUAGUACGAACCAAACGCACCCUUAACAAAAUCCUUAGCUAGUAAUCAAUGUGUGGUGCACGUACACUUUUCUUAGAUAUGCUUAGGGUAUCUCCAAGGGGAAUCAAGUUCCUUAAACAUCAUCACCAUUUGUAUAAAAGGAAUCCCCUUUGCGAGAAAACCUUAUACUCAUCCUCAUGUACAGGAUGUGAGCUAGUUGACAUUACAUAUGAUAGAGAUAUAUAUAGGGCACAUACUUUUCUAAUUGUGCUAUUAUAUAUGGUGUGAGGCUACUAUGCUUCUAGAAGCACGGAGCCUUCCGUGCUUCUAGAUCGUUUUUUAUGUUGCGACUUUCGAAUCGUCGAUCAGCUCCGUUAAACUUGAUCUAGAGUAUUUAAAGUAUCUAGAAAAUAAAUUUUUUGAUUUUUCGAUAUCAUUUGCCUAGUGAUCGAAGGGGCUCAAAAUUACUAAUUUUAAUGGUCGUAGUGAGCCGUGUGGAAGUUUAACGGUAUAGAAAUAUUCAAAUCACGUGAAAUUUUGAUAGAAAAUUCUUUAUACCAUAUAAAACAAGAUCAAUAUCUUUGAUCUAAAAUUUUAAUGUCAUAUUAUCACGUUUUGUAAGAUUUUUAUUUUCAGCCGUUGAUUUUGAGCCCCUUCGUUCACUAGGCAAAUAAUAUCGAAAAGUCGCAUAAUUUAUUUUCUAGGUACUUCAAAUACUCUAGAUCAAAUUUAACGAAGCCGAUCGACGAUUCGAAAGUCGCAACAUAGAAAACGACCUGGAAGCAGGGAAAACUCCGUGCUUCCAGAAGCAUAGUAGUCUUACUCUUAUAUAUGAAUCAAAAUGUUUAAACAACAAAGCAUAUAUAAGGAAUUAUAUUCCUUUGAUGGCAUUAAUUAUUCUCCCAUAUUAAUUUAUCUCACCUCUUCCAUAUUAUGCCAUUGUUUUUGUUCCUGAGAAUCAAAGUUGCUUUCUUAGAGGAUUUUGGAGGCCAAGUCAUAUUCUUCACUAACCUGAUCCAUGUUGGGCCUAAUAAUUUUGUCGCACGUAGCAAUUCUGUCACGUAUUUGUUAUAGGAAAUUUUAGUAAAUACUGUGUGCAUGAUCAAAUUUUAAGCCAAAGAAGAAUAGAUUUAAGUAAUUCUUAUUUACAACAAAAUUUCCAAUCUCGCGCAAUUGUGUACAGAUGAUCAUACAUUCGGUACAGCAAAUGAAAUAAGAAGCAUUAAUUUAGCUCGAUGCAUUCGAAAGCUCCCAAUUUCAAGUAUCUUACUCAUCACUGAUUAGUGAACAUAUAUAUUAGAGGAUUUUUGUAAAGUUUUUGAAAAUAGGUAGCACGCUACCUGCUUCAUUCAUUGAAUAAAUGAAUUAGGCUACAGAGAUGAGACAACCAAGAAGGAUUUUUGUAAAGUUGGUGUUGAUAUUUUGUGAACAUGCAAUUAAUGAUCUCUAUUUAAAUCAAAAGUGGGCUUGGCGUUAAGUGUUUUAAGAAAACUAUAUUUUGAAGAGGAUCUUUUUGAAUUCAAUUUUAUUCAACAAAGUUUCUGUGGUAGUACAUUUUAUAAUUGAUCAAAUAUCUACUCGAUCCAGUAAUGGAUGCUAACAUAGAUUAACACUAUCAACAAAAUUGGCCCUACUUUUAACCAUGUUGGCUUGUUCCCACUUCUUUAUAUGUCAAAAUAAGAGAUUAGGGGAAAAGUUAGCUCAUGAGGGUGGCAUAUAAUUAACAAAAUUGUCCUCGAUCCUUUGAGAUAAUAUUCAUGUAUAAAACUAAUUGAUUGUACAAUUCUAACUAUGUACGAAAUCCAUACGCACUUUUCAAACCUGAAAAGAGUGAUAAAAGGCUCAAAACCUGCCCAAAAACUAAAGCAAAUAAGUUGAGAUAAUGAUCCUCAACAUUAUGUAUAUACAGAUCAUGAUUCAUUUUUCUAUCCAAUAUGAGAACAUUGUUUUUAGCAAAUUAUUAAGUAAACUUAAUUGCUAAUACUAACGCCGAUAAUAUUUUGUUCGUUGUUAAUGUUGGAUCAAUGCAUGUCCACAUAUGUGAAGUUGCUUAAUUUGCCUUAAUGUAGAUGCAUUCCUUUGCUCAUGAUCCCCUCACUACCCCCAAUCCUAGCCACAACCUCCCAAUAGCACGACGACACGUUGACAUCUUAUGCAUGAGAAGCAUCUUAAGAUACUAAUUUACUCUCAAAUCCGUUGUGAUACACAAGGGAUCGAUAAAGCGAGAGGCAAUUAAGUGAUGACAUGGAUCAAAUGGAGUAUUAAUUGCAUCUUACACUUAGCGUUGGGAUCUUUAACUUAGCUUUCCCCAUUGUUUAGGGAUUAAGGACACAUCAUGGAGCCAAAGUAAAGCAUCAAUUAGUUGCCAUGAGUACCUUUUCUCUUGUUAGUGGUACCUCAGUUUGCCUUAGGAACUUUAUUUACUUUGACUUACACUACAUUAAUUAAGUUCUCUUACAACUAAUUAAUGAUUUUAAAUUAUGGAGAUUUAGUUUAUUUGUUAAAGCAAGUAAGAACCUUCUUUUUGGGCUCACCUACAAGUCCUAUCCUAUAGUAAUAAGUGUAGCUUUAGCUCAUAAUGUUAAAAUAAUGUAUAAAUACCUGAUAUAUAUGUAUAUAAAUAAGAUGCAAAUAUCUAUCUAUAUAUAGUUAUGUUUUUUUUUUUUAUAUAUAUAGCCUAUUAGAAAGAUCCCUUAAGAAGACUUAAGGAGUUGGUUUGAAUAGAAAUGUGAAUAGUGAAACAAAGUACGUACUAAGAUGAACAAAGUUGAUAAAGAGCUUUUGUUUUCCUAAUUAAAGGCAACACAUAGCAAUAAGACAACAACAUAUCAAACAAUAUCGAAUUAAAAAAAAUGAUAUUGAAGCAUAAAGUACUUUCCUAGCCAAAGUGACUCACUAAUUAUAUUGCUCCAAGCAUAUAUAAUUAACCAACUUUUUUUUUUGGUUCAUGGUGUUUGUGUUGCAAAAUGCACCAUGCAUGAGACUACUAGAACCCGUCACUCAUUGUCCCUGCAAUUAUCAACACUAGUGUUUGCUGUCGAUCUGCAGUCCACCGGAUGAGAUCGCUUUCACCGCCGCGCUAGCUAGCACAGCGCAGGUGCGCGCCCAACAUGCUCAUAACUUUUGUAAAUGGGCCCGAUCUCGGCUCGUCAUCGCACUAACUAAGCAUUGGGAACUUGGAAUCCAUAUAUCCAGGCCUAGGUAGCUUCUAGCCAGUGUGGAAUCCAAAUUGCUCAUUGAAUCUUUCCGAUUCGACCGAAUUCGCUUUCCGUGACUUCAUCAAGCGACGUAAUUCGCGGCACAAGAUUCGUAUACUCCAAAUCCAUGAAUCAUCAUCCCAAAACUCAGGCCACUUAUUUUUGCCAUGUUAAGUAGUGACCCCAAGAGCUCCACAAGGGCAAAGCAAGUAGCAACUAACUAACUAGUGGGUGUGGGCCUCUAUAUAUACAUAUAUAUAGUAGCUCAUGCAUGUUGUGAAUUUAAUGUUAAAGUUACUCAAGUGGAAUCCAACUUUAUACUCAACAGGAUCUCCCCAUGUUGGGUUAGGCUCAUAAUUUUCUCCCUCCACCAAUCACAUGAUACUUUGGGAGGAAUUUCCCUUCAUUCUUGGGAUUCUUGUUGGAUUAGGGAUUCAUGCAUAUGUAUAUAUAUAAAACAUAAUUCCUUGUGUAUGUACAUCUAGCUUUUCCACUUUGGUAGGAAUCUAAUCUCCUCUAGAGAAAGAUGCAUUAACUAAUGAAACCCAAAAUUAAUGGUUAUGGAAUAUUGCUAGUAAGAGGAUUCCAAGAGUGUUGGAUGGCUUUAAUUUUGUACUUGUACUGUGAAUGUGUUGUAGAGUUUGGUAAAUCAGGGAGAGCUUAAAGGAAAAGUGCUUCUUGAGGGAGCUCUUCUCUUUUGCCUACCUUGAAUUAUUGAAGCAGUUUAAUGAGAUGGAGUUCCAUACGCAUGCUCCUCUCUUUGUAGCACGAAACGUUCUCUUUUUGCUUGGAGGUCACCUAUAUGCUGUUAGGAACAUCAUGUUCAUGUUGGGUAAUUGCAUCAUUGGACCCAAGUGGAGAAGAUCACUUGGUAUCUUAAUUCUAGUUUCUAGUAACCCCAAUCAAAUUUGGUCCCUUAGUUUUAUGACACCCUAAUAUUACAUAUAUGUGACUAGCAUGUUAGUUUUAGUCAUUUACAUUAAGCAUUUUGGGCUAAUUAUGUGACCCCAAUAAAUUAUUAACAAUAUAUUGUAUUGAACUAGUUAAAUUGUACAAUAUAUCGCAUCUAGAGCAAUUGCCAAUCCAUCGAUACUCUGAAGUAGUCCUACUAGCUUGUUUAUCCGAAAGUGGAGAAGAAUGAAGUAGUUUACGGCCGUAAAUGUCUACUUUUGUUGUUUCAUUUAUCGUAUCCAAACUCUCCAAAAUAUCAUUAUUGACUUGCUUAAUUCCUACCAAACAAAUAAUAGAGUUGAAAAUCUUUAGUUCCCUAGCUAUAUAUACACAAAUAGUAGAAGGAAUAUAAUUUUUUCCUGAACUCUAGUUAAUCAUAAAAUCUACUUCAACUUGAAUUAUAUAUCAGUGAAAUCGUCAAAAUAUAAAAGCAGGGAGCAUGUAUGUAAUUCCACAAUGGUUAAAAUAUUUUGAAUACCGAUCCAGACCCAACAAGUUGCUAAUACUAAUGGACUAGUUAAAUCGUUAUAAGUUUGUCACCGGCCGAUCUAAUAUUACCGGUGAAUAACUAAACGCGGGGAUCAGUUUCAUAUUAUGAAACUAAUUAACGAAAUCGAAAAUUGCAGUACGAAAAAGAUUUGAACUAUUAUUUUUUUUUUCUUUUUCUUUUUUUGAACCAUGAGUAUAUAAAGUUCUUCAAAUAUUUACUCAAUAUAUAUACUCUUUUUAUUUUUAGAAUAUUGCGUUUUUUUGAUACAUUAGACACGUCCAGUGAAAACGAUGGAUCCUCCCUUUUUUAACACCAUGCACGUGCUACACGUCUCAAACGCUGCAUUAACGUGUUCAACGUGAACAUUCCAAUUUUCAUGUAAUCGUUACAUAUAAUUAAUGUUCUAUUUUAUUUCAAAUUUAAUCACUAGUAGUACGUAGGUGAAACACACCUCAAUUAUGUACCACACUUGUAAGUUAUAACCCUUAAACUAAUCUAAAUCCAAUUCAUUUUCAACUAUGAUUAUGCUUUUCGUUUUUGAUUAAACUAAUCAAAAAUUUUACAUCAUAUCGUAUAAACAGUGUUCUGAGUGUGCACAGUUUUGAUUCCAAUACAAUUUUUCAUACUUUUAUUCUAACUCUUUUAAGUGGCUCUUGGUACCAACAUUAAAAGGUCAAAAGAAGAACUACAAUACAUACAUGUAUAUAUACAGCCUAAAUUAAAAGGACGUACAUAUACAGAUGAUUAAUUAUAAUUAAGUUCAUGCAUGCAUGUAAUAAUUAAUAGAAGUUUUUGAAACCGUGAAACGCGUUGAGAAAUAAAUUAAUACAAGUUUUAGAACCAUGCUUUUAUAGGAAAUAAUAUUUCUUAGAAGCGCUUCUGAUCACGGAAACUUGUGGCUUAAAGAAGCUUCAAAUUUGUAUAAUAAACAAAAGCAGUUAUUGAUCGAUGAUAAGAAGAAACAGUGGUGUACUCUAUAUAUAUAAAAUUGCUUGCAUAUGUUAUUUUGUAUAUUAGUGGAUAGGAUUUAAGCUAUAUAUUACUAUACCCAUAAUUCGAACACGUGGGGCGCAGGUCUCAUAAUAAAUAAUAAACUUCUCGUGCAUUUUUCAUGUGUAAUUAUUAUUAUAUAUUAUGUUAUAUAAAUUAAUACGUAUUAGUAAUUUAAAUUUAUCCAUAUGAAUAGGUAGCUGCAUUUUAUAUAUAUACACGUAAUUUUUGAUAAGUUUAAAUUUAGUCGUAUUAAUAAUUUAAAUUUAUUUUUAUUAGAAAAGGAUGUUCCCAGAUCGAAAAGGAUUUAUUUUCAGCUAAAAAUAUAAAAAUAAUCAAACUUGGAGUUUGUGUGAAAAUCUCACAUACUACCAUUAAAUUCUUGUCUAACUGUACUAGAUAACAUCGAUCAAACCGUGUCAACGAUUAUUUCACAUUAUUACAAGCUAUAUAAGUCAAUCAAAAUAUAAUUCAUACAAAUCAAGUAAAAAAAAUGUAAAUUAAGAAAAUAAAAGGUAAAUGUAUAGGGUAUUGAUCAUAUAACAGCUAUUUCACUUAAUUUCAUCAAAAUAUUUUUAGUUAAUAGAAUAUGUUAGAAUAUUGUAAUAGGCUAUGGUGAACACUAAUUAAUAAUGACUAAAUGAUUUUUCUUUCUUUUUAAAAUUUUUGUGAGAGAAAAAUAACGUAUUAUCCACUUUGUUCAUUUUUACAUUAUGUUCAGUGAGCAAAUAAGAUGAACAUAAUAUUUCGUUUAUGAUGAAAAAAUAGUGUAGAAAUCUAUCUGUCAAUACCAAUUAGUAAAUACAGAAGACGAUAUUAAGCGAACCUAUAGUUUGUUACAUGCUUACCGAAUUCACAGAUCAAGUUUUCAAUAUAUAUAAUAAGGUUUCGUUUGGAAUUGUGGGGAGAUUGUGUUAUGUGCGGUGAGAAAAUACGAUGAAAAAAUAUUCUAUUUGUUUUCGUACGUAAUAUUGUGUUUUAUAUAUCACGAUGAGUCGGUUAUAAUAUAUUUUCUGCGGUCUUACCGGAGAACGCAGAAGUAUAUCCCUAUAUGCUUUAUUCCAACCUUAUCUUAUCUAAUAGUGUCAGAUAGGGCUCAAUACCAAACUAAGCCUAAGUCUAAUUAAGCUUGUUCUAUCAAAGAUAGUUUUUGGUAUAGUGCCAGCAAACUCUAUACGAUGUUUAAAUGAGUUAAAUUUACUAUUUGUAGCUUAAAACGUGCUUGUUUACUGAUUAAAUUUGAUUAAUUAGAUUCAAUAAAUCCCAACUGUAUGUUUUGGACGAUUUACUCGUAACAUCACGAAAAUAUUAAUCUGAGUUAUCUCUUGUGCACAAAUCAUAUCAUGAGAGUGAAUAAAUGACUAGAUUAAUUAUUUGAACAAAAAUAUAAACAAAAAUAGUCUUUUUUUUUAAGAAAAAAAUAGCAUGCUACAUGUUUCUUUCAUAAGAAGGAUGAAUUAAGUAUAAAGGCUGAGAAAGUAUACCUCUGUCGAAAAGAAAAAAGUCAAUGAAAAGAAAAAAAAAACAUUAUAUUAUGAAAAAAGUUGUUUGGGCAUCAGAGAUUCCUUCCACUGGUUCACCAACCGCUUGACUUUAUCCAGUGCCAAUAGUGGAUUGGUAUUAACCUUUCAAAAGAUGAUACAGUUCUUUGCGUCCCAAAAGAUCCACCAGCAGGCCGACAGAUCAAUCAAUCGGGUUUGAGAUGCCUGAUCGAGCACUGUUCCACUUAUCCCAUACUGAUCUUACGUUGUCCCUGAAAUCAUUCGACUAAACCCCUUCCACUGCCAUCAUGAUCAGAAAUCUACUAAUUAUUCACUGUGUAAAUAAGUGGUUCACAGUCUCCUUUUCAACCCCACACAGCACACAAGCUAUAUUUUUCGCCCACUCUCUCUUAUGAAGAUUGGUCAGUGUAGGUGUCCUUUUCUUAAGGAUUAGCCAGGUAAACUCUUUCACUUUGAGGGGUAUUCCGAGUCUCCACAUCUUAAUUAGGUGCACGGGUGUCCCUCGUGCCCUUAUUGUUCAGUGUUGAAUAAGUUGAUUUCACAGUGUACCUAUCACUAGUACUCCUCCGCCAAAUCACACUAUUCAAUCUCCGUUCUAUUUUGAAGCUAGCAAUCCUUUCCCUAAGGGCUAAGAUGAUUGAGUCAUACAGCUUCUGUUAGCUGUAGUGCCUCUUAAGAUCUUUCUCGACCUCCAUCGGUCACCUGUCAGGCACUCGCUAAUUUUCAAAUUCUUUUACAUAUGUUUUUCUAUACUAUAAGACAUUUACUCCUCCCUUUCAGAAGAAAUUUCUUCGAAGCCUCUCAAUACGCUUGAUUGUCCAUUUGGGCGCCUUGAAGAGAAAUAGUCAACACACGGGGAAACCAAUUCAUCCAUUGUUCAGCGCACAACGGGCGCGAAUCUCAAAGCAGCCAAUCCAUUUUCCAAAUUACCGUUUUACCCCUUUGUUAUGCUUGUUUCGCAGCUCUCGCGAGAUAAUGCCGCGAAAUUCUCGUCCGUCCAAGGGACGCUAUAAAUACCCCCGUCGUCUUCUUCCUCUUCCCUCCUAAACCCCACCCGAGCCCUAGAGCUCUCGAUCUCCCCCCACGAACCCAACAAUGGCGACGCGCAAAACCCUAGCAAGGAUCCUCUCGUCGUCCUCCUCCCUCUCCCAAACCCUGAUUCUACCCCCGCGCUCCCCCUCUCUCCUCCGCCGCAUCCACUCCGACCCCGGCGCCGUCCCCCCGCGCCUGCUCCAGCGCCGCCCCAUGUUCCACUCCGCCGUCUCCGUCCCCCUCCCCGCGGGCCCGUUCCCGGCGCUCCCCGUCGGCGACGAGCUCAUCGACCGGAUCCGCGCGACGACGCGUCGCGAUCGGAUCCGCCUCGACGGCCUCGCUCCGCCGCAGGAGGACGACGCGGCGGAGGAAGAGGAGGCGAUCGCGAUCGCCGCGGCGGCGGCGGCGGCGGCGGCGAGGAAGGCGGCGAGGGCGGCGGAGAUGGAGGCGGCGCGGGCGCGGCUGAGGGGGACGCCGCGGAGCUGCGUCGCGUACGGCGAGUUCGCGCGGAUCUGCGCCGAGGUCGCCGGCGCCGAGCGCGGCCGCGGCCUCGCCCGCGCCCUCGACGACGCCGGCGCCGUCAUCGUCCUCGGCGACGUCGUCUUCCUCCGCCCCGAGAUGGUAAUGCCUUUCUCAUUUUUAUUUUUAUACUUUUUCUCUUUCUAAUAAUUUAUCUUUCUUUCGAAAUCAGUUUUCAAAAAUUUUGAUUAGAAAACCAAAAAAAAAAAAAAAAAACAGUUUCUAAUUUUUUUUGUUUUAAUUUGUAAAUUCUUUCGAUAGUUAGCGCAAGCGAUAGAGAGUAUGAUCCCGUCCGUGAUGUCCCUGGGCCACGACGACGGCCACCGAAACAAAGAGCUAAAAGAGCUGGAGGACCAAAAGGCGGCGAUCGACGCAAAAGCGGAGGCCCAGGUGUGGCGCGAGCUUUGGGCCGGGCUGGGCCUGUUGACAUUGCAAACAAUUGGUUUUAUGCGCCUCACGUUCUGGGAGCUGUCCUGGGACGUGAUGGAGCCGAUCUGCUUCUUCGUCACGUCCCUCUACUUCAUGGCCGGAUACGCCUUCUUCCUCCGCACGUCCCGCGACCCCUCCUUCGAGGGCUUCUUCCACAGCCGCUUCGCCGCCAAGCAGAAGCGCCUCAUGCGCGCGCACAAUUUCAGCCUUGGCCGGUUCGACGAGCUCUCCAAAGCCCACCGGGGGCCCGGUUCACUCACCCCCGCUGCUCUCAAACACUCUUGUAGUAGUUCUUCUUCCGCCGCUGUUUCCUCCUCCUACUGUGAUUGCCACCGAAAAAGCAACCUUUUCAGCUAGCUCCGCACGCGGCUAUAAACCUAUGUAUUAUUAACUAACUAAUUAAAGAGUUUAAAAAAAAUUAACUUAAGAUGUCACUUUUAGAUGUUCUUUGGAGGAAACAUGGCCAAUUUGUUUGAACUUAUCCAACACAAAAGGUUCUGUUUUUAUGUGCAAAAGAUCCCGGCACUUAAAACAUAAAAAUUGGUUUUUUUAACCCUUGGUUUUCCUAGUUAUUAUUAUCAUUUACGGUGUAAAAUAGUCGUUUCUUUUAAAAACUCAAAAAGUUUUAUAGAACAGUGUUCUUAAUUUAUAUAUUUAAUUUUUUUAAAAAAACUCGAAUUUAAAACUUUUUACUCUGAUACUGUAUUACAGAAUGUGAAACUUAACCUUUUUGAGAACACGUUCUACAUUUAAAUCACGUUCUACAUUUAAAUCGUACGUACUUCUUAGUUCUUUGGAUCUGCGUAUUUUGAGAACAUUCGCUAAAUUCUACCGACUUCUACUGGUGGAAAUGAGUGUGGGAGAUUGAAAGCGACAUUAGCUUCAUGUUUUUGCUCAAUAAACUCAAAAGUACAGUAACCAUAAUAGGAUUGGCCUUUGGAAAUGAAAGUGACAAAUAAAUGAAACAAUGAAUCGGAAAGCAUUACAUUACCAAAUUCCAUGGAAGGUGAAAAGAAAUCGGAGAGAAUUUGAUGCUAUGGAUAUUGUCCAGUUACUAAUUGCUAAAAAGCUGCUGUUAAUAGUAAAUUAAACCAAGAUCCCCAAAAAAGAACCAACCUUUUAUAGAGAAUAAAGAUCUAAGUAUUAAUUCUGCGUUUAAGUCGGUACCAAGAACAAAUGACCUUCGACCUUAAUUCAUAUCAUCAUGUUAUAAAACAAGACUCAUCUCUAACUAUCGGACAACGAUCGAUGGCUCAAUAUUCUGUAUACAAUAUCUGCGGAUCGUCAAUGUAACAAUGAGACCACUCAACAUGACCGCAAAUGUGAUCAUGAGCUAAACUUGUCCACAUCGACGUAGGGUAUGAUACUGUUUGAUAAAGUAUUGACAUGCAUUUGAAAGAACAAUCUACGCUAUUUAAUUCCCUUCGUUGUUUUUGUCAGUAAGUUUCCGAAUUUUCUUAUAAUUUCUUUUUUUCAUGGAAAUUUUUUUUCCACUAGCAUAUGUGCUUCGACUAGGUUUGGGAUUGAUGCUGUACUAUAUAUAUUGUAGCAAAGCAUGUUACCUUCUCCACACACACACACACAUAGAGAGAGAGAGAGAGAGAGAGAGAGAGAGAGAGAGAGAGAGAGAGCACAUAUUCUAUGAAGAUAACUAAUGAAAAAAGUAAACCAAAUUCAGAAUGGAGAGGAAAAUUUGAAGACAAAACUAAGCCAAAAAGUCAUAUUAUUUGUCUCAAAAAUUUUUUGACACUGAAAAAAGUAUCAGAUUCGCAAAAAUCUUGAUAUGAUCGUAAAUUGCCAUCUGAAACUUAAAAGAUUGAAAAUUUAUCACGUGAACAAUUUAUUUCAUAAAACUUUUUGCCUGAUACCAGCGUGUGAUUGUCUCGUGACAAAGAAAAAAAAUGAAAAGACAUAAUCUCUCUAAACUUCAACUAAAUUACAAAUCGAUCACCACACUUAAAAGAGUAAAGCCUAGUGCCUUCAAUUUGGUUUGAAUGGUUGUUUAAAAUAAGUUGAUUAUUUCAAAUGGUUGUUUAAAAGGUUAAAGACAUAAUCUCUCUCAUUCAUGAUAGUUUUUUUUUUUUUUGAGGAAAACAUUCAUGAUAGUUUCUGUAAUUAGAAUUUCUCUGUCCCCAUUUACCCAUGACGCGUGUUGCUUCGCUCCAUGUCAAGCAUAGGGGAAUCAAUAUUAGAUAGGUAAAAAAAAAAAGGAGUGAGAGAAGAGGUAGAAAAGAGGUUACAAUAAUAAUGGAUUGGAUUAGUUUUUAUAGAAAAAUAAAAUGACCAUUGAGAAUUUUUUGGAAGGACAUAAAUUUCAUAUCAUUCUAAUAGUUGAAAUUUUUAAAGGGCCAUAUUGUGAUGACAAAAAUGAUAUUUCACCUAUAUUCUGUUAAAAAAUAAACAGUAAGCUAACUGUAACGACCCAAAUGGACAAAUAUGAAUAUCACUAAAUUUUUUAAGGAAUAAAUUUGAAAAUUUAAACUUUGUAAGAAUAGUUAAAUUAGAAUUAAUUUUUUUUGAUAUCACAAACAUCUAUAGUUGCCAAAGCUGUUCAUCAGGGAAUCAAUACUAGGAAUCAAUGCUUGAUAAGAAUAAAAAAGACAUGAUCUAUUCAGACACUUGAAAAAAAAUAAACAGAGUUGACAAAGUGACAACAAGAGCAUCACUCAAACAAGUUGAUAUAAUCUAUUAAAUAAAACAUUAAUUUACGGAAUCUAUAGAUUACGUAUUAAUAUAUAUGCAUUUAGUUGUUGUAACAUUAUUACAUUCAUUAGAGGUCUGCUGGUGGUGUAGUUGGUCUCACGCGUAGUCUCACACACUAGAGGUCCCCGGUUUCGAUCCCGGCCUCAGACAUUAAUUUUAUAUAAUUUUUUCUUUUUAACAAUAAAACAUAUGAAUUUUUUUUCUUUUUUUUGGUUGAAUGAAUAAUGUUUUCAUCUUACCAAUGUGCAAUGUUAUACAUCUUAAGAUCUAUUUGCCGUAAUGAUAGCAUAAAAAAUAAAAGAAUUUUCGAUGUUGAUUUCAUUAUUAAUUCCUUAUUAAUUUGGAGUAUUAUCACCAUAUUAGAUAAUAACUACCUCCUAGUACAAGGAGUAUUAUAGAAUUCUUUCAAAUUACGCUAUAUAUAAUUCCAUGUUAAGACCAAGAUAGAAAUUGUAUAAUUCUAAGGUCUUUUUAGAUAAUUUAACACCAGGAACGAUGCCUAGGUAGAUUCUCUUUUUUUUUUUUUAGAGAAAUAGCAGCAAAGCUAUCUGCUUAGUUCAUUAAUAAAUGAACUGAGCAUAACAAAGUUGGAAGCAUAUAAGGCCCCGAGGGGCUCGGCAAAAAGUGAAAAUUAAAAUAAAAAGCUAAAGAAAAGAAAGGAAGCGUCAAGAUUAAAGUACAAGGAGGGCUCAGAAGCAUAGUGAUUCAGCUGUCCAGCUAGUUUGAAACGUUCUAGAGUCGCGACGACAUUAGGGUUUUCCAUUAAAACAUAUGUUGUUUCUAUCCCAAGAUUACCUAUCAAGUCUGCCAGCAGAACAAUUUCAAGCAUGUUUUUUGACGAUUUCGACAGGAAUUUCGUACUUGGCCAGAACUCGGAGCGUCAGCUGAAGUUGUCGUGUUACGUGCGUCCACUCCUCCUAUUGAAGAAGAGUACCGAACGUACACACAGUGCGUUGAUAAGUAUGGUCACAGUCUUUCUGUGCAGACUGCGCAGAAGCACAGAUUUUUGUCUACAGCUGCAUGCCUCGGCCUGAGCAAUCUGUCGAACUGAUGAGUAAUUAUUUUCGAAGUAGUAUAGCCAAAUGAAGAUUUAAUUUUAACAGGAAUUUUUAGCUAUCCUGAUGUGCUUAUUCGUCGGACGAACGCAGAUCCAGGAGUCCUAUGAUGAAUGUAAGAUGGAUUUAACGUGAAUAGCUAUGAUUGAAGCGUCCAACGCCAUUUACGAGUCGGUCUGUCGCAUAGGUCGAAGUGUCCCGAUAGCAAAGUCUUUAAGCAUCGACAGCCUGUCCGCGUCUUUCGAUUAGACGAGCGGUUGUGAACACCACAACAGAAUAAAGCGCCAUCCCAGCCGCGCCUAGUUCCAGCAUUGAGAGAUCCGUGUUCCUUCAUUACUUAUGAUUCGAGAGAUAAUCGGAAUAGGUACGAAUGAGGGGUUUCGCCAAAUAUAGGAAGAGCAGUAUAGUAUAAUAUACAAUACAUCUAAACCAACCAAAUAUGUUGAAAAUGGGCCAAGAAUGACACGAAAAUAAUGUUCUGUAUUUAAUGAAUUCUCACCUCUAAUGGAAUUUGGUUUUCUAUGUUUUCUGCCUGGCAUUAUGAAGUUGUUGCUUAGUAUAGUUUUUUUUUCUUUCUUUUUUAAUAUGAGAAAAGAGACGGUAGAAAUAUCACCACAAUCCGCUUAAUUUUUCGGUUGGUGUAUGAAAAGCAAGGGAGAUCGUGUCAAUUUCGGGUGUAUAUUUUUAUGAUCUGCUGCGCUAGAAUUUGCGGUAAGAAACGAUCAUUCAAUUGUAUAUGAUUAUUAUCCACUUCCAAAAAAUAAAAAAAUUUCUUGGUUUUUUUUUCCUUCCAGUAAAUUACAUUAACAUAUAUGUAUCAUACUAUAUUAUAUGUGAAUAAAUAUGCCUUACAACUCUUUUAUAUAUCUUCUAGCUUCAUUUUGCAUUUAGCUCCAACUACAUCAACAACUUUAAGGUGUCUUAAUUACGCACAGCUGUAAAUAUAAUAGGGGAACUAGCUCGUAUUGACUUUAAUAUAUGUACACUAAAUAAAAUCAUAUGGAGUUAGGAAGUGAGCAGGUAGGAAAUAUUGAGAGUACCACCAAUCAAGGAGAAAUUAUUUUGACUUUAAUAUAUGUAUGUCCACGAAUCAACGAUUUUAUUAUAAGAACAAUUAAUAUUAAUAUGAAAGUCGACCCAAAAUAAACUAAAUUACUAUUAUAUUUUUAAAAAUAAAAUACAGAUUGAAAGUAAAGAUGGAAUGCUAAGCUGAAUGCGACUAAUAUCAAUAACUAAUUUUCUCAUAAUAUAGAAUCAUUGUUACUAUGAUCGGCCGGUGCGAGUUGUUGUCGACGGUGUUUUUGAUGUGGGGCAAAAGGUGAUGAGAUACCGAGCGCCGGCGGGGCAGGUGAAGGUGCUGGUGGGGUCGUCGUAGGCGUAGCUGUAUGCCGCCGGGCACGCCAUCUUGAAGAUCCGGGAGUAUUUCGUGGGCCUGCAGGUGCUGGGGUCCCCGUAGGCGCCGGUGCAGCAGUACUCCGCAGCCCCGAACGCCGCGCACGCGCUCCUGCACGCCACCACCUUCGUCGCCGCCCCGGAGGUUGACAGUGUCGGCAACGUGACCCGCAGCUCCGGCGGGCACUGCUCGUUCACGUCCCCCAAGCACCCCGCGUACCCGCACACCGUCGUGUUAGCACCGCUUUCGACCUUUGCUGCCGCCGCCGCAUGGGGUGGCGGCAUUGCUGUUAUACCUGAAUAUGAAUCAUGCCACGUGCAGUGACGAAGGUGAUCAAAAGAAGAGAAAAUCAUUAAUUAUAUAUACAGAGAGCAUGACUGAUGUUCGGAAUUGAACUCGCAAUUUUUUGAAACCGAGAGAAAAUAGCUCAGAAAUAGUCUUAACAUGCAGCAGAAUACCUAUGCCCACGUUGUAGCCGUCGACCAGGCUAACAUCGUAAAAGUCUUGGCCUCCGGAGGCGGGCGCGAGGGUGAACUCGGCUAGAGUGACGGGGGUGGCACCGCCAAGGGUGCAACGGAGGGCGCCGCUGCAAUCGCCGGUGGCACAAGACGACGAGGAGGAGGAGGACGCAGAGAAGUUGCAGUGCGUGCGGGCCCAGAAGCGGCCGGACCACCCGGGAGGGGCGGAGAAGGAGGCGGUGGCUUCCGAGGGGAGCUCAAAGCCGCCGCCGCCCAGGACGGCCGCGCCGUUUCCCGACAACGUGCCCGGCCACACCGUGGAGGGGCAGCUGUUGUGUAAAGUGAACACAAUUGCCGCCGCCGCCGCCGAACUAGCCCACAAUGCCCCUGCAAGGACAUCCUGAGCAGAUAAUUCUAGCUAGCAAUGUGGCUAUUAUUAAUUUUGGGAAUUUGAGUUACAAAUGUUGGUUGUUUUAGAUGCAUAUAUGCAUUAUGGGAAUGAAAUAAUAACAGUAACUAUAAGAAUAAUAAUAAGAUUACCUAAGAAGAGGAAGGUGAGCAGCAGGAGAAGGGGAGACUCCAUUGAGUUAAGUUGUUGUUGUUGUUGUUGCUGUAUCUUCUUAGCAAGUUAUAGGGAAGUGGUGGUUGAACUGCAUGGGAAUAAAUAUAUAUAUAUAUAUAUAGAGAGAGAGAGAGAGAGAGAGAGAGAGAGAGAGAUAUUAAGAAUAUUGAUGUACUAUAUAUAUAUAUCUCUUAAUUAAGGUUUAAUGUGUGUAGAUACAAAUUCUCAAAAGUUUCAUUCUCUUGUUAUCUACAUAAUUUCGAAGAAUCUGGUUAGGUAUGGGGGUUGUAAACUGUUUCCUCGAUUUGGGCCAUUCCCUUGCGUGACCAGUUAAAAUACAAUAAUAUAAUCUUCUGUAUAUUUAUGAUUAAAGUUUACUUGUCCAAAAUGGUUUCUAGAUCACAUGAAAACACUACAUAAAUUAAUUGAUAUUGCAAAAGCACAAAAUUCAGUUUACGAAAAGUUCAAAUGUAAUAACCUAAAUUCUCAUGGUAUAAAAUUAUUGAUUUGAAUAUCUCAUCAUCAAAAAUAAAAUAGAAAUAAAUAAUUCUUCCAAGGCUCGUCUAGUAUUAGUCUUUACAUCCAAAAUAUUUGUGCGACAAUAUAAAAUAAAAUUUUUCAUUUGCUUUUAAAAUUAUUUUAAAAUAAAUUAUUUUUCACCUGUUAGCAAGAGUACCGUAUUAUAAGCUAAUCAAUAUCCACAUAUCAAAUUAUAUAGAAUUCAUAUUUGAAAAAAUACGAAAAAUGAUGGCACUUAAUUUUAGAUUUCAACAAGGAAAGUACCACAGAUAUAAAUUUUGCAAUGUUAAAGGGUAAAGUGAUCACGAGGAAGUUGCAAAAUACAUAGAAAGGGAAGGGCACAACCCACGAGUCCCCCGCACACAAAGAAAGCGUGAGUUGGUACUGCGAGCCUGCAUGGGUCGCGGUUAUCUGAUUACGCUGACGCGGCCAAGUGGCAUUGCCACGUCACUCUCUAGCUAAAUAAUUUUUUACAUUUCUUGUUCCGAAAAUAAACUGCUGGUCAGUUUAUUUUUAACAUCAGAGCUUUGUCAGUGAUGAACGAUUAAUUUGAGAUUAAUUAGACUACUUCGUCAUAAAAAGUAUUCUCAUAUGCAGCGUUGAUUAAUUUGUUAAUUAUUUAGUUAAAUUUUUAGAGCCCGACUAUGAUGCUUUUAAAAACACUAAACAUUUAGUGUUUGUAAAUUUCUCAAGUUUAGAUCUAUUUCUUGAUCUAUUUUCACUGCUUAGAUCAUACUAUUCAACAAACCACCAAUUCAAUCCUAAAGGACUACCACCAUAUUAACAGUAUAUCUCUUAAUCCAAAAAUCGAAAACCUACUGAUACCAUUAACUUGAUACUUUUAAAAGAAUAAAAUUCACUUCAAAUUUCUGAUAAUACAACUAAAUAUUAUUAUAGGCCCCCCUAUUUUUCU
rnacentral:lncRNA from 1 species